CUCAAAUUUGAUAGGUUCGAGAGAUCUGGGCAUCUCAUCUGUUGAUUAUGGCUCAGGUACAGAUUGGUCAUACUUUCAGGAAGCUUAGGUAUAUCAGAAAUUCCCGUUUUUGUUAAUCUCAAGAUUCUCAGAAAUGAUAGUCUUCCAAUCUCACUUGGGAUUUCCCCACGCAAAUAUCGACAGUCGUAAGCUUCAAUCUCUUCAAGCUUCUCCAACAUCCCAAGGGUGCUAGGUAGCUUUUCUAAGAUGGUGCCAGAGAUCCUUAGUACUCUCAAAUUCUUCAUUGUCUCUAUUAAAUUGGGUAACUCUCGUAUGCUUGACCGAGAAAGAUUCAACUCAAUGAGAGAACCAAAAUUUCCAAUUGAAAGUUCACUAAUACGUGUACCUGACAAGCAAAGAUAUAACAAUGAUGUCGAGCAACCAACUAAAUUGCAUUUACUCAAUAAUCCACAUGAACUUGCACUGAGAGUUUCCAAUUUCUUCAUUCCUUUCCAUUUAGGAAUUUUGGUAAUAGAUGUCAUGUCAAGAAGAAGUUCUGUUAAGGCUUCCAGUCCCUCCAUCUCAUCUGGCAAUCUCUGAAGUUUGCUACAACCUUCCAAGUUUAAAAACACUAACUGCUUUAACUUACCAAUAGACCUGUCAACUUGAACUAGCUCCUUGCACCCUUGAAGAAUCAGUUGCUCUAAAUUUUCAUGAGUAGAAACAUUAGGAGUUUUACGCAAGUUGCUGCAUUUAGUCAAAUUUAGAACCUUCAAAUUCUUUGCCAUCUAUAAUGAAGAGAAGAGGUUAAUUCUAGAUCAUUUUAAGAUACAAGACAAUAAAGUUAACAUAGCAAGUUCAUGUUGAAAAAAUACCAUACCUUGAGGUGGUUCCAUCCCUCCCAAUCAUUUGUAAUUUGACUAUGUGAUAGAUCAAGAAUCACUAUCUUCAUAAGGGAAAAUGAGGUCAACUGGAAAAAGAUAGGAAACUCAUGCCAUGAGAGAUAUCUCAAAUUCGGAAGGACGAGCGGAUUUUUCUGAAACUGCUUGGUUGAAGGACAAUGCUGAACAAAUUUAUGCCAUGAGAGGUAUCUCAACUUAGGAAGGUUGGAUAGAUUCCUCUGGAACCAGUUGGUUAAAGAAAAAUGCUGGACAUUUUUCAUAUCCAAGUCUCCACAAUCCACUUGAAGAAACCUCAAAUUUGAUAGACUUGCAAAUUCUUCCUUCUUAUAGAAGUGUCGAGAUUGAUGAUCAAACUUGAGACAUACUGCUUCAAUGUUUUCUGUUCCCCGCUGAAGCCCAAAAAAUAAAAUAAAAAAUGGAAGCUAGUGAUCACAUAAUUUCCUGUCGAAGGGAUCUGAGUUGAACAUACUUCAGGAAUGUACAUUUUAUUUAUACUUUCAAAUUGAUUUACAAUAUGAUUUAUAGAUGAGCUUGUCAUCAUAGUAAGCAUACAAGUAAUGACUCGGUUCAGAUAGAAACAAUUAACCAAAAUUGGCAUGUAUAACUGAUCCCUCUCCGAAUAGGAAUAAAAUUGCACACACUUUACCUUUUCUAUGAGAAUACCAUUUGCUUGUUCAUGAUCCCACACCCGACUUUGCUUCUUUGGUCUAAAAGUACCAAUCCGACAAAUGAAAUGUCGCCCAAUGUCUCUUAAUAGAUCAUGCAUCCACAACCGGUCACAGUUUGUAAUCUUUAUUAACGACAUCUGUUGGAGGACAUCAAGAUAAUAGUCAGGUAAAAACCCACAACUUUUCCACAUGUGGCUCACAAUUUUCACAUCAAACCCAAUGAAGAAGCAACAAAUAUCGAGAAAUAUUUCCUUCGCAUGUGGUUGUAAUGCAUUGAUACUGAUGUUCAACUUUUCUUCAACAUUUUCAUCGGGAAUAAUUUCUAGCUUCUCUAAUGUGGUCUCCCAAAAUUUUCUGUCUUUUCCAGCUAAAAAUGAGCCUACGAUCUCAAGAGCCAAAGGAAGAUGACCACAGACUUUCACCGCUUUUUUGGAGAGGGGGACGUAUUCUGCUGGAGGAUGAUCACUUCUAAAUGCAUGUCUGCUGAAUAGUUGGAGAGAAUGAUCAAAAUCCAUUCCAGUAAGUUCGUGCUUCAACUCAACAUUUUUGAGAACUUCUUUGUUUCUUGUGGUAAUAAUAACCUUACUUCCACUACCAAACCAGCAUUUACCCAUUCCUACAAGAGCAUCCAGCUUAGUCUUUUGGUCGACAUCAUCAAGUAGAAGUAUGACCUUUUUAGAGGAUAACAAGUCCUUGAUCACCCUUUUCCCUUCAUUGAUAUCAUUGAUGGUCUGUCGUUUUUUUCCUAGGACAUCAGAGAUGAGCUGAUUCUGCAAACUCUCAAUUUUCGUAUCUCUAAUGUUGGACAAGGAGCAACAUAUACUGGAAUUAGUGGUCCGUUCACCUAUCACUUCCAUGAUUCUGUCCACUUGAUCGUCCAUUUUCUCCAAGAAAUUAGAUAAGUUGUAGUGUUUAGUGGAAUGAGACAAUAGUUUGUUAUAGACGAUUUUGGCAAGAGUUGUCUUUCCGACACCACCCAUACCAUGGAUACCAACAAUCUUUGUUUGAGCGCUGUACUCACCUAUUAAUUCCAUGAUUCUGUCCACGUGAUCGUCCAUUUCAACCAAGAAAUCAGAUACUGCCAAGUAGUUCUUUUUCAAUUCGAUCAAAACCUUCUGAACAACUUCUCUUGUGAACUCACCUUUGCCCCUGAUAAUAUUGAAGGCAAAAGAACCAAAGUAUUAGAUCAAGAUGAACAGAAUAAUAUCUAAGAUACAAACAAAUCCUGCACAAUAAUAAAAGUACCUCUCCUUGAGUUCCCAUCCCUUUAAUUCUCCAACCUUUUUGAGAGCUGCCUUCCAAUUCUCAAUAGUCUCGUUAGUGUACAACUGCUUAUCUAUGUAUGACUGAAUGGCCUUCCCAUAAGUUGUAGUUUGGUUACGAACCUCGGAUGGUUCAAUGUCAAAGAAAAUUGGCAUUAUCUUUUGUCCCCACUUUUCCUUGCAUUCCACCAUCUGGACCAACUCCAUGAGGCACCAUUUACUGGCAGCAUAUUGUUUAGAAAAAAUAGGAAUCAAGAUUUUAGACUGCUUAAUCGCUUGGAGAAGCUCCGGCCCAAUCUCUUCCCCAAUGCGAAGCUCUUCAUCAUCUCUAUAUGCCCGUAUUCCAGCAUCAAUGAGGCUAUGGUAAAGGAUGUCAGUGAUGUCGUGACGAGUAUCCGGUCCUCUAAAGCUCAAGAAUACUUCAUAACAAGGUUCCAUUGGCUUCUCCAUUUCCUGAAUUUUCAGAGGACUUGCAAUGAUUCGAUAUCCCACCUGGAAGAACGUUUACAGUGAAAGUGGAGUGAUGAUUAUCAUGAUUUCUCUCAGAAAUUCUUCUGUUUUAAGUCAUUCUAGAAAGAAAAGUCGAUGACAGAUGCACAGCUCCUUCUGGCAUUGUCAUGGACACCAGCAUAUGUCCAAUUAUUAUAUCAACAAUAUAGCAGAGAAGUUGACCCAUCUCAAUACUAAAGGAAGAAAUCUCCCAAUUAUUGCGAAAUGGGUUUCAAUUCACACUUGAAAUUGAUAAUAAAAAUGAAAAUUUCAAGAAGAUGUAUCACUGUCAACUUAUUUUUGUCUGAAACUUUUUACUUAUUUAAUAAAAAUUUUCUUAAAAGGUAACGUUGAAUAUCCUCUGCACAUAAGCACCUACUGUGGCUUGUAGGUUGACUAAUUAUCUUAUUAUCUGAUAAGAAGUUAUGCCAAAACCGUACUAUUUUAAUUUUACCAGAGAAUCGGUUUGACAAAAACAUUCCACAACAAUCAAUUAGUUGCUCACUUGACCUUAAUGGGCGCAGGCAAAGAAUUGCAUUCACCUAUGACAAUCUCAUUAGAAAAACGAAAUCAAGAAAUUACUCUGCAGCUAAUUCAACCCCCAACAUCGGACUAGUUCAGAAAAGCAUAAACCGAUCCCUGAUUACAACCAUCUCUUAGUUUAUUAACAAACAGAUACAUGGUUAAUGGGCGAGCAUUGGUUAGGCAUGAGGCUAUUAUUCACAUCUGCCAGACGGUAUCAGCAUAUCAGACUUGAGGAGUUGAUAAAAAUUCAACAGAAAAGAGAAGCAUGAAUGCUAUAAUUAUUUUUCCAGCAAAAUAGGUUUGACCACAUAGGAAAGCAAGAACGAGAGCUGCAUUUCACAAAAGCUGAGAGUUCCAGUUCGCCACGGAGUGCAACAUUAUAGUCUCUGCAGUCAGCCUCUUCUGUUAAAUACCAAGUUGUAUGUAUCAAUUUUCUCCCUAGGAGUGUUCUUACUGCUAAUCACCAGACAAUAGUGUACUAGUUUGCCAUAUCGAAGUCUCUUAGAGACACCAGUAUCUCUGGUCGCACAAGAAAGUCCCAGCAAACAAAUUUAAUCAACCGUUUCCACUCAAACUAAAUUAGCUUUUAGCACCAACCCAGUUCCUAAAGAGCGUAAAUUCAAUCCCUGGUUACAGAAUCAACAAACUGAUGCAUAGGAGUGGCAUAGCGUUUCAAGAUCUGAGGCCUGACAGUUGCACAGAUGAAAAAAGGUGAGCAGGGUUUAGCAUGUGACUAGAGUUAGAGCCUAAAGCUAUUAGUGUUAGACGCAACUAGCAGUGAUCAAUCAUCGAGUCAACUGAAGAAAGAACCGAUGCUGAUCUGAGAGUCCCUCUAUUGUUUCCAUCAAAUUCUACGCCUAGUUGCCUUACAGAACAGAUUCAUUAUAAAGAAGGCAAUAAACGAGAGGAAAUUACCGGAGAUGGAGGGGCGAGGAUGAAGAGUCCGGAACAAACGCGCAGAAGCAGACAAAGAUCCCAAGAAUAAACGCUCUUGGCUUUUGAGUUCAGCUGAAGAAAGACAGACUUUUAUUAGACGGCGACUUCACCCUCCUUCGCCGUGCCCUUCCACGAAACUGAGUGCUCGCUACGUGCAGGGAAACUUCAAACCGACCCUGAAAGAGUGAAUACGCGUUGCUUUUUCGCUUUUGAGGUAAUCGAAGUCCAAAGAUUCUUUGGCACGAAAGGCAAGAGUACAACUGCAAGACGUUUUCAUUGCAUGUUAUUAGUUUAGAAAUUCUUUUAAUGACGAUGAAGGUGAAGUCCAGGCCCAUUCAAACUUUACAUAUAUUAAACCUAAAAAUGUAAAAUUUAUAUAUUUUAAGUACGCCAGGGUCAUACACAAUUAGUCCAUAAGUCCAAAAAAGUUAGGAAAAAUAACACCACAAAUACCAUAACCUCCAUACGACACUCAUUUAAGUACGAUAACUUUUUUGGACUAUUUUAAAUAAAUUUAAAGUUUAAAAAUGACAUAGCACAUUUUGCCAAAAUUCAAAGAUCACAUUAAAUAAAUUAAAAAUUUAAGAACAAUAUUGAAUAUUGAAUCAAAGUUUAUGGAUUAUUUAUGUCAUUUUUUUCCAUUUCUUAAAUCUAAAACUUCAAAAACAUAGGGAUGGACACAUAGAUUCACAUAUAAUUUUUUGAUAGUUUUCUAAAAUUUGAAAAAUAAUUUAAAUUUUAACAAAAAAAGUGAAAAUACAACUAUUGACUUUUUUUUUUUAAACUCCAAACAAAUAUUAAAUCAAUUAAUUUUCGCAAUUUCUUUAUAGUAUCGCGUUGCAUACUGGAUGUUGAGUAAUAAGAGGCAGGGGACACCAUUUUCAUGGGAGAGACACUAGUGCAUUGCCAUGUUCUUCAGCGAUAUUGUCCCAACCAUCGAUCACUAUGUCUCUCUCAUCACACGAUGCAUCGCCAAGAAACACUCGAAGCUCAAGAGCACUUCGUAACAUGUUGACAUGGCUUCACAACUUCCAGCGUUUGAGAUGAUUCCUCAGUAGACAAGCAGCAGCAGAAUCACCAACAGCUUCUGUGAUCCUGUUGUCUGUUUUCACCUCUUCACUGGGUUGUAGAAAAAGAUGGAAACAAUGGAAGCGACGAUCGAUGCCAAGUGCGAGGACCAACCUGGAUACACCCUCUAAACCUAUGAAAACAAUGCUGUGAAGAUUUCUGUCGGGAUGGGAAACAGAUGUCCGUGAGAUCUACUCAGGUCAAUCAUUGCUGUCAGUCUUUUUCUGGGUAACUUCGUAUCGAAUAUAUUCUAUUGUCUUGAAAAACUUAAGAAGGAAGCUUCCUCGUCACUUCAAUCGAGGUAUACAUGAUUUAUUUUUUCUAUUGGCCAUAUACAUACGCGAUUAAAACGCGGCUUCUCUAUGCCAACCACGAAGGAGGGGAGCCACGACGGAACAUGCCAACACAAUAGACAGCUUUUGCCGUGUCACUGAUGAUUAAGCAAAACUUCACUUGAAUUAUUGACUAUUCUUCAUAUACAAAAGCUACUUGUCCCUGAUAUGAUGAUAUGUUAAUUAGAUGCUCUUAUCCUAAUAGAUAGGGCUUCAAAAGGGGUUUUGCUUCGGCCAAAAGUCAAGCCCAGCCCGAAGAUUUCAAGCAAAAAAUUCCGAACCUCGAAUCUGGGCUUAGCGCGAGACAAUAUGAAAUGGCAUGGCCAGAAGUCAUACAAUGUGGGCCAGUUUUCGCACACCUUAAUAUUAGUUCAUCUCACAAGCAACUUCAACGGAGCAUUGUCUCAUAUUGGGUGGAUGCUUUACUCCUGAAGUGCUUUUAACAGGGUUUGAACCAACACUCUCUCCCUUGCUAGUUUCUAGUAGGCUAAGAGUAACUUUUCCAUAUGAAAAUAUAUUGCUCACAUGAAAAUAUUAGCAAGCGAUAGGUAUGUGUAGAUAAAAAUUUUUAUGAAGAAUUACUACCUAGAGGAAGACUAAUAGACUGAGGACUAUUUAUCCUUAUGCAAACAUAAAGAAAACCUUGCUACUACUAACGAUGACUUAUUUCCUUCUAAUCACCGCUGAAAACUUACUAAUAAACGUACCUAGUACAUUGGCACUUUUUCAGGUGAUUUGAUGUCUAACUAAUAGAAAUAUAUGACAUCUUCAAUGAAAACUUACUAUCAUGUGAAAAAUAACUUCUCACCAAUAUUUAUAUAUUCUCUUUUCCAAAGUCCAGCAUUUAAAAAUAGUUAUGAUAUGUAGUAUAUUACCAAUAAUUAGGAAAUUUUAGGUCAAUUACCAUACAAAAAAACUCCCAACUUUACAUUCUUGUUAAUUUUAUGUGAAAUAUAAAACAUAAGAAAGAGACGCCAUAAUUUAUUCUUUUGUGUACAGUCACCCUCUAUUAGUCCGUUAGUUAGCAAGGAAAAUAUGGUCGUCGCCUCAUUGAGGUGGCGACUAGUGUGACUAACUAUCACCAUUAAGCGUCAUUAAUAAGCAAAUAGAACUAAGUGGUAAAAGUUAUUUCAUGAAUUGAUAGUAAAAGAAGUUACUUUUAAAGAUCAGAGAAAAGGUAACAUAGGAAAAAAGUGGGGUAGAAAUUGAGAGAGGGAGAAAUGAAAAAAAUGACCGAUCCAAUCAUCAUGCAAUCACAAUGGGUAACGAGAGAGAUCAAUGUAUAUUAGUUGAAGUUACUGAGCAAUUUCAAAUAUUAUUCAGGUCUUAGCAUGACCGCAUCACCACUCAACCUCAAGCUUAAACUUUCAGCUUUUCAGAAUUAUUUAUGAUCAAACAUGUUGGCUUCUUGAAGCUGGUAAGGUCAGGUAGCUCUUUUGGGGCAAUCAAUAUGGUGCAUCUCCAGUUGUUCUGCUCUGCCUUAAAUCUCAAAUAGUUAAGGACAAUUCCAUGGGAGAAGUUCAGGACGCCAUCUACAAUGAUGGCAAACCUGCAAGCAAUUUUAGUGGUCUUUUCGAACUUCUAUCAGCUCAAUUCAAAGAAGAUUAUGUUGGUAUUUUGCCAGGUAUACUAUUGAGGGCAUGUAGCUGCCAUGUCGAAAGGUGGUAAGUGGUACACAUGGUGAAGUUCUUAGAUACAAUAGAGACAAACUAACUUCAAGGUCGAAAAAGAGAGCUCAUGCAAAGUUCGGUAAUCGAAUUUUCCAUCAAUUUGGUCCUUCAGAAGUUUAUGUUCUUUGGACUCUAGCUUCUUCCUGCACUUGGGGAAUUCGCAAUCAAUCUUUGUACUCUUUCACUCUCUCGACCAGUCCAUGAAAGAAUAUAAACCGCGGAGAGAGUAGAAGACUUCACAUCAUUGACAGUCUGUACAUGAGAAAAUGGUAGGAAUAGGGGAAAAUUGUCCAAAAAGUCCUAAACCUAUUGUACUUUUGCCAAUUCAGUCAUAAACAUUUUAACUUUGCCAAUUCAGUCAUAAACCUUCUCACUUCUUGCCGAUUCAGUCCAUCCGGCCAAUUUUGACCGGAAAAUGCUAACGUGGAUGCCAGGGGUGCCACGUAGGACCGUCGGUACUGACAUGGACAAUUUUUAAUAAUAUUUUAAUAUUUUAUUGAAUUUUUUUGAAUUAUUAUUAUUUUUUUCUGUUUGUUUCCUUCUUUUUUUUUUCUUUCUUUUCUUUUUGGCUUUUUUCUUCUCUUUUCCGGUGGCCGGCCACCGGUCACAUGUUUAAUUUAGGUUUCUAGUAACACAAUAUUGUACUCUAUGUAUAUACAUAUAUAUAUAUAUAUAUAUAUAUAUGGUAAUUGCAAUCGUAUCAUAAAAUCUACUUUGAAAUCAUAUUGUUCAAGGUAAAUUACUGAUAGUGUUGGUAAUUUACUUAUAACAACAGUAAAAUUUCUUUGGAAUUUUGGUACCUUCCCGAUGGUGUUAGUAAUUUACUCAUGGCACCAGUAAAAUAUCAGAAGAGUAUGUAAUUUACUAAUUUAGUGAAAAAUUUGUAGGUAUUUAACAAUUUUGGUAAUUUACGAUCGGUGUACCUAACAAGCAAGUAACUUGGUCAUUUCUUUUUACCACCAAGAAAAUUUUUCAAUUUUCCAGUCCAACGGGAGUGUAGAAUUUUGCCAAAUUUUCAUUUGUCUCUGCUUCUGUGACGAGAACUUAAAAUCCCAUCUGAAAAGUUCAAAUGGUGAAACUUGAAACGUAGUCAUAAUUUUACUGCGAAGAACAUGUAGAGAUCUGUAUUGAGUUUCGACCAUUGCACGUGAUCCUUACCUAGGGUGUGUUAUGUUUAUGCUAGACACAAUGUUUUGCCCCUACUUCAUUUGCUCAAUGUGGAAAUUUUAUGGGAAAUCAACAACAAUUCUGCGAACAUGGUUGCUGAUGUCUAAUUAAAUUCUUGACACUGAAUAGGAAGACAUUCUGAGGGUGUUGUCUCAAGAACAUCAAUCUCUGCAAAUGAACUCUGGAGCAAAUCAUCUUCAAUCCUUGAUCAAUUUCACAGAAAUUUCCACGACGAGAUUACAUUCUCAGAGCAUGUGACUUGGUUAGGCUAAGCUAUUAAAAUUAGAUGCAGAUGGAAGAAAUCAAUUGAGUCAGCUCACGAGAGUGUUCACUGAAAAGCUACUUUCAGUGCAUAUAUAAAUGAUAAGUUAUGACUGGAACAAAAACUCAGUUCAUUCCAAAUCUUUUCCUAAUGUAUCACUAGUUGCAUCGCAAUUCGCAAAAAGACCCAAUUCAUGCAAAACAUAAACAACGUAGAGACAAUUAGCAGACGAGGAAUGGGAGACGAUGAACAAUCAAAUGAGACAGCCACCGAGUCUGAAUGAAAAUGCAGAAAACCAAACAAAGAUGCAGAGAAGGGAGAAACCCUUCUUGGCCUGACUCGGUUGCUACCAAAAUGAAAAAGCAAGACGUUUUAGACAAUCUAUGAAAAACCUCGUGGAAUGGAUGGAUGCGCAGGAAGACGGGGUCGCCAGUCCUGGAGGGAGACCUCCACCAGGUGGAACCGCAUCUCGUGCUUCCACUCGGGGUUGCUGUCACGUUCCUCAACGGUUGGAGUCCGUUGCUGCUGGUUUGGGCAAGCUUUUUGCUCGGGUCGUCGCUGUCGAGGGAGGAAGAAAGAAAUGAAAGUGAGAGACAAGAGACAGUAAAUGGAGAAGAAGAGAAGAAAGUCGAAAUUUCUAAGGAAUUGGGUCCCACCUAUACACAUGGCAAUUAAAUGAAGGACUCAAGGCGAGGACCAUGCCAGUUAUUUAUUGGCAUCGUCACUUUUUUCAAAUCUCCGUACUCAUAGGAUUCUAGAGCCUCCUCAAACUUCUCACAUUUAUUUAUUGCCACACGCUUUAGAUUCUUGAAGCUUGAGGGAUCAGAUAACUUUCGUAGAGAUCCGCGAUCAUCAAUACGAAGCCACGUCACUGAUUCUAGCCUACCUCAAAUCUCAACCAGACGAGGACAACACACUAGGCUUAGUCCCAGGAGCUUCUUCAAAUUGGUCAGGUCAGGCAACUUCUCUAGCAACGGAAGAUCCAUAAAAUAUAAAUAAAAGAGGUUCUUCGAAUCUUCCAGGCCUGGUAUCUCUUUCAGCUUCUGACUGUUACUUAUACAGACUUCUGUAUCUACGCCUAAUCGAUAAGGUAACUUUUCGAGUGAUUCACAGGACCUUAUACAAAGUAUGUCUAAUGAUUCUAGCUGACCUCGAACCUCAACCAAUUUAGGACAAUAUAAUAUGCAAAGUGUCCAAAGCUUCGUCAAGUUGGUUAGGUCAGGCAACUUCACCAAUGAUGGAAGAUCUUCAAGACGAAGCUCUUUCAAGUUUUUCAAACAUUCAAGGCCUUGAAUCUCUAUUAGCUGUUUGCAAUGAUAGACUUCCAAUUUUGAUAACUUCUCCAAAUAUGAAAGAUCUAUCAACUUUCCCAUUGAACUGUGCCCAUUAAUCGAGAUGGAUGACAAAUUCUCGGGAAGCCUAGGUAGGUGUUCUAGGUUAUCUAUGUUGAGGAUAAGCUUCUUGAGUUUAGAAAGGAGAUUAAAAUCUGAAGGCAGGGUGGCAAUCCUACAACUCAACGACAAGGACUCUAGCUUUCUUAACCUUGAGAUCCACUCGAGGCUUGGAUCUAGAUGGGGAGGGGCUUCAUACCAUGAACCCAAACUCAAAUCUCUCAAAUUGAAUAGGUUCGAUAGAUCUGGAAAUCUCGUCACUAAUACUAUUUUAAUGGAUAGAUUGGUCAAACUUUCAGGAAGCUUUGGUACUACGGAAAUUCUCAUGCCCCUUAAUAUCAAGAUCCUCAUAAAUGAUAGUCUUUGAAUUUCAAUUGGAAUUUCCCCCUCGACAUGUUCACGGUUGUCAACAUAUAUCUCUUCAAGCUUCUCCAACUUUCCAAGGGCUCUAGGUAGCUUUCUUACGUAGGUGCAAGACACCCUUAAUACUCUCAAAUUCUUCAUUUUCCCUAUUAAAUUGGGUAAUUCUUGAAUUUCCGAGUUAGAAAUAUUCAACUCAACAAGAGAUCCAAAAUUUUCAAAUGGAAAUUCAGUAAUUUGUGUAUAUUCCAACCUAAGAAUUGAUAGUGAUGUGGAGCAACCACCUAAAUUGCAUAUACGUAGUGAUAUACAUCCAACUGCACUAAGAGUUUCCAAUUUCUUCAUUCCUUUCCACUCAGGAAUCUUGGUAAUAGAUGUCGAAUCAACAAUAAGUUCCGUUAAGGCUUCCAAUUCCUCCAUCUCAUCCGGCAGUGUCCAAAGGUUCCUACACCCUUUCAAGUUUAAAAACCUUAAACACUUUAACUUACCAAUAGACUUAUCAACUUGAACCAGUUCCUUGCACCCUUGAAGAAUCAAUUGCUCUAAAUUUUCAUGAGCAGAAAAGUCGAGAGUUUUGCGCAAGUUUUUGCAUUCAGUCAAAUUUAGAACCUUCAAAUUCUUUGCCCUCUGUAAUGAAGAGAAAAUGUUAAUUCCGAUUCAUUGGUAGAUACAAAAGAGCAAAGUCAAUAUAGCAAAAUUCAUAUUGAAGUAGUACGAUACCUUGAUGUGGUUCCAUCCCUCCCAAUCAUCUGUAAUUCCACUCAAUGAUAGAUCAAGAAUCACUCAUUUCAAAAGGGAAAAUGCAGUCAAUUGGAAAAAGAAGGGAAACUUAUGCCAUGAGAGAAAUCUCAACUCCGAAAGAAUGAGCAAAUUCCUCUGGAACCAGCUGGUUGAAGGAAAAUGCUUAACGAAGUUAUGCCAUGAGAGCCAGCUAGAAUUCUGAAGGAUGGAUAGAUUCCUUGGGGACCAAUUGGUUGAAGAAAAAUGUUGAAUGUUGUUCAUAUGUAAGUCUACACAGUCCACUUGAAGAAACCUUAAUUUUGAUAGACUUGCCAAUUCUUCCUUCCUAAAAAAGUGUUGAGAUUGAGGAUCGAACUUGAGACAUAUUGCUUUAACGUUUUCUGUUCCCUGUCAAGCAAAAACGGGAAUAAUUACCUAUUGAAGGCAUUCGAGUUGAACAUACUUGAGGAAUGCACAUCCUAUUAGUACUUUGAAAUUGAUUUUUACAAUAUAAUUGACAGAUGGGCAUGUCGUGGUAUAGCACACAAGUAACGACUUGGUUUAGAAAGAAGCAAAUUAGCAAAGUCAACAUGUAUAACUUCUCAUUAAAUAGGAAUGACAUUCACUUUACCUUCUUUCCUAUGAGAUCGAUCGAUUCUUCAUGAUCCCACACUCGACUUCGCUUCUCAGGUUCGAGACUACCAUUUUGACAAAUGAUAUCUCGCCCAAGGUCUCUUAGCUGAUCAUGCACCCACAAUCGGUUACCUUCUGUAAUCUUUAUUAAUGACAUUUGUUUGAGCACUUCAAGGGAAGGUUCAGGGAAAAAAUUAUAGCUGUCCCACAUGUGAAUCACAAUUCUCACAUCAAACCCAAUAAAGAAGCAACAAAUAUCGAGAAAUAUUUCCUUCUCUUGAUAAUCUAAUGCCUCAAAACUGAUAUUCAACUUACUUUUAACCUCUUUGUUGGGAAUAGCUUUCAACUUCUUUAACGUGGUCUCCCAAAUUCUUUUGUCUUUUCCAUUUAAAAAGGAACCUAUAAUCUCAAGAGCCAAAGGAAGACGACCGCAGAUUUUUACCACCUUUCUCGAGAGGGGGCUGUCUUCUAUUGAAGGAUGAUCUCUUCCAAAGGCAUGUAUGCUAAACAAUUGCAGAGAAUGACUAAAAUCCAUUUCAAUAAGUUCAUGCUGAAAAUCAACAUCUCUGAGAAGUUCCUUGUUUCUUGUGGUAAUAAUAACCUUACUUCCUCUGCCAAACCAUGGUUCAUCAACCCCUACAAGAGCAUCCAGCUGAAUCUUUUGGUCGACAUCAUCAAGUACAAGCAUGACCUUUUUAGAGGAUAACCUCUUCUUGAUCUCAGUUAUCCCUUCUACGUAAUUAUGGAUUGGUAAACAUUUCCCUUUUUGGACAUCAGAGAUGAGCUUCUUUUGCAAACUCACAAUCUUUGUAUCUUGAAUAUUAGACAGAAAGCAACAGUAAGAAGAAUCAACCGACAAUUUAUUAUAGAUGAUUUUGGCAAGAGUUGUUUUUCCGACACCACCCAUACCAUAAAUACCAACAAUCUUUGUUUCAGUGAUCUGCCCACCUAUCACUUCCAUGAUUUUGUCCACUUGAUCAUCCAUUUCAACCAAGCAAUUAGAUACUGCCAAGUAGUUCCCUUUCAACUCGAUCAAAACCUUCUGGACAACUUCUUCUAUGAACUCACCUUUGCCUCUGAUAGUAUUUAAGGCAAAAGAACCAAAUUGUCAAAUCAAGAUGAAUAGAAUAAUAUGUAAGGUAUAAAUGAAUUAUGCACAAUAAUUAAUUCAAAUACCUCUCCUUGAGUUCCCAUCCCUUUAACGCUCCAACCUUGGUAAGAGCUGCCUUCCAAUUUUGAAGAGUCUCACCACUGUACCACCCCUUGUUUAUGUGUGAGUUAAUGGCCUCACCAUAUCUUGCGGUUUGGUAAUGAACCUCGGAUGGUGCUACAUCAUAGAAAAUUGGCAUAAUCUUUUGUCCCCAAUUUUCCAUGCAAUCCACCAUUUGUACCAACUCCAUGAGGCACCAUGAACUAGCUGCAUAUUCUUUAGAUAAUAUAGGAAUCGAGAUUUUUGACUGCUUAAUUGCUUGGACAAGCUCCGGGCCAAUCUUUUCCCUAACGGGAAGCUCUUCAUUAUCUCUAUAUGCUUGUAUUCCGGCUUGCAUGAGGCGGAUGUAAAGGUAAUUGGCGAUGUCCUGGCAAGUAUCCGAUCCUCUAAAGCUUAAGAAUACUUCAUAAUAACAAUCCAUUGGCUUCUCUAUUUUCUAAACUUUUAGAAGACUUGCAACGACCGGAUAUCCCACCUGAAAAAUGUUUACUAUGAAAGUAGAAUGAUAAUUAUCAUGAUUUCUCUAAGAAACUCUUCUGUUUUACUUCAUUUUACAAGGAAACCACAAUGAUGCACUAGACACCAAAAUAUGUCCAAUUAUUUUAUUAAAAUAUAGUAGAGAAGUGGACCCAUCUCAAUUCUAAAGGAAGAAAGUUCCAAAUUAUUACGGAAUUAUGGGUUUUAAUUCACACUAAAAAUUAAUUGGGAAAAAAAGACUAUUUCACGAAGAUAAAUCAUUGUCAACCUAUUUUUUUCUUAAACACUAUCGCAACCUACCCUUUCCAUCCAGAGGAGAAAAGACAAUAAGUUUAGGGAACCUGCCUAAAUGAUGGGGCCUACGACUCUCGAUUAGGCGUGGGCUUUCCCAAGCUCAUAUCUCGUGCAAAGUUAGCAUAAUCGAUGUUAAAUGAAAUUGACGUUAUGAGAAUUUCCAAUGAGAAAUCACCACUAACCUAUUGGGGUCAGCGAGAAAUCAAGUGAGGCAUUGAAGAAUUUCUCACUUCCUACACAACAAAAAAAUUUAGGGUCGAAGACUUGAUUACACUAAUUAUCCAACUAGUGCCAUUUCGGUCCCUAACCUUGUUCAAACACUAACUAAAAAUGUUCAAGUAGUAACUAUUCCCAACUAGGCUAAAACAGCGGUCAAUAGGGGUGUGCAACCGAACCGGGUUUACCCGGUUCCCGGUCCGACCCACCCGGAAAACAGGGUCGGGAACCGGUUCCGGUUAAAACCGGGCCGGGAACCGGUUCCCGAAACGCAGACCCUGUUUAAACCGGUCCGGGAACCGGUUCCGAGGGAUUACCCACCCGGGAACCGGUUCCCGGCCCAGUUUGGGAACCGGUUGGAGAACCGGUUUUUACGCCUAAAGCAAACCCUAAUUUUAUUUCUUUCUUUACCUGCAGAGGGCCAGAGGCGCAGACGCAGAGAACCAGACUCUCCCGGUUCACCUCGCGCUCGCACCACCGCUGCCAAGCUCCUCCUCCUCCCCCGCCCCGCCGCCCCCGCCGUCACCGUCACCGUCACCGUCGUCGUCACCCCCGACAACCUCCACCUACUCGACCCCUUCCUCGCCUCCUCCUCCUCGCUCCAGCCUCUCGUCUUGCCUUCCCCAGAGCCCCCCGCCGCGGGUGCGCUUCGUCGCCAAAGUCCGCGCCCUCCGCGACCUCCACCUCCCGCUCCUCUCCGACUUCUUCCUCGGGUGGACCCACUGCUUCGCCCGCGACCGCGGCGUCCCGCGAGUCGUCUUCUCGCCGUCCGGCGCGUUCGGGCUCUCCAUCGCCUUCGCCCUGUGGCGGGACCUCCUCCGGCCCGACGAGGAGUCGACGAUCUCGUUCGCGAAGCUGCCGGACUGCCCUCGCUUCCCGAAAUCAUGAAGCUGCUGACCCCCGCCAAGCUCGCACCCGAGCGCCGACGCUGCCUCCGUUCAAUCUCGCCAUUCCACCUCCUGCUUUCCUCUCCGGAACCGCGACCGGCAAAGGCCUUUUUCUCGUUCCAGCGCCUACAACUUCUGCCAGUGCCUUGUACUCCCCUUGACUCACGGGUCGCGGCUUCGUCAUCGUCUUUAAAUCAGGUAACGUCUGAUUCUUUGCUGCUAUGCGUUGGUUUGAUUGUAGUUGGAACCGAAGUUCAACCUUCUGCGUUCAACCUUCUGUGUCGGGCUUGAAUGAACUGGGUCAUUUGAUUUCGAAUCAUUGGCAUUUGAGUCAGUCCACGAGUCUAGAAUUGGAUCAGUAAAAUCUACUCCUCAAAUCGUCGGCCAUAAAUCUGUUUGAUAAAAUGCCCCUAAGGCAUGAUUGAGAAAUGAUACAUGAUAUUAUCAUAUCUUAUAACUUGUUAACAUAUUUUCUCAAUUGAUUGCCAAACUACGCAUACUGUUAAGAAAAGUUAGAGACGGCGCAUAUGCAGUCGCUCACGCGUAGCACACGUUCGCACAAACUGGGGAGUCAGAGUUGAAGGAUUCCUUCCUAAUUUCCCGGUGCAAGUUAGGAAUUUUAAUUCUGGGAUGCGAAACCGAACAUUUUUUUACAGACAAACAACUCAGGACAAGUGUUAGUGACAACGUAACCCCAUGGCCAGCCAGUCCGGAUCAUGACACAAUCUCUCUGUCUUGGAAGCAAAACAGAACAGCUAUUGCUUGUUAUUAGUACUAUGCACACAGAGGAAGAGGAAGAGGAAGAGCCCUCUGCCAAAGGCCCAAGUUUGGGCAUUUUGUAAUUUUAGGGUGAUGAGGCGCUUUUUUUUGUCCCCUUUUCUGAUCUGAUAUGAGUAUUAAAGAUCUUAUGUAUACUGACCUGUUGGUGAAGCUGAAUGACACCAAAUUUGUUUGUUUGAUCUAUGUAGUUUACAAGUUUAAUCAUGCAAAAUUCCUCUUAAUAGUUAACCAUCGUUAGUUAAGACUCUUCAGCUUCUGAUCUUAUUAAAUCCUAGAGUAUGGAUUAUUGUUGAUUUUUCUUUAUAUAUGAAUUUUAGGUUUUUGUCAGAGAUUUUGUACCAUCCGAAGAAGGAGAAGAAGAUCGAGCACAUGAAGGACAAUGUUGAUAUGUGAUCAGCCAAAAAUUGUAUUACAACUAGUUAAUUGGCUAAAUUGCUAGCUUGUAUAUUACUGGAAUAUGAGAAACUCGAUGUAUUUUGUGGGAUAUGGGGAUGCGAGAUGGUCGAAUUAUAUACUUGUUUGUUUUUUUUCAAGAGGAGUCCAAAUUUUAUACAUGUUCCCAAUGAGUUUGGUCGAAGGACGUGCUUGGUCCGACCUUUUUGUUUAAGCGGAUAACUUAUCUAGAAUUGUUUUUCUAAGGUUAAUUUUUAUGCAAAACAGGGUCCAAUGAAAACAGGGUCAACCCUGUUCCCGGACCGGAAAAAUAGGGUGGGCCGGGAACAGGGUCCAAUGAAAACAGGGUAGGGAACAGGGUCCAAAAAAGGAGAACCGGUUAUAACAGGGUAGGGAACAGGGUCCAGGUCUAGACCCUACCCACCCUGGACCCGCUCACCCCUAGCGGUCAACAUGUUCAAAAUGCACAAUCAAAUAAUACAUAACUGAAAUUGAAAUACACAAAGUAAUAACCUAAACAUUCAUUUCUAAGAAAACACAAUAUCUUAACAAAAAGCUUAAGGGCUCGUUCAAUUUUGAGCAAAUGAAAUUUUUUAUCAAAUAUUCUCGCACAUUUCGAAAGAAAAUUACUCAAAAAUCUAAUUUUUGAGUUUUUUUUUUCUGAUUUUAGAAAAAAUAAUUUUUGUCAGAAUUCUCUUAAAAUUUUGUUUUAAAGAUUUUUAAAAUGUCUUAACUUUUUAAUUUUUAGAAUAUUAUUUUUAAACAAACAAAUUAAAUUUUAAAAAUAUAUACUUUUUUUAUAAUUUAAAAGAAAUGAUUUUUAAACUAAAAAGAGGGACCCCGGUCGGGACCGAUCCCGGUCGCCAACCCACAGCCAGACUGGGCCUCAUGCGGAGGCCCAGUCCGGUCCCCAAAAUCUAGCCCAUCCCAUGAAGAAAUAAAAAGGGCCCGGCCCAAGAAAGUAAAAUAAGCCCAUUAUGUCUAAUUCAACACUAACUCGGCGCGGUCCCUAAAGCGCUAAAAACCAAAACCCAGGAGUGGAAUUAGACCGGCCCAGGCCGGGCUCCUUUUGCCCGACCCGCACGGUUCCCCGACCGUGACUGACCCGAGUCUUCAAUUGGAACGACAGCCAGCGUUCCUGGGCAAACCAAAAUCAGAGAAAGAGUUCACGGAUCUAACCGAGGCAUUUUCACAAACAGGUGACGUGCGUUACGGAAUCGCAAGGUUGCCGGCUCAACCGCGAGCCCAACCAAGGCCAAGACUCUUGUCAAGCAACCAACAAAACAGGCAGAGGCCACACGGCCGACCGGCGGGGCCGGAGUUCGCGAGAGCCGGGCCCGGAGUGUCCGAAACAGAGUAAAGCAAGACACGCCGACGGGAACAAAAACAAGGGUGCCGGUCAGUGGUAAUCCCUACCCGGCUCGGCGGCGGCGAAGGGGGCCGAACUCGAUAGAUCGGACUACGCCCGGUCGCCUCGCGCGCCUCCAAGCCGGAAUCCUCAGGAAAUCGACCCCCAAGUCAAAAAAACGAGAAGAAACAAACUGAGCCGAGACCUGCCGUGGCUUUGGCGCGGGGAAAGGGGGCACAGCGGCGGUUCGACGGCGGCGAUUCAGGCACGGUGGCCGGCGGUCUCUCUCUCUCACUCACGACUCUCUCUCUGGGACCUCCUCUCCACCCAAUUUGUCUCUUCUCCCCCGCAACUCUUAACUCUCACUCUCUUUUAAAAGCCAGCAGCAGGCGCGCAUGGCUUCUCCCACCGCCAGCCUGCCGCGGCCGGCCUGAUCCCUCUGCCCUCUGUUGUACGUUGUGUCCCUGUCUCUGUUGUAGAGACCGUCCCUGCUUCAGGCAGCGCAAGGGAAGAGAGGCGGAGAGAUAGAGUGAGGACCGGGCUGGAGAAAAGAAAAGGAAAGAAAGAGGCCGGGCUGUGGGGAAAAGAAAAGAAACGGUAGAGGCCGGGUCGGCCCGGCCCCGCAAAUUUUUUUAAAUAAAACUUUAUUUUCUAUUUUAUUUUUUUUGUUUUUCCUCUUUUUUGUUCUUGUUUAAUGAUUUAAUAAAUUCUAUUGCUUUUUUUUAUGAAAAUGCUCUUAACACCUAUAUCCUAUGCAAUUUAAUGAGAAUUAUUUUUGUUUAAGGGUUAAAAUUAAUCCCUAAUUUUCUAUACAACUAAAUCCUAAAUGAGUAGACAAAGUUUAGAUGUCAACAAACUAUUUAUUUAUGUGAUAAAAUUUCCCUUGAAAGGUAAUGUUGAACAUCCUCUGCACAUAACGGCUUAUUGUUGCUUGUGGGGUGACUGAUUGUUAUUAAACCUUUCUAAUCUAGUUUUUACCAAAAUAGAUUUGACAAACAACACUCAGUUGCUUCCCUCGACCUUAACAGAUGCCCACGAAGAGUCGCACUCCCCAAUGACAAUCUCAUUAGAAAAAUGAAAUCAAGAAAUUACACUGAAGCUAAUUCAACCCUCACCAUUGGACUAGUCUCUUAAGAGCAUAAACCGAUCCCUACUUACGGCCAUCUCUUAGGUUAUCAACAAACAUAUUAAGGGUCAACGGGCGAGCGUUAGUAUGGUUUGAAGUUAUCAUUCACAUUUGCCAAAAAGUACCAGCUUAUCAAAAAAGUGGAUUUAAUUACUAAUCAAUUACAGAGAAUAAGAUUUCAAUAGAAAAUCGAAGCAUGAAUGCUCUAUAAGCGUUUUUCCAAAAAAUUAAGUCGGAACAAACUAGAUCAUAGGGAUGAGAGCUGCAUUUUACAAAGGCAGAGAGUUCCGGUUUACCAGAGUGCAACAUUAUAGUCUAUUCAAUCCAUAUCUACGGUCAAAUACAGAGUUGAGGGUAUCAAAUUUCUGCCUGGGAGUGUUCUUACUGAUAAUCCCCAACUAAAAAAAAAAUCAUCAGAUCCGCUCAAAUUGUCUCUACUGUUAAUUACAAAGCUGAGGGUAUCAAUCUGUCUCUACUGUUAAAUACGAAUUUGUAGUCCCAAAGUCUCUUAAAGAUACUACUGUCUCUGUUCGCACAAGAAAAAUCCCAUCAAACAAAAGAAAUCAAUAGAUACACUUAAACUAAUUUAGCUUUUAAUGUCAACCCAGUUCUUAAAGAGCGUAAAUUCAAUUCCUAAUUACAGAAAUCUCUGAGACAUCAAAAAGCUAAUGCAUAGGAGUGGCGUUGAGUUCCAAGAUCUGAGGCUUGACUGUUGCAUAGAUGGAAGCAUGAUCAGCGUCAAGAAUGUGACUAGAGUUAGGCUAGAGCUAUUAGUGUUAGACGCAACUGGUGGUGAUCAAUCAUCGAUUCAACUGAGAAAAGAAUUGAAGAGUCCCUCCAUUGUUUCCAUCAACUUCCGCACCUAGUUGCAUUACAGAACAGACCCUAUUCUAUAAAAGAAGGCAAUAAACGAGAGGAAAUUACCGUAGAUGGAAGGGGGUGAAGAUGAAGAGUCCGUAUCAAAUGCCGAGAAGCAGAUGAAGAUCCCAAGAAUAAACGGUAUUGGCUUUUGAAUUCAGCUGAUGAAGGACACGACUUAUAUUAGACGGUGAAUUCACCCUCCUUCGCCGUGCCCUUCCCAGGAAAGCGAGGGCUUGCUAGUUGCAGGGAAACUUCAAGCCGACCGAAAAAAAGUGAAUACGCGUUGCUUUUUCGCUUUUUCACUUUUGAGGUAAUCGAAGUCCAAAGAUUCUUUGGCACGAAAGGCGAGAGUACAACUGCAAGACAUUUUCAUUGCAUGUUAUUAGUUUAGAAAUUCUUUUCAUGACGAUGAAGGUGAAGCCCAGGCCCAUUCAAAUUUUACAUAUAUUAAACCUAAAAAUGUAAAAUUUAUAUAUUUUAAGUAUGUUAGACUUAUACACAAUCAGUUAGUAAAACCAAAAAAGUUAGGAAAAAGAACACCACAAAUACCAUAACCUCCAUACAACACUCAUUUAAGUACGAUAACUUUUUUGGAUCAUUUGAAUGAUGUAACUUCUAUUCAAUACUUAUUUAAAUAUCAUCAUCUUUUUUUUUCUUUUUCUUGAUCACGUGUACCAUAACUUCUUAAAAUUGUUCACAGAAUUCAACAUGAUAUAACAUUUGUGAUGAGCGUUUUUAAAAAUCAUAACACUGAAGUAAAGUUAUGACACUUAGGUGAAUAUUUUUUUAAAAGUUAUGGCACUUAAAUAAUCGGAAAAAAAUAGUUAUGAUAAUCAAGUAAAUGUUGUAUGAAAGUUAUAAUAUCCGUGGCUUUUUAUUUGUCAAAAGUUGCAUUCAGCCAUAAAGGCAUAAAGCUCCAAAAGUAUUUGCAAUACUAGUGAAAGCUUACCAACUAUAGAUGGUUCAAGCUGAACUUCUAAGACUAGGGACAUCAACAUAUGCAACCAUAGUACUGUGUCUGGUUAUCGUUUAGCAGGUUGAGUAGCCACCCGACCUUAGACAAGGCAUCCAAAACUUACUUUUUUACCAAGGAAAUUUUUAAGAGAAACUUAAUUAUCCUGUAGUCCAAAAAUUGGAAAUUACAAAGUUGUAAGUCAAUCAUGAACUACAAUAUAUAAGUCAACUUAACUUAUAUUUAUAGAUUAGUUAUGAUUAAAAAUAAAAUUAAUAAUAUGUUUAUAUGCAUCAUUGCUGAUUAAUCAAUGAAAGAAUUAUUCCAUUGUUUUUCAACAGACUGGUAAAUUAAUUCAAAUUUCUAUCAUGAUAUUGUACUGUGGAUAUUUAAAUAUAAAGGAAAUACAAUCAUACUGUAAAAUCCAUGUUAAAUAUUUUUAUUUUUAUUUUUAUUGCAUUUUAUUCUGAAAUUGGUUUUUAUAAAAAUUGACGUGGCUUUUUUUAUUAAGAGAGGCCCCGAUGUGGUUACUAAUGCCAAUGUUCUAUUUUAUAAUUAAAAUAUAAAACAUUGUUAUGAAUAUUUUAGAGAAAUAAAGAUCUAAAAAAAGGAUAGAAAAAUCAGACAAAAAUUCAUUUUGGAGAGCUGCAUUCGUCUCCAUCAACUACCUUUGAAAAUCAUUCAUUUAAAAAGAAAAAAAGAAAAAGAAAAGAAGAAGCUCCAAACAGUGUUCUGGAGAGUGGAGAUUGCAUUCGUUUUUGCACGAAUUCAUCCUACCAUAAUCAAAAUUCUUCAAAGUGGUAACAUGAAUACGCGCCUCCCCAAGUCUCGGAGAUUCUUCGCGUCCACUACCUCGCGGUCAAGCAAUGCCACCUUUUCAGGUAAACUUUGCAAAUCUGAGUAAGGUCACAGGCCACCAUUGUUGAACGGGCAAGGGCAGCCAGUGGCAAAGUCGCAGCCAGCCGCACCGGCAAGUGGCGAGGGGCUGCCACCUCGCCUGGUACAGUCGUUGCACACAUGCGCGCACACUCAGGGUGCAUUUGGAUGGGCAUUUAGAAAGCCCUUUCAAACCCCAAAAUCCUUUCAACCCAAAUUGAGGUGUUUGGCAACCAUCUUCAAGGGGCUUUCAAGUGAAAGUCGACCCUUGGGAAUGUUGAAAGCUCAAGGCUGGUCUCCACCAGCCUCGAACUUUUAGCAUUUUCGGAAUGCUAAAGGCCUCAAUUAAUGAAAAUGGUAAGUUGCCUAUUUUGUCCUCAAAACUUUAUUGAAAAACCACUUUUGCCCAUUUUAAAAACCAAGAAAACCCUAGAUCUCGCUUCUCUUCCCACCCUUCCAUCACUCUCUCCCUCGACCGCUUCUACACUCUUCGCUCGGUAGGACUCCCUCACCUGCUGCCACUGCUGCUCCACUCGAUUCUCGCCGCAUUGCUCAAGGCCUUCGCCGCCUCUCCCUCUCGAAGGUAUGGUCGUUGUCGUCAUCAAUAUCAUUGACCACUUGGUCCGCACGCGAAGUCGAACGCGAUUGUUCGAGCUUGCGGACGUCGUUCUGUGCAAUGGCGUCCUGAAUGUGCCGCGCCGCGCCUUGUCGUGCGGGAUUAGGUCUUCGUGUGCCAUUUCGAGUUCGCUCGUUGCGGGAGCGCUUGCGUCCUUGAUGUUGUUUUUCUUUUGUAUUUGGGGGAAAUGGUGGUGGUGGGUAGUGUUUCAUUUUUGCUUUGUGGGUGGCUGAAUGCUAUCAGUUCGUUUGCCAUUUUUUGUCGUGGGGGUGCUUUUGAGAUGAUGCUGCUGCUCCAAGAAACAGUGGGGGAACUCUAGGUGCUGUUGUGACUUGUCUUAGUUAAAGUGGGAUGGGUUCUGUUUUAGCUAAGAAUUGAAGGAAAGGGGAAGAGACAGAUAUUCCUGGUUCUUCGUUCCCUUCUGGCUUCUGGUUGUGUCGAUACGGUUUUGCUAGAUGGAGAGGAUGAAUAAAGUAACUGGAAAACGGUGAAGAGGUUGUGGAUCAUUCACCGUAAUUGUAAAAUUCAUUUUCUUUCGUUUAAGUUAGCCUCUGGAUGUUCCUUGUCAUUUAUUAUAGUCACCCUACAUAAGAAGGAGGCAGGAUUACAACAUAAUCCUACUCUUAAUAAUGGACAAUGUUGGGUCAAGCCGGGCACGUAGGCUGUUUUGUAGAAUUGUGCUAGGAAAGGUUACCUUUUGUUGCUAUAGCUGUUGAAAUUUUACUUGUAAUUGGAUAAGUUGCCUUCAUAUCUUGGAUGCUUAAAGUCAUUGGUUUGACCCAUGUAGAAGGAAAUAUUGUAAAUGUGCUCACUCUUCAUUACAUCAUCGUUAUCUAAUUUCUCCUCUUCUACAACUUUUCUGCAACUUUUCUGCAACUCUUUAGCUAUAGAGUUUGAGGAUUUUUGAAAUGCCUUAGCAACUUAAGUAUCUUGUCAUCAAGUACUUAUAUCACGUGCAAUUCUUUAGCUAUAGAGUUUGGGCCCUUAGGAUUUACUUGUGAAUAUUUGAGGUUAGAAUGAAACACUCUUCUGGUCCUUUUCUGGAGUGCAUUAUUUUAAAAGUUAGAUGCCCACUGUUUAUUCUCAAUUUUUUUGCUAGAGUUUGAUUAUAUUUUAAGCCACCCUUGCUUAUCUUUUGGAUUCAAAAGAGAACAGUUCGGUGAGCAGUAUACAAUACAAAAGAAAGCCUAGUAACAGCACAAUGCAAAGCCAACAUGAAUAACUGAUGUGUGUUUGUACCAGGAAAGGAAUCCCAAUGAGGCAAAAUGCUUUAAUCAUGUCUUCCUUUAACUGUAAUCUACCAACUGAGCUAUAUCCCCCCGAGCCAAGUGGAGCAUGCAUGAAGGAGUUAGAUGUGAGAUAGCUAGUAUAAGCACCUAAAGUGGGGGUGAAUAGGUGUUUAAAAUAAAUCUUGACAAAUAUAUGCAGAGUAAAAUAAACUUCGAGUAAAACAAAGGAGUUAGGGAAGAGAAUAAGAACACAAGAUUUAUAGUGGUUUGGUUUAAUCCAAGCCUACGUCCACUCUCCCAUGCUAACAUCUUUCUUGGCUGGAUUCCAUUAUGCAAUCAACAAGAGAUUACAAUUUCGAGUGCAAACACUUAGUAGAUCACACUAUCUCACUAAGUCACUCUUUUGGUAUUUCUCUCAUGAUCACAAACGUUUAAGCUUUCCAAAGACAAGUGUAUGAUUGAAGGUCGCUUAGACUUUGAAAUUAUAAAUUCUACGCUCUAUCUCUUACUUGCUCAUCGGUCAUUCAUCUCCUUAAAUACUCCUCCACUUCCAAACUAGCCGUUGGACAGUAUCCUAAAGAAUCAUCUUCCAAUAUACCCAUUGGACAGCUUUGUAUCUAAAAGAUUUGGUAGCCGUUGAGUGACAAAGGUAGAAUCCCAAAUUGAUUCGGAUCGCCCAUACAAACGAAAUCUUGGUUUCCAUAAGUAAAGCUUCUUCGUAUAGAAAGUUCUUGUCUUCAAGAUCCAAUCGUCAAUUAAAUAGAUUGAGUCCAUCAAAUCAAUCUUGAUGUGGAAUCCAAACCAGAUCACUAGGCAUUAUAUGAUUGGGCUUGAGUUACGUUCUGUCGAAUCUGGAUGUAAAGUCUGAGAGCAAUAGACUUUAUAAUCUGAGUCUGAACAUAUUCUGUUUUAGCAUAGAGUCUGUCUUCUAGUUCAGCUUUAGUAUAGAGUCUAUCUUUUGGUUCUUCCAAGUAUAGACUUUGAUAAUAUUUUUUACACGUUCUAUCAUCUGCAUAGUCUAUUACUCAACCAGCAAAUACAUUAGUAGCCUUUGAUUUAUUUUGUCAUCUUUAAAACAUCAUAAGGGAUUUCCCUAACAAGAUGCUUCUUCUAUUCUUUUCUUUUCCUUGGCGCAGCUGGCUUGCUAUUUUUCACUUAAUAUCUUUAGAAAAGAGACAGCAUAUUUUGUGCACUAGUGUGUUUCCAAUUGCCACAGCGUUUUACUAAGCAUAAGCAAACUCUCAUGAUGAUUCCAACAAUUGCUUAAAACGUGACCAUAAAUGUUGUAUCGCUAUACGAACUAUUCUUCACAUCUUGCAACAAGAAGUGUAUUAUCGAUGGACUGCUACUUGCAUUUUACAUCACUUAUCUGUACCUAAUGCUUGAUCUUUCACUGCAGAUACUUGAGAUAAGCUCAUCGAAGGGUUUUGAACAGCAAUUUAUUCUUCUAGAGACAAAAAGGUUAGUCCCAAUACGAUCUUUUUUCUUCAGGGGUUUCUACAUAUCCAACAGAAACCCUUGCUUUGCCCCGUUUUGAUUUGGUACUUUUCUUGGUCUUCUCUACUUUUGAUUUGAGUUCUGUUUGGUUUGUUGUCCGUGAACUUUUACUUGCUCUGUUGGUUGAUGAGAAAGCGAAGAAGCAGAUGCUAGUAGAAGAGCCAAUUGCUAGUUGGGGGUUUGUGAUCCAUGCUAGGAAGUUAGAGUAAUGAGUGAAAGACAAUGCUCUUAGAUCAGUCCAAUUUGGCUGGUUUAGUUGAUCUUUUUCACGAAACCUUAUGACUUCGGAGUAAUGUGUGAUCUGUUGUAGUUCAAAAAUGGCAUCAAUGAAUAAUGUUUAGCUAUUUUCAAAUGCUCUUGUUCAUGAAGUCUUUUUUUUUUUUUUAAUGUCUGCACAACUUGUCAAUUAAACAUUUGCAUUUUUUAAUGUUGCAUUGAUUAGUAGAUGGCAAGUUCAUCAAAAGAAAAGAUAUUUUGGAGCCCUGAAGAUGUUGAAACCUUUUAUAAGUUGUGCGUUGAACAAAUUGACAAUGGCAAUCGUUCUGCAAACAACAAAAGGGAUGGAUGGACGGUUAUAAUUAAGAAGUUUGAGGACCUAAGGAACAAAAAGUAUGAUAAAGGUCAAAUGAGGAGUAAGUGGGAUAAUCUUAAAGAAGAUUGGAAAAGAUGGAGGACAUUGAUCUUAAAGGAAACUGGAUUAGGAUGGGAUCCAAAAAAGAAUACCAUUAAUGCAAGUGAUGAAUGGUGGGAGAGGAAAAUUCAGGUUUUUUCCCUUCUUUUAUUAAUUUUUUUUUAAGUUCAUCUUUUUUCUAUAAAACUCACGAAAAUGUUUAUUAUAACAGGAAAAUCCUAAGAUUAGACCUUUUAGAAUGAAAGGCAUAUAUUUGGAUCUUCAAGUUUUAUUGGAUAGAAUGUUUAGAAAUACUGUUGCCACUAGAAGCAUCACAUGGAAUCCUGCACAAGGCUUACGUAUUGAUGAGGAUGUUGUGGCCACACAAUUUGACAUUGGUGGUUCAGCAAGAUUUACUGAUAAUAAUAUAGAGGACGAUGUGGGUGGAAAGACUAGUGAACAACAUCGAAGUGAUAAAAGAACGUCGUAGAGUUCGGUGAGACAUUCUCAAGGAAAGAAACAAAAGAAAAGUAUGGUUGACAAGCUAACAACGCAAAUGGAGAGGAUUUGUUUAGCUAUUGAAAGUAGAAGUUAUGCCAAAAAGUUUGAUCCUUACAAGAAACUCAUGGAGACGUUGAAAGCUAUACCCGAGAUAAAGCAAGAUCAAGAGUUAUAUGUUUUUGCACUAGAUUAUUUUUUAAAAAAGAAAGAUAAUAGGCAAAUCUUUAUGAACUUGGAUGAUAAUCAAGAAAAAGUCACAUGGCUCUAGUAUAAGUUCGCACAACGUAGGGCUCACUAGGAUAUUUGCUAUUUAUAUUUUUCAUGUGUAAUGUUAUUGUAAUGUGAUACAUAUUUGCACUACUUAUUUAUAUGAGUUGGUGAGACAUAUUUAUGCUAUGUUAUCAUACUUAUUUCUAAUUGGUGUUCUUUUUAUUGAAUGGAGUUUGCAUAUAUAUAUGAUAAGUGUUUUUUUAUUGAUGAAUGAUCUAAAUAAUUUAUUAUAUCUCUUAUUCUAAUUCUAUUUUGUUACUUUGAUCAGUUAUGGAUGACUCUCAUGAAAGAGAAAACCAUGAAAAAGAGGAAGAAGAAUAUUAGCAACUUUGUGCAGCUGCACAUAUUUGCGGUGUUUAUCAGGCAAUAUAUGGUAAAAAAAUACUGUGCAUGAUCUCAUCAUAUACAGGAAAUGUAUGGUUAAGAGAGUUGAUGGACAUGGAUGCUAAUCCUGAAAUGUUUUAUUGAAUGUUUAGAAUUGAUAGAAUUGUAUUUAAGAAUUUAAUUAAUGAUUUAGUGACACGAUAAGAUUUGCAAGGAACUAGAAAUAUUGAUGUUGCAGAAAUGCUAGAAUUGUUUCUUCAUAUUUUAGGAUAUAAUAUCGGUAAUAGGUUAGCACAAGAGCGUUUUCAGCAUUCUGGGGAAACCAUAUGCAGGCUAUUUAGCUUAGUUUUGGAUAAAGUAUGUGAAAUGGGAGCAGAUUUGAUUCAACCAUCCAAUCGACAAUUCAAAGAAGUUCCAAAGAAGAUCAGGAAUAAUACAAGAUUUUUUCCACAUUUUAAGGUAAGUUACGAUUAUACAAUAGAAAAUAUGAAUUAAAUAUAAAUCAAAUAAUAUUCUUGUUCUUGCUUUAGGAUUGUAUUAGAGCUAUAGAUGGUAUUCAUAUUCUAGCAGUGGUACCUACGAGUGAGCAGCUUCAUUUUAUUGGUCGAAAAGGAACACUGAUGCAAAAUGUGAUGGCCGUAUGUAAUUUUAAUAUGGAAUUUACUUAUGUGUGGGCCGGUUGGGAGGGAACAGCUCAUGAUACUCGUAUAUUUUAUGAAGCUAUUAGGAGACAUGAUUUACAAUUUCCUCAUCCUUCAAAAGGUUCGUUAAUUAAUGCUUUUUAUGCAUUAAUAUAUGUAUGUGUUAUAUGUUGAUUAAAUUUACAAAUUUUUUGUGUAGGUAAAUAUUAUUUGGUUGAUGCUGAAUAUCCAAAUCUCACGGGUUAUUUGGGGCCAUAUAAAGAAGUUAGAUAUCAUUUACCUGAGCGAGCAAGUUAUAAAGAAGUGUUUAAUCGUGCUCAAUCCUCACUACGAUCAGAAAUUGAGCGAGCUUUUGGCGUAUUGAAGAAGAAGUGGAAGAUUUUAAAGAGUAUGCCAAGUUAUCCAUAUACAAAGCAAGUGAAAAUUGUGAUAACAACAAUGACUUUGCACAAUUAUAUACGAAGAAAUGCCCUGAAUGAUACACAUUUUGCUAGAGUAGAUUUGGAUCCCAAUUUAUAAACAACGGAUCAUGAUGAUGUAAAUGGUGAGGGUAAUGCUUCAAAUGAUGAUGUAGCAUUUGAUAUGGCACGUUUACGUGAUCAAAUAACUAUGAAUUUAUGAAGAAAUUAAGGAUAUUUGUAAUUUUUAAGGAUAAUGAGCUUCUUUCCUCAAAGCAUAUGUUAUUAUGUUUUUAUUGUAAUGAAAGUAUUCACAUUGUAAUUGAGAAAGAGAGCACGUGAAUUUUUUCCAUUUGAUAUUUUUUAGCAAAAAAAAGAAUUUUAAUUUUAAUAAAAUUGUUUACACGACAUAUUUAACAUUGUUGUCAAAUAUAAAUUAAAAAAGUCACAAACAUUAUUUUUUUAAUUUUAAACAAAUAAAAAUUAAAAUAUUUAGAUUAAUCACAAAAUGGGCUUUGCAAAUGUGUUUUCUAGCAAACAGCAUUUUUCUCAAAGUUACUUUUCAAAGCAAAAUUUACCAAACAGUCUUUGCAUUUCAUCCAAUGCCCUUUAGGCCAAACUGCUUUGCAUUUUCCCAAUGAGCUUUCCAAAUGCCGAACCAAACGCACCCUCAGCCGCCCCACGUUUUCCUUUUUCCACGCUAGCGAAGUAGAAGCCACGAAGCAGCCCACAAUCUCUCUCCUCCCUCUCGCCAGCUGCCCCUCCCUUUUUCUCUUCCUUGCGUGUGUCUGGUUGUGCCCCAUCUUCACGGUUGUUGCUCCAAAUUUCAUUUCCUCUCAAAAUCCGCUGCUCCUCUCCUUCUCGUGCCUCUCCACAGAAGCUACUUGAUUGCUCAGUAGAUGCCACACGUCGCCAGCUUCAACGCUUUUUGGUCAACAAUCCCUCCUCUCUUUUCUACUAGCAACACCGCCUAAUUUUCCUCGGCUUUGCCGCGUUGCCACUGUUCGAAGUAGUCCCACGAGCCCAGAAGCUUCUUCAACGGCCCAUCUGCUCCAGCGAACAUGUCUUGACCAGCCCCUUUGCCGAUCACCAGCCCCGCGUCAUCCACCAACAACCGCCGAGACCAACUCAGCUCCCUCAAGCAAAAUCAGAACUGAGCAAAGCAGAAUUUCAGCCAAGCCGCGCAGCUUUGCGGGCAGAUUUUGGCCUCGGUUUGACCCUCGUUGGCGGUCUCGCUUUGAGGUUUAUCGGCCCUCGUCGCAUGCUCGACAAUUUAAUCUGAGCGGAUCUUUAAUCAUGUGAGUUUUGCUCACUAAACCCCACUUAAUAGACUAAUGAUGCUUAGGGAUUGAUUAUAUUUAAUUAAGUAUGAUUAGGUGGAUAGAUUAGACUAGAGCAAUUGAAUUAGUGCCUUAUCAAUGCAUGUUAGGCAAUUGGUUAGUAUAGUUAGCAAGUAGACACGCCCUAAUAUUUAUUGAGCGAACCUCAGAAUUUUUCCGGGUCCGUCUCGACUUCCAAUUAGGCAUUACGGGCCUAAGUUGGAUUUUUGGCAUUUAUUUAAUAAUUUUCGUAAUUAUUUAACUAAUUAAUUAUUUUCCGGAAAUUAGAUCGGGAUGGUCGACAACUGGAAUUUUAUGCUGAUUAUCGUGGUGCAAUUUUUUUAAUUUAUUAAGUGCUAGAUUGUGUUGAAUUGAUUUAUUACUAAUUUUAGGAUUUAUUCCUAAAUUAAUUAAUUGUGAUAAUUAAUUGAAAAAUUACUGGGCAUCAGUUUACAGCACCAAAAAUAUGUAAUGGGCUGUUGAAAUUGGUGGGAUAUUAAAAAAAAAAAUGAAAUUAUGAUAUUUUGGCUAAGGUUGACAAUGUCCCCACACAUGGCUAUUUUUAUCGGAGAUGAUAAAAAUUGGUGAAUUGAUUGAAUGGUCAAGAUAGUAUACUAUAUCAUCCUACGAGCUCUGACAUGUCAGCUUAGCGAGAGCAGUAUACUGGUGUACUAUAUCAACCUGCGGGUGAUAUAUCAGCUUAACGUGAGCAAUACACUUUAUCAGCUUAGAGUGAGCACCGGAGGUAUACUAUAUCAGCUUGCAGGCGAUAUGUCAGCUUAGUGAUAGCAGUAUACAGGUAUACUAUAUCAGCCUGCGGGCAAUAUGUCAGUUUAGCGGGAGCAGUAUACCUUAACUCUAUCAACUUAAUGCGAACUGUAUUAUCUAUUUAUCAACUUAGAGUGAGCAGUCCUGAUAUAGUCGGACUUUAUAGAUAGUAUUGAUUGAAUUGACCAUGGGAUCGUCCGAAGACAUGAAAUCAACUAGGUCGAUUAAUUGAUGAUUCGAUAUGAGUUCUGAAUUGACGUGAUGACGUAAUUCAAUGAUUGGUUGAUGUGAUAUAAAUCAUCUGUAAAUAAUGUUGAUUUGCAGGAUGGAAUUGAGACCAAGGUAAGUCCUCUAACUCGUGUUGUGCUUAGGCAGCCUCUAGAGUGUAUUGGCUUCUUAAUCGGGUCUUAGGGGUAGAACUUGCUGAGACGUUGUCUCACUGGUUAUUGUAUAACAAUUUUCAGGUCCUUAGAUGAUGUUGAUGGAGAAUUGGGAGCCCUGGAGUUUGGAAAGGUGGAGAGGCCAGAAUCGGCGAAUGAGUCUGACUAGUAGGUCAUAGGACAGUUCCUUUUGGAAUGAGCCGACCUUUUUGUAAAUAGUCUGGUCUAGUAAAUAAAUCCAGUUGUUUAUAAAAUGUUUGUUUUGGUUUGAAAAAUUGGCCCUACUUUUCUAUCCCAUUGAAUUGUUGUCUGGGCAUUAUUUAUCUGCUUCCGAAUGUGCAUUUAAGAAUGAAUGGGUCGGCAAUGCGUCUUAUGACAUCGCAAUUUAAUCGACCAAGGAGGGAUGGACACGUGCUUAGAGAAUCGAGGUGUGACAGAUUGACUAUGACAAGACAUAUGCACCAGUAGCCAGGUUAGAAGCCAUGAGGCUAUUGCUUGCUUAUGCAUGUUUUCAUAACUUUAAGGUAUUCUAGAUGGACAUCAAAAGCACAUUCCUCAAUAAAUUCAUCAAAGAAGAAGUUUAUGUGGAACAACCACAAUGAUUUAAAGAUUCCAAAAAGCCAGACUUUGUUUAUAGACUGAAAAAAGCGUUAUACGAUCCGAAGUAAACACCUCAUGCUUAGGCUUAACAAGUUUAUGGAUUUAAGAAUGGUAUGGUCAACAGUAUUUUAUUUAUCAAGAAAGAAGGUAAACAUUUCUUGCUAGUCCAAAUAUAUGUCGAUGACAUUAUAUUUGGUACUUCUAAUGAACUUUUGUACAAGAAAUUUUCUAAGUUUAUGCAGGAAGAAUCAGAAUUGAGUAUGAUGGGAGAAUCGACCUUCUUUCUGGGUCUAUGAGUCAGACAAUCCAAAGAAGGAACCUUCAUUUAUUAAGAAAAAUAUGCCAAAUAUAUUAUCAAGAAGUUUGAAAUGGAGAAUUGCAAAAAAGUUGAGACUACUAAGUCAAGUUUCUCCAAACUUGAUAAAGAUGAGGGUGGUAAGAAGGUGGACUAGAAAACCUACAGAAGUAUGAUUGGUUCUCUACUCUAUUUUACUACUCCUCCUCCUGAUAUUCUAUUUAGUGUGUACAUGGGUACAAGAUUUCAAGCUAAUCCUAGAAAAUCUCAUCUCAGUUCUAUUAAACGUAUUAUCAAAUAUAUUACCACUAAUCAUAAGUUAGGUUUGCGGUAUCCAAAAAAAGAAGAUUUUCCCUUACUUUGAUACUUAGACACAGAUUUAGCCGAUUGUAGAGUUGAUCGGAAAAAUACUUCAAGGACAUGCCAACUUCUAAGACAAAUGUUGAUGUCCUAAUUCUUGAAGAAACAUAAUACUGUGGCACUCUCAACCGCAUAAGCAAAAUAUGUUGCUCUUGGUAGUUGUUGUUCUCAAAUUCUAUAGAUUAUACAACAACUAAAAGACUUAAGAGAAUUAUGUACUGAAAUCAGAUACGACAACACAAGUGCGAUCAAUCUCACUAAGAACCCCAUUCUUCAUUCAAGAGUGAAGACCAUUGAGAUUCGAUACCAUUUUGUAAGAGAUCAUGUGCACAAUGGUAAAAUUAACAUUUAGUUUGUUGAUUUAAAGAAUCAACCAGCGAAUAUUUUCACCAAACCUCUUGAAAAAGAUAUGUUUGAGUAUAUUUAUGAGAAAUUUCAUAUUACUUAUCCUUUUGGUUAGAGUCUAUACAAGCUAAACUCAAGAGUACAAUCUUUUGAAAGAAAUAACACUAGGGAAGCACACUCUGACUCAAGUAUAUAUAAUUCAAAUUUUGGCGCAUAAGUUUCCUUCCUUAAUAAGCGGGUAUGAAUAUUUUAUACUUAUUCGAAUUUUGAUUUGCAUGUUAUGGUUUUUGAAAUUGUGGUUAAUUUUUCAACAUUUCCCUAACGAUUUUGUGGACAAGAACAAAUAGGCUAAUGUUCAGGGUGAGCAACAAACUUCCAAGGCACAAUCAGAUCUUCCAUCGCAUUUGAAUGUCCCCCCAGUGAACUUUGCCAAAGCUAGUGCUCAGACAGAAUAAGAUGUCAACUAUCCAAUGAUUGUUGAGCUCCUAAUGGAGAUUAAAGCAUAGUAGUAUGGUAUGGAGAUUGAAAUCCAAAAGCUACAUGCUUCUCUUGAUACUACAUCACAGUCUCUUGGUGGAAAGGUAUAGUCUCUUGAUGAAAAGGUUCAGAUCAUCAAAUAGCUAACCGUCUAGAAUAUGGCUAAGGUUGAGAAUGCCUUUAGUUAGUGCAUGGCCAAGAUUGAGGAGACCAUGCAGAACAUGGAGGACUUCCACCUUGUCCAAGUUCCAAGAAACCCUUGAUUUUUUAAAAAUCUUCAUCUUUUCAUGUCUUUUAUGUGCUUAAAUCAUUUUGGUAUGUUUUUUGGUUUGUAGUCUUUGCUUGAUUUGCAUACCUUUUUAAACCCUCUUGUUGGUGACAAAAAGGGGGAGACUCUAUGUAAAUUUUAAGACUUUGUGUGUUUUGUGCAGACUUUGGUGUGUUUGUGCAGAUUUUCGCAAACUUUUAAGUUGGUGUUUGUUAUUAAUAAAUAUUAUGCUUCUCUAAUGUCUACCUAUUCAUAAAAUUUAUAUUUUUUGCUGCUUAGGCGUUUUUUGAUAUGAUAAUAUAGACUUCAUGUCUAAAUUUGCAUGAAAGUUUUGUUACCGUCAAAAAGGAAAAGAUUGUUAAGAAAACUCAUAUCAAGAUUUUGAAGUUGACAAAACUUUAUGUUUCUAAUAUCUAUCUUAAGUGCCGAUUGCUUAUAAAUUGUUUCUAAGAAACUAUUAAAGACUUUGAUCAAAGUCUAUUAUAUUCCAGAAGCAUUUCCCACUCUAACUAGUCCAGAACGAGAUCAUGUCUAGAAUGAGGAAGAGUCUAAAACUAGACUCAGUGACGCUGUGACACAAACCCAGAAUGAACUUUAUUUGGAAAUUAUUCUUCGUCGACUAUUUUUUGGUUAAGGAUUUUACUUACCUUAUUUAAAAGCAUUAAUUAUGUGACAUCCUGAUUUUCAAAUUCUGUUUUCUAUUGGAUAAGUUAGGCUUUUCAUCGACACGCCUAUAGUUCUUUUUUCUGAAUUGGCCACUCACGAGAUAACUAACCUAUCAGGUGAGGCUAUUAAGGGAUUUUAACGCAAUAGAUUUGAGAAUUUGACCAAGAAUCGACUGCUCAGCCGUGUUAGUCUGCAAGGGUCAUUACGGCACUGUCAAAAUCGAUUAGAGACUAGAAAUAGGUCGAUUUGAUAGAGAUAUGUGAUUAGUGUGUGGGUGAUCUCACCGGAUUGCAAAAUUUCUGCCGACCGAUACUAAACCGAUUUUUUUGUCGUUUUGGUAUCCUGUAUCCGUAUUGGAAACCUCGAGAUUUUCAUGAUAACCGAGAGUCGUCAAUGUGUCAAAGAUGUACAUUGUGGCUCGAAACUAAUUGACCAUGGGUUAAUUGCAAAAAAAAAAUUCUAAAAGCUAUUCGGUGAGCUAGGUCACGCUAAAAUCGCGCCAGAGUGAAAUUAACCGCGAAUUCGAAUCCGAUUUUAGAAAUUAGAAGUUCUGUCAUGUCACGAUUCAUUCUAGGAUCGUCGACUCAUCCUCCAAAGAUUUUUCUGCAAAUCGAGAUUUUUGACGAAAAUUCAAAAUAGGGCCGUGUAUGUCCGAAAAAUUCAAGAGACCAUUUUCGAUCACGUUUUUGGGAUGCAAGUUGGUUUUAUUGGCGAGGAAAAAUGUUAAUUUGAUCGAGGGCAUCUUGGUGGAAUUUAUAGGGACCGGUUUAAGUCCAAUUGAAGAGAAAUUGAAUCCAAUUUGGUAGAAUUUGUCCCAAAAUUCGUAGGCCAUGGUCCCCUCAACCUUUGGACCACUUAGGGCCUGUUUGUUUGGAUUUCUUUUUUCUGUUUUUCAACACUUUUUCUGUUUUUUUGUUCCUGGGAACAAAAAAGGAACAGAAACGUAUUUGUGUGCGUUUUUGUUCCAAAACUAUUUUUUUGUUCCCAGAAACACAUCCGGAACAGAAACAAGAAACAAAAAAGAGUUGUUUCUUGUUUCUGAAACAAAAUUUAUAAACACUUUUCUCUUUUUUCUUUUUCUUUUCUUCUUCUUUUUUCUUUUUCUUUUCUUGUUCUUUUUUCUGUCUUUUUUCUUUGGCCAGUCGUCGGCCUCGGCCAUGGCCGGCGACCUGCCGUCGAGGGUCGGCGACGCCGUCGAGGGCCGACGACCUUGGCGGAGCGUCGCCGGCCCCUAGCGAGGCCGAGCCUCGCUGUAGCUAGGUGAGGCGAGCUCGAGCUCGCCCAGCGGUCGGUAAGGCCGAGCUUGCCCAACGACCAGCGAGGCUCAGCGUUGCCGGGCCAUCGCCAGGCGACGCCAACCUAGCGGUGGCCCGGCGAGGCUCGAGGCCGCUGGGUGAGUUUGGCCUCACCAGAUCUGGGCGAGGCCAAGCUCGCCCAGCCAAGGUGAGGCUUGGGCUCGCCGGAUUUGGGUGAGGCCGAGCCUCGCCCAACCACGGCGAGGGUCGGCCUUGCCGGGGGCUGGCGAGCCUCAUCGUGGCUGGGCGAGGCUGUCGGCCGAUUGCCGGAGGCUGGCGACCGGCCAAAGAAGAAAAAAAGAAAAAAGAAAAAAGAAAGGAAAAAAGGAAAAAGAAAAUAAAAAUAUUAAAAAAUUAAAAGAAACAAAAAAAGAAUAUAAAUUUACCAAACGUGUUUCUAUUAAUUUUUUAUUUCCAGAACAAGUUUACCAAACGCGUAUUUCUGGUCAAAAAUUGUUUCCCGGAACAUAAACACUUUUUUAUUUCUGUUCCUUGGAACAAUUUUUGAACAUAAACGUUACCAAACGCGCCCUUAAUGAACAACCAGAAGAACAAUGGAAGCGUCAAAUAAAUAGCUAAAUUGGACAACCCUGCUCAGUUUUGGAGGCAAAGGCUUGUUGUAAGUUGAUUAACCCAUCUAUUGCACGGAUUUAUUCAUGUCUUUCAUUAAUAAUUGUGCUCCCCACAACCACAGCCUGGACGAGCUGAUUUGGACAUGAACCAACAUGUCAACAACGUCACCGACAUUGGAUGUGUUCCAGAGGUAAGGGUUGCAGGCCUUCCUUCAUGUCCAUUCCGCUGGACAUGGCUCAUACUUCUAAUACGACCGAUUCAAGUUUCUUCAUCUAGUUCCCUUUGUUUUGCUGUACCAAUCUGGCUUUCAAGAAAAGAUGAGUCGAGAAUUAAAUCGUUUCAAUCUGCAUCUGGGUCGGGUUCCUCAUCGUCAUAUCUGCCGUAUUAGGAAGUUGAAGUGAUAUGCUCACAGUUUUACCAAGGCUUGCCUUUCCCGUGGGAAGAGCUUUUUCUUUGUUCCCGGUGUCACCAAGUGGACCACAAAAUUUUGUCAGAAACAUUCUGGUUUUGUGCUGCUUUCCUCUAAUUUGCCAAAAGGUGUCCUGGAAGAAGAAUAAGGAUAGAGGCUUUGGCCCAUCUAGGUCGAGCAUGUAUUUGGGCUGUACUUCAUGUUCGGCCUCACAUGGCACGAACUGUUACUGACUCUGUCUUCUGGAGUUUUUCUUGUCCCACUGACUUGUAGAGAUGAAGGCAUCAGCAGUUUUUGAUGAAAUGUUCCUCAAUCUCUCUCAUAUUCUGGAAAUCCUGUAAUCAACCUUCCUCUGAACUGCUCUCUAUGUUGUCAUCAUGACAGAGCAUGCCUCAAGAAAUUAUCAACUCCUACCAACCGCAAACGAUCACACUGGAUUACAGGCGUGAGUGUCAGCACAAUGAUGUUGUCGAUUCGCUCAGCAGUCAUGAAACCAGACGAGAACUUGGGGGCCAUCUCGCAGCUCAAUGGAACCAACGGAUCAGCCACCUCUCCGGCAACAGAAGAUUAUCGCCAGUUUCUCCACUUACUCAAGUUGUCUGGUGACGGCCUAGAAAUAGACCGUGACCCCACCCAGUGGAGAAAGAAGCCUAUGAGGUAACUAGUUUUUGACUGCACGUAAAAAGACGGUUUGUAUUUUGUAUUUGUCAUUCUUCACAAGGAUUUCUGCGCCACCGAAUCUCGCCAUUGCUUGCUUGUAGUUUUCCUUCUGCAUAGAGAACUGUGAUUUUCGUGCCGGGAAAAAGAGAAAAAAAAGAGAGAGUUAGAGAAAGGUAUGUGUACUCGGUAUGCUUAUCCGAGGUACCGCAAGGCCACCCGAGACAUGAGUUUGUAACCUAUCAUGCUGUGAUAGGUUAUCAAUAACCUUGUAGUUCAUUAUUUAAGAGGAGAAUUAUUAGAGGUAGCUCUUAGUGUUCUGUUUUCCCACUUUAAAGGAAUGCAUGCUGAAAUAUUGAGUUUUUUAUUUGAAAUGUCACUGCUUGGGAAAAGCAUUCGAGUGAUCCGUCGAAGAGUUAAACUAAGAGAUACCUAACUGAUUAAGAAAUCCUUGCCCCGAAUUACCAAGAAUUCUCUGCCCUUCACAAAACCAACAGGAGAAGAAUCGAGGUAAGACCCGGUGAGCCAUGAUAGAUGAUGGUAGGAAUUGUGGCCCAAGAUCCAAGAAAAGUUUCAGGAGGGCCUUACAACCCUUCCUUGCGAUUUCGGAUGUCCAUAAAUAUAUUCAAAUUUCUAACAUUCCUUCAAUCGAUUAGGCUUUUUUUUGUAAUUUAUCUUGAUCCGGAUUUCAUUCAUGGGCUCAAGCUUGAAAUAUAUUUCAAGAGAUUUAAAGAAAAACUUAAGCCAAUCUUUCCCUGCCAAAAGUAAACCAAACGUUGAAUAUGAACCAAAGAUAAAAAGGGAACAUAAAGUUGUUAAAAAUGUAUUAUCUUUCAUGUCAUUGAAGGGUAAAGAUAAUUGAAAAUAACGAAUCAAGAAGAAAAGGCGGCUUUUGAACAAUAAAAAGAAAAAACUAAUUUCAGUUGUUUAAGACAAGAAGUCCAAGCAAUUUUCUCCUUCCUCCUAAAUUCUAAAGUAUCGAGAUAAUUAUUUGACCAAUUAAAAACUUAGUUAUCCUUCGCUAAUUCACUCUAACUAUUCAAUCCAAUCCAAGCACAACUCCUAACUUCGAAUCCUAGUGGACGUAGGAUCAAUUUGAAACAAUUUAUAAGAACGACUCUUUGUGCAUCCCAUAUUCUUCGCACGAAGUUCUGCUGUGGACUUAAACGAGACUCUGGAGCAAAGAAGGCGGUCGAUUCCUCAUCAUCUUCCUCUGAUCUUAGGUAACUGAGAUCCACGUCUCUCUCUCUGUGAUGAUCUGUUAGUGUGUGGACAUUAAAACUUAUAAAUCAAUCAUGUUUUAGGCUCUGUUUUAAGAAUUUCUUCCGAUAAGUGAUUACUAAGGUAGAGAAGAGGGAGAACAUAUUAAUUCGGCUUCGUGCUUCGCAGGGUCGAAUCAUGGACAAGUUGCCGACGGACGUUCUCGUGUCCAUACUGUAUCUUUUGCCGAUGAAAGAAGCGGCCAGAACUAGUGUUCUCUCCCGCGCAUGGCGAGACCUGUGGAAGCAUGUGUCGUCUCUGGAUUUCGACGUCUCGCCAACCCUUAGUGUUCAAGGUGCGCCGAUGAACCUCGGCAUUUUAGAAGUCGAGUAUGUCAAUUGGGUCAAACGUGCCUCGGAAGGACGCCGAGGUCGUCUCCCGGAGGAGUUCCAGGUUCGCAUCGUUCUAGACGAAUCUUUCGGGCUUCGAUUCGCAAUAGGGAAGAAAGUGCAAAGCCUCGAGCUAGAUCUCACGGCCUACUGGCCCGACCGUGAUCGAACCAAUUACACUUUCCCGCCUAUUCACUCUCUCGACUUCGCCCGCAUGCGAUCGCUCAAGUCCCUGUGCUUGAGACGCAUCAACGUGCGAGGCUCAGUUCUCCAGCGCUUCCUCUCGGAGUGUCCGUCUCUCGAGAGGUUGCGCGUGUCGAGCUCCGAUCAUUUGAUCGACCUCAUAAUAACCGGUCCAUCCCCUCUCGAGUUGAAGCACCUGGACAUAUCGGGAUGCCGGGACUUGCAAAGCAUCGUCAUCGCAGCCCCGACUCCUAAUCUCCUUUCCUUGCGAUACGACGGAAGCAGCGUCCAAGUCGAAGUCAAGGACGCUCCUCGUCUCGCGGGACUUGCAAUCUGCGGAUCUAUCAAAGCUGCUCGCCGUUCGCUUUGGGGCUAUCUGCCCCAGCUCGACGCGCUACAUCUCAAGGUGCCGGAAGCCCAGCUGGUAUGUAUGGCACCCAUGCCUUGUACGCAAGAAAGAAAAAUUCCAGUGCGUCAUCUCUAAUGACAUCCGCCCCCUUUUGCAGUUUUCGGUAUAUCACAACAUCUCUGGCGCCUUGUUUAAAUUGAAGCACUUAACCUUGGACGUCUCUGAUGACUUCAACCUCGACGACCUCAACCCGCUUUCCCUCUAUACUUACCUUGUGGAGGAUGCUCCUUGUUUAAAUAGGUUGACCCUGCAGGUGCGCAGCCUUCCAUCUUGAUGAAGGGAUUUACAUGUGCUGUAAUUAUUACCAUGUUGAGCUCUGCGCUUCUAUAUAUACACUACUCGAUUUUGGUGUAAUUAUUUGCUCUAUGCAUAUGAAUUAUCGUAACAUAUAAUAAUAAUUGAAUUUUUUUUCUUCAUUUGCAUAAAUACUUAAUAUUCAAUAUUAAUAAAAUGAAUUAGUGUCUUAUUUCAUUUUAAAUAUAAACAGUAACUUGAUCAUAUUCAUAUCAUUUGACCAAUUCUAACUUCUUGAUUUGAAUAUUUGAAAUAUUGAUUAAAGAAGAAAGAUUCAGAAUAAUUAGGAAUAGAAAAUUCUAUUUAAGUAUUCCAUAUCUUGAUUUUUUAUUGAAACUAUAAAAAGAUAUAAGAGCCGGUGAAUUAUAAAGAAUUAAUUAAAAAUAAAAAGGAUUUUUUAUUCUGCGCUUAUAUAUAUAUAUAUAUAUAUGCCAGAAUGGACGAUAAUGAUGAAAUCAUUCUUUCCUUGCCAGGUCUUGGAUGCUCCAAGCAAGGAGGAUUUGGAAAUCCCGGUCCCUAUCCUAUACCCUCAUGAAUGUCUUGAGGUCGUAGAGAUAAUCGGCUUCAACCCGCAAAUCAGGUUCUUCACGAUCAUGCUUUUCCGGUACUGGCUCAUGAGCACUGCAUCGUUGAAGCGACUCGUUGUCGAUCCCCGCAUACCGUCCUUGUUGGGAACGCCCUCGGAAUAUCCGACACCGACCAAGCUAAGAGCAGCAAGGGAUUAUGCAUCCAGGGUAGCGCAGGUUAUCCCGCUCCCGCCAGAAGUUGAAUUGGUCAUUAUGUGAACGUCCAGUCCCUUUUUCUGUCGCGCUACUGAGGCAUAAUAUAAAUCCUUCCCGUAGGUAAACAUUUUUCUUAUCCGUCAACAGAGGUAACGUUUUUUUUUUUUUUUUGUCAUUAUAGACCCGUUAUUCGCUUUCGAUUCUAUUUAUGCGACGCCAGUUCUCUAUCUAUUUCUUUUAGUCGAUGAGCGUGUUUCGUAAGAAAUUAGAAAAAUUUGCACCAAAUUUUAAUCAUUUGGCUUAAAGUGUAACCGUGUCCAUAGUAAAAGUAAAAAAAUAAAAAAAAAUUCAAAAACAAGAAAACUGCGUCAUCACUUCAGGCCAUGCCUCUCGAGAUCGAUCCUCGAGUACCCUCUUGCAAUGGAGACAGCGCAAGAAUUUCUCCAAUUCUUGCCAAUCUGGUUUACUGAGACCGGCGAUGGAGAAUUCAAUUAGCAUCUUAAGGGUAUCUAAAUAAUUGGCCGUGGCCGGAAACUGUGACCGCAAAAUGAUCUCUGCUUGUUGAAUAAGCAGAUCCUCCAAACACGUCCAAAUCCCCGUUUCCUGUAAAAUUGGACUCGUUAGAGUCAAGAUAACUCCUACAAAUUUCAAGAACACAAGGUAUAAAUCUUUCAAGAAACCCACACAUGUAAAAUAGAACAUCUUUAGCGAUUCCAAAUGAUCGGCCUUCACACAUCAAAGAAAUAAAUACAACUCAAUCUUUUGAUUAAGUGCCCAAACAACUAAGAAACAAGAAGCAACAUAUGCAUAAAGACCCACAACGCGUAAUGCGUGCUCAUUGUACUGGAUAAUGAGGUCCUUAAGCAGUGACAGUUCUCGGGCAAUCGGGAGUCGCUCAAGCUCCCAGGCCGGCAUAAGAGUCGUCUUCAUUCGGCAAGGAGAGCCAGUCUACCAUUGUCCUUGUAGGUUCUCCACUGUUCGACUCUUCCUCUUUUUUCCAAAAUUUUGCUUUUUCACGUUUUUAUUUUCGGAAAUCUUGGAAUCAAUUUUUUUCCUUUUUUAAUUUUUCUUAAAAUUGCCGAUGUGGCAAUCAAAUUAAUUCCUCUAUCUUUAGAUAAAAAAAAAGAAGGUUAUGUCAGUUUUUUUCUGUUAACUGUAUUGGAUGAAAUUAAUAGUGAACUUGAUUGCACUAAUUUUAUAAGUUUUAAGAGUUAAUUGCACUUUUGAAAUAAAUUUUAAAACUUAUGAAGCAUUUACCCCAUUUUGAGGGAUAAUAAUACAAAUGUUUCUUGAAUUUUGGUCUAAUGUAUAAUGUCGUCCUUAGAUUUUUUUAUUUGUUGAAUGUGGUAUUUGAAUUAGUGAUAGAUGUUCGAUUUAGUUUGUCGACUAAAUGCGUCAUUUCCAUAUAAUUUAAGGACGAAUUGGAUAUUUCUUAACAAUUCAUUAACCAUUUUAAAUAAAUUUAAAGUUUUGAAAUGACAUAACACAUUUUGCCAAAAUUCAAUGAUCACAUUGAAUAAAUUAAAAAUUUAGAAACAACGUUGAAUAUUAGACGAAAGUUUAUGAAUUAUUUAUGUCAUUUUUUCAUUUUUCAAAUCUAAAACUUCAGAAACAUAAGGAUAGACACUACAUUCUUCUCCAUCAUCCUCGUGAACAUUACUCUUGCAGUUUUGAGACUGGCUGCUUUUGCAUUCCCGCUGACCAUGGAGGUGGCUGACACUAUAUUCCUGGUAGGCAUUCUAUCAAAAACUGAUCUGGCCUCACUAAUUCUGGAGCACUUACGAGUACAUAUCAACCAAUGCAUUUCCUAUAACAACAUCAUUCCUAAAUUUGUCACAUUUUACAACAUGGGCAUGAAUUUGCAUCCCUUCCUUAAGUGCCGACAAGCUAACGCAGGCGCUGACCACACUGGCUAAAGUAACCUCAUCUAUUUCGAACCCACAAUCCAUCAUACUCACAAAAACCUCAAGAGCUUCACUGGCCGGACCAUUUUGUUCAUAACACGUAAUCAAGCUGUUCCAAGAAACUAUGUUUCGAGAACUCAUUUCAUCAAAAGCACUCUGUGCAUAAGCCACGUUCCCACACUUGGAGUACAUGUCGAUAAGAGCAGAGCCCAUAUGAACAUCAGAUGAGCACUCGGACUUCGAUAUCAAAGCCUGAAUCUGUUGGCCCAGAUGCACAUCUGCUAACCCGGCACAUGCGCUAAGCGCACUACCAAAUGAGUACUCAUUAAGCACAUAAUUCUCCCUAUGCAUCUUACCAAAACAUUGCAGGGCUUCUUCGAACCUUUAAUGCUGUGCAUAACCUGAGAGCAUCGAAUUCCACGAGCACUGGUCGGGUUCCGGCAUUGACCCGAAUAUCUUUUCCGCUUCAUCAAGAGACCCCGAUCUGAUCAACCUGCCUAAGAUCGCGUUCCACGUGAAGGUAUUCUUCUCGGGCAUUCUAUUGAACACCCUGCAGGCGUCAUUGAGGCACCCACAUCUCGCGUAAACGUCGAUGAGCCGGUUCUGGAUAAAAACCUCGGCGGAGAACGGGGUCUUGAUGAUCCGAGCGUGGACGCGGCGUGUGUGGCGCGCUGACUUGGACAGGCCGCAGCCGUCCAGGAUCUUGGCGAACGGGAUCGAGGUGGCGAAGGAGAGAGGUCGCCCGCCAGAGCCUUGACCCGCGCAUGUCUCGCCAUUCCAUCAUAUCAUCGUACGAAGCGAACUCUGUCGGAGAAGAUUCGCAUAGAUGCAAAUUGAAUGCGAUGGGGAGUUUCUGUUGACCGUUAUACGCUUCCCCCCUUCAGCCCGACGCGCGGGAAUAUGUUGAGAGCGCUCAUAUGAAGAGGGAAGGCAAAGUUGCAGUGGCAAAGUGGUAAUUUCGGCAUGACAAUAUAUUAAUUAGACUCAUAACCAUGAAUUAUAUUUUUGAUUAUGAGUAAAUCUAAGCUACAAAUUAAAAUGUGUCAUAGAUUUAAUAUCUUGUUGUAAGUCACUAAAUAAAGAUUAGUCAUAUUAAUCUAUACAACUUAUUGCUUUAUCAACUAUAAUUAUAAGUUUGAUAUAGGACAAGUCAAUUUUAUAACCAAGUUAUUUAUAAAUCAAACAUGAAUUCUUGUCCAGUAAUUUUGAUUAUUUUAAUUGUAACUCAUCAUCAAAAAAAUGCAAAAAGCAAUUCAAGAGAAUGAAAAUUGGAUCUAUGCCGGAUUACAUGGGAUAGCCUUUCAAUGGCCCCCCUCCCAUGAGAAAUAGCUAACCUUGAUUUUAAGAGAAUAACUUCUUUGAAGUAACUAAUCUUGAUUUACUUCUUAGCCAACUAAGGACUAAGUGUCAUCAUGAAUAGACCGGAAAUAGAUAGUUAUUGUGUCGUUCUUGGAUUAAUUUGAAGUACUAUUCAUUUUGGUUCGUCCUAUUUUGAGUCUCAUGGUUUUGUCCUUCAAGCGUACAGGCAAACGAUAGAUUAUUGUGACAUUUUUGGAUUAAUUCACUUGAAAUAUUAUUUGCUUUUACCCAUUUCAUUCCAAGUCUCACAAUUUUGUCUUUGGGCAUAUGGGCAAACACUUUCUGAGAAGAUAAUAUUCUAGUCUAAUCACACCCAACUUUGGAGUGGAAAAACCAAAUAGGUGAAGUGCCUACCCAUAAGCUAAAGGACAAAACCGUUAGGGUCGGAAUGAGACAAGUCAAAGUAAACAAAAUCUCAAGAGAGUUAAUGUAGAAACCAUCACAUUAUUCUUCCUUGAAUAAAACGCACGGCUGGAUUUUUUAUUAAGACAGCAUCUUGUUCAUGUAAGGUCUGUCCCUUUUGUUUUGUUUUGUUUUGCUUUGUUUUUUUUUUUUUUUUUUUUUUGGUCGAAUGAAUAAUUUGGACAUUGUCCUAUUAUGGUGAGAAAAAUCAAUUAACCUUAUAAAGUGCGCAUUCAUGUGAGCCCUUGCAAGGGAGAGCUUCAUGAUAAGAAAUGAAGCCCAUCUGAAUUCACAUCCAAUUUUUCAAGGCUUUGCAACUCUUUCAGCUUUAUGCGACCAAGAACCGUCACAUCUGAGAGUUGUCUCAGGUUUUAGAAAGGUCUAUUGAUGUUCUAAUUCCCUGGCGAAGCGGGAUAUGUAAGAUGGACAAAACUCCUGGGAAGCCUAGGCAAGAACCUGAGGUUCUUUAAACAUUGAGAACAAGUUUCCUGAGAUUGCAACUCCAAGGACUCCAGAUGGCGUAACCUGUCAAUCCACCAAGAUCAUGGAGCUUCCUUAAGCCCGUAACUGUCGUAAGAAUACCUCGACACAUAUAAAUGCAAGCUUCUUGGAUUUAAUUGGUACGGGAGAUCUGGAAAUGUGAACAUUGAGAAAAUUACAAGCACAGAUUAAUUCCAAGCCCAUAGCACCAAAGAAUUUUGCCCUGAAGAUUCAUAAGUUCUCUACUUCUGCGACAAGAACUUAAAUCCCAACUGAUAAUUGUUGAAACUUAAAACGCAGUCAGUAAUCAUUCAGAAGCCCCUGUAGAAAUCUGUUCUAAGUUAUCAAAACUAAAGGACCUUUGUGACCAUUGCACAUGAUCAUUAACUAGUGAGGGUUAUGUUCAUGCUAGACAAGAUGUUUUGUCCUACUUCUUCAUUUCCUCUACAAUUCUGUGAAUAUGGUCGCUGAUGGUCACUGAUGUCUAAUGGAAUUCACGACACUGAAUGCAACACAUUGAACAUUAAUCUCUGUGAAUGAAUUCUGAAGCAAGUCAUCUUGAAUCCUCGAUGAAUUUCUCCCAUGACGAGAUUAAUUAUUAAUUGCACCCACUAAAAAUUUUAGAAGUAGGACCAUAACAGACGCAAAAAUGAAGAACGAAAUUCCAAGACAAUGAUUCGGUUUUAGCUAGACUUAACAAGCUCAGAAGAACAACUGAUUCCCAUGUAUGUUUUGAACUACUUCCUAAGGAGCCAAAAUCAAUUCUCUAAUUGGUGCGCACAGGAGUUGCAAUGUGCUUCAAUAGAAUGUGACUUGGUUAAGGCUAAAGCUAUCAAAGAUUAGAUGCGCAGAUGGAACAAUAUCAAUCGAGUCAGCUGCCGAGUGGUUUCAUGGAAAGGCUGUUUUCAUUGCGUAUGUAUGAUAAGUCAUGACUGAAAAUAAUAAGAACAACUCAAUCCGUCCAAAUCUUUUCCUAAUUUAUCACUGAUUGCAUCAACGAUUUGCACGCGGACCCAAUUCAUGCAACAUCAAAGAGACAAUUACCAGAAAAGGAAUACAGGUGAAGAACUGAAGAUGAAGAAAACCAAAUGAAGAUGGCAGAGAAGGAAGAACCCUUGCUGGCCUGAAAGGAAGACAGGGUCGCAGUCCCGGAGGGAGAUCUCCACCAGGUCGAAUCACGUCUCGUGCUUCCACUCGGGGUCGCUGUCGCUUCCUUGACGGUCGGAGUCCGUCGCUGCUGGUUCUGGACGAGCUUCUCGCUCGGGUCGUCCCUGACGAGGGAGGAAGACGAAGAGAGGAGAAAGAAUGUGAGAGGAGAGAGAGAGAGAAGGCUAUGGGAGAAAAAACGAAACGAAAAAACAGAGAGAGAAAGUUGAAAUUUCUCAAGAGUGGGUCCCACCUAUACGUGCCAUCUCGAGUAACUAUUCCCCACCGCGCUUUUGAGGUAAUCUAGGCUGCACAUGACAAAAUUUUUGAAACAUAAAUUGAUUUUUGGCCAGAAAUCAAUUUCUUAAUUUCUAUUCCCCGGACAAGUUUCUGAGCAAAGAAACUCGUUUGAUAACGACUCAAAAUUUCUAUUUCUGAAACAGAAAUCCGUUUGAUAACAUAACAAAAUUUCUAUUUCUAGGAAUAGAAAUUGAUUAGAUAACAAUAUAUGAAAUCCUCAAAUACAAAAUAAUAGUCGAAAUAAUACUAAAAUAACAUAGAAAAUCCUCAAAUACAAAAUAAUAGUUGAAAUAAUACUAAUACAUUACAAAAGUUGAAAAUACAAUUUCUUGGAAUUUCCGACAUAUUAUUAUUCCUUGCAAUUUUAUUAGCAAUUGUUUUUCUAAGCGUAUUUAUUUAGUUUCCCCUUCGGUCAAUGUAUUGUUUGCAAGCUCAUCCUGCGUAGGUUCUUUUUUUUUUUUUUUUCAGACAAGUAUUACAGAAGCAUGAAUAUGGGUGCCAUCAAUGGCGCCUAUACAACCUUGUUAUUUUAUCAAAAACUAGUAUUAUACAAGAUUAUCAACAAAAUAAAAUUAAUGAUGUAAAGGAAUAUAUGAGAAUUCUACCUUAAAGUAAUGUUUAUGGUUAGGAACUAAUUGAGGGAAGGUCAGUUCAUUUUGAUUCUCGAAUUGAAUCAGUCCAGUUGCUCAUCCCUAAUUUCGUUAUUGUUGCUCAAUGAACCUUUAAUGGCCGUUACAUAACAAAGAGAGAGAUUCUCUUGAAUCUCUUGCAUUCGAAUUAAAAUUCAAGAUUGUAUAACAAUCUAAUUAUUUUGAUUUUGCAAGAAUUUUGAAUCCAUAAAAAAAAAAAAAGGUUAAAUUUCUAGGCACGUUUUUUAUUCAUCGAUUACGUAAGAACUUUUUCUUCAACUAGCCAUACGCAUGCCUUUUCUAAGAGGAAAGAGCCACAUUAUUUUUAAGUAAGCAUUUAAGAACUUUGGUCGCUUUUUUUUUUUUUAUUGGGGACCCAUUCGAUUGCAUUUCAUCAUAAAGAGGAGGUUAUAAAAAAAAUUGAAAAAAAAAUGCAAAAAAAAAAAAACACGAGCAAAAUAAGAAAAAGAAAAUUAGCAAUAAUUAAUGAAGUUAUAGUUAUGAGUAAAUUAAGUUAGCAAGAAAGCGCAAGGUUUUUUUAUAUGGUUUGAUUUCAGUUUCUGAUUUCUAUUUCAGAAACUGAGAAAUUAAAAAUUUCAACUUCUGAUUUCUUCAAUUUCUCUAUUUCUAAAAUAGAAAUUUGUUUCAGAAAUAGAGAAAUCAAAUUGCGUUACCAAACGGAUUUCUGUUCCAAACCUAUUCCGAGGAACAGAGAAACAGAGAAACAGAGAAAUCGAGAAACAUAAAUUUUGCCAUGUGCGCUCCUAGUCUCAUCUUAAAUCUAGCCAAGGGUAUUCUCACUUUUUUCAAAUCUCUGUACUCUUCGAAUAUCAGAAUCUCCUCUAAUCUCUCACAUUUUGCUAUUGCCACUUUCUCUAGCUUCUUGAAGCUUGCAGGCUCAGGAAACUUUCGUAGGGACCCGCAACUUUUAAUAAGAAGCCUCUCCAAUGAUUCUAGCCUACCUCAAAUCUCAAUCAGAUUAGGACAAUCCCCUAACUCAAGAUCCUUGAGCUCAUUUGCGUUGGUUAGGUCAGGCAACUUCUAUAGCAUCGGAAGAUCCCUCACUUGUAAGAACAUCAAGUUCUCCGAAUAUUCCAAGCCUUGAAUCUCUUUGAGCUUCCAACAGCCCUCUAUCAUUAAGAUCUUUAUAUGCUUGAAGGUUAGUGGAUCAGGCAACUUUUCGAGUGUUUCACAGCGGUUUAAAUAGAGAACGUCCAAUGAUUCUAGCUUACCACGAACCUCAACUACUUUAGAACAAUCUUCUAUGUGAAGUCCCCAGAGCUUCUUCAAGCCGGUCAGGUCAAGCAACUUCACUAGUGAUAGAAGACGAACAAGACGAAGGCCUCAUAGGUUUUUCAAAUGUUGGAGGCCUUGAAUCUCCAUUAGCUAUCUACAAUUAUAGACGUGCAAUCCUGACAACUUCUCCAGAUAUGAAAUAUUUAUUGACUUUUCCGUUAACCUACACCUAACAAGAUGGAAAAAUGACAAAUUCUGAGGAAGCCUAGGUAGGCAUUCUAGGUUAUUUACCAAGAGUUCAAGGUGCCUGAGCUUCAAAAGGAGAUUAAAAUCUGAAGGUAGGGUGAACAGACCAUCACAACACAACUGCAAGGUUUCUAGCUUUCUUAAACCUCCUAUCCAAUUGAGGCUUGGAGCUAGAUGGGAAGGGAUUCGAUACUUUAAAUCCAACGUCAAAUUUCUCAAAUUUGAUAGGUUUGAGAGAUUUGGGCAUCUCAUAUGUUGAUUAUGGCUCAGGUAUAGAUUGGUCAUACUUUCAAGAAGCUUAGGUAUAUUAGAAAUUCCCGUUUUUGUUAAUCUCAAGAUUCUCAGAAAUGAUAGUCUUCCAAUCUCACUUGGAAUUUCCCCACACAAAUAUUCACAAUCAUAAGCUUCAAUCUCUUCAAGCUUCUCCAACAUCCCAAGGGUGCUAGGUAGCUUUUCUAAGAUGGUGCUAGAGAUCCUUAGUACUCUCAAAUUCUUCAUUGUCUCCAUUGAAUUGGGUAAUUCUCGUAUCCUCGACUGAGAAAGAUUCAACUCAAUGAGAGAACCAAAAUUUCCAAUUGAAAGUUCACUAAUACUUGUACAUGACAAGCAAAGAUAUAACAGUGAUGUUGAGCAACCAACUAAAUUGCAUUCACUCAGUAAUCCACAUGAAUUUGCACUGAGAGUUUUCAAUUUCUUCAUUCCUUUCCAUUUAGGAAUUUUGGUAAUAGAUGUCCCGUCAAGAAGAAGAACUGUCAAGGCUUCCAAUCCCUCCAUCUCAUUUGGCAAUGUCUGAAGUUUGCUACAACCUUCCAUUAAAAACACUAACUACUUCAACUUACCAAUAGACCUGUCAACUUGAACUAGCUCCUUGCACCCUUGAAGAAUCAGUUGCUCUAAAUUUUCAUGAGUAGAAACAUUAGGAGCUUUAUGCAAGUUGCUACAUUUAGUCAAAUUUACAACCUUCAAAUUCUUUGCCAUCUGUAAUGAAGAGGAGGUUAAUUCUAGAUCAUUUAAGAUACAGGACAAUAAAGUUAACAUAGCAAGUUCAUGUUGAAAAAAUACCAUACCUUGAGGUGGUUCCAUCCCUCCCAAUCAUUAGUAAUUUGACUCUGUGAUAGAUCAACAAUCACUAUCUUCGUAAGGGAAAAUGAGGUCAAUUGGAAAAAGAUGGGAAACUCAUGCCACGAGAGAUCUCAAAUUUGGAAGGAUGAGCGGAUUUUCUGAAACCACUUGGUUGAAGGACAAUGCUGAAAAUUUUUUUGCCAUGAGAGGUAUCUCAACUUAGGAAGGUUGGAUAGAUUCCUCUGGAACCAAUUGGUUAAAGAAAAAUGCUGGACAUUUUUCAUAUCCAAGUCUCCACAAUCCACUUGAAGAAACCUCAAAUUUGAUAGACUUGCAAAUUCUUCCUUCUUAAAGAAGCAUUGAGAUUGACGAUCAAACUUGAGACGUACUGCUUCAACGUUUUCUCUCCCUUGCUGAAGCCCAAAAAAUAAAUAAAUGGAAGAUAGUGAUCACAUAAUUUCCUGUUGAAGGGAUCUGAGUUGAACAUACUUCAGGAAUGUACAUUUUAUUUAUACUUUCAAAUUAAUUUACAAUAUGAUUUAUAGAUGAGCUUGUCAUCAUAGUAAGCAGAAAAGUAAUAACUCAGUUCAGAUAGAAGCAAUUAACCAAAAUUGACGUGUAUAACUCAUCCCUCUCCGAAUAGGAAUAAAAUUGCGCACACUUUACCUUUUCUAUGAGAAUACUAUUUCCUUGUUCAUGAUCCCACACCCAACUUUGCUUCUUUGGUGUAAAUGUACCAAUCCAACAAAUGAAAUGUCGCCCAAUGUCCCUUAAUAGAUCAUGCAUUCACAACCAGUCAUAGUUUGUCAUCUUUAUUAACGACAUCUGUCGGAGGACAUCAAGAUAAUAGUCAAGUAAAAACCCACAACUUUUCCACAUGUGCCUCACAAUUUUCACAUCAAACCCAAUGAAGAAGCAACAAAUAUCGAGAAAUAUUUCCUUGGCAUGCGGUUGUAAUGCAUUGAUACUGAUGUUCAACUUUUCUUCAACAUUUUCAUUGGGAAUAAUUUCUAGCUUCUCUAAUGUGGUUUCCCAAAAUUUUCUGUCUUUUCCAGCUAAAAAUGAGCCUACGAUCUCAAGAGCCAAAGGAAGAUGACCAUAGACUUUCACCGCUUUUUCGGAGAGAGAGACGUAUUCUGCUAGAGGAUGAUCACUUCUAAAUGCAUGUCUGCUGAAUAGUUGGAGAGAAUGAUCAAAAUCCAUUCCAGUAAGUUCGUGCUUCAACUCAACAUCUUUGAGAACUUCUUUGUUUCUUGUGGUAAUUAUAAUCUUACUUCCACUGCCAAACCAGCAUUUACCCAUUCCCACAAAAGCAUCCAGCUUAGUCUUUGGGUCGACAUCAUCAAGUAGAAGUAUGACCUUUUUAGAGGAUAACAUGUCCUUGAUCACCCUUUUCCCUUCAUUGAUAUCAUUCAUGGUCUAUCGUUUCUUUCCUAGGACAUCAGAGAUGAGCUGAUUCUGCAAACUCUCAAUUUUCAUAUCUCCAAUGUUGGACAGGGAGCAACAUUUAGUGGAAUCAGUGAUCCGUUCACUUUUCACUUCCAUGAUUCUAUCCACUUGAUCGUCCAUUUCCUCCGAGGAAUUAGACAAGUUGUAAUGUUUAGUGGAACCGGACAACAAUUUGUUAUAGAUGAUUUUGGCAAGAGUUGUCUUUCUAACACCACCCAUACCAUGGAUACCAACAAUCUUUGUUUGAGCAGUGUACUCACCUAUUAAUUCCAUGAUUCUGUCCACGUGAUCGUCCAUUUCAACCAAGAAAUCAGAUAAUGCCAAGUAGUUCUUUUUCAAUUCAAUCAAAACCUUCUAAACAACUUCUCUUGUGAACUCACCUUUGCCCUCUGAUAAUAUUGAAGGCAAAAGAACCAAAGUAUUAAAUCAAGAUGAACAUAAUAAUAUCUAAGGUACAAACAAAUCAUGCACAAUAAUAAAUUCAAGUACCUCUCCUUGAGUUCCCAUCCCUUUAAUUUUCCAACCUUUUUGAGAGCUGCCUUCCAGUUCUCAAUAGUCUCGUCAGUGUACAACUACUUAUCUAUGUAUGACUGAAUGGCCUUGCCGUAAGUUGCAGUUUGGUUACGAACCUCGGAUGGUUCAAUGUCACAGAAAAUUGGCAUGAUCUUUUGUCCCCACUUUUCCUUGCAUUCCACCAUCUAGACCAACUCCAUGAGGCACCAUUUACUGGCAACAUAAUGUUUAGAAAAAAUAGGAAUCGAGAUUUUAGACUGCUUAAUCGCUUGAAGAAGCUCCAGCCCAAUCUCUUCCCCAAUGCGAAGCUCUUCAUCAUCUCUAUAUGCCCGUAUUCCAGCAUCAAUGAGGCUAUUGUAAAGGAUAUCAGUGAUGUCAUGAUGAGUAUCCGGUCCUCUAAAGUUCAAGAAUACUUCAUAACAAGGUUUCAUUGGCUUCUCCAUUUCCUGAAUUUUCAGAGGACUAGCAAUAAUUCGAUAUCCCACCUGGAAGAACGUUUACAAUGAAAGUGGAGUGAUGAUUAUCAUGAUUUCUCUAGAAAAUCUUCUAUUUUAAGUCAUUCUAGAAAGAAACCUCAAUGACAAAUGCACAGCUCCUUCUGGCAUUGUCCUGGACACCAACAUAUGUCCGAUUAUUAUAUCAACAAUAUAGCAGAGAAGUUGACCCAUCUCAACACUAAAGGAAGAAAUCUCCAAAUUAUUGCGAAAUGGAUUUCAAUUCACACUUGAAAUUGAUAAUUAAAAUGAAAAUUUCAAGAAGAUGUAUCACUGUCAACUUAUUUUUGACUGAAACUUUUUACUUAUUUAAUAAAAAUUUUCUUAAAAGGUAACGUUGAAUAUCCUCUGCACAUAAGCACCUGCUGUGGCUUGUAGGUUGACUAAUUAUCUUAUCAUCUCAUAAGAAGUUAUGCCAAAGCCGUACUCUUUUAAUUUUACCAGAAUCGGUUUGACAAAAACAUUCCACAACAGUCAAUUAGUUGCUCACUUGACCUUAAUGGGCGCAGGCAAAGAAUCGCAUUCACCUAUGACAAUCUCAUUAGAAAAAUGAAAUCAAGAAAUUACUCUACAGCUAAUUCAACCCCCAACAUCGGACUAGUUCUGAAAAGCAUAAACCGAUCCCUUAUUACAGCCAUCUCUUAGUUUAUUAACAAACAGAUACAUGGUUAAUGGGCGAGCAUUGGUUAGGCAUGAGGCUAUUAUUCACAUCUGCCAGACAGUAUCAGCAUAUCAGACUUGUGGAGUUGAUAAAAAUUCAACAGAAAAGAGAAGCAUGAAUGCUAUAAUUAUUUUUCCAGCAAAAUAGGUUUUGGGUGCGUUUGGAUGGGCAUUUAGAAAGCCCAUCCAGCCCCCAAAGCUCCUUCAGCCAAAGAGGGGGUGUUUGGCAACCCUCUCAAGGAGCUUUCAAAUGAAAGCAGGGUACUUGGAAAUGCUGAAAGCCCAAGGCUGGUAGGGACCAGCCUUGAGCUUUCAGCCUUCUACCAAAUGCUGAAAAUAUUUUUUUCUUUCCUAAACUACCCUCAUUGAUUUUUUAUAUUUCCAUUAUUGUCCCUGUAUUUAUAUUUUUUUUUAAAUGAAAAAGGAGCAGCCUUCGCCGGUCCGGCGAAGGGCGAAGGGCGACGGCGACGGCCGCCGGCGAGCUAGAUCUGGCGCCGGCGGCCGCAGCCCUUCGCCGGCCGGCGAAGGGUUUAGCUGAUUUUUCAAAAAAAAAAGAAAAGAAAAUAUAUAUAUACAUAUUAUACCCAUCAAAAGCUCAUUGCAAAUGUUCUUCUUACCAAACACACAUUCAACACAAAGCUCAUUUACAAAAUUUUUUUACCAAACACUAUCACAUUUUUCCCAAGUAGCUUUGGGCUUUCAGCAUUUGCAUUGGACUCAAAGCCCAUUGCAAAUGCUGAACCAAACGCAGCCUUUAACACAUAGGAAAGCAAGAACGAGAGAUGCAUUUCACAAAAGCUGAGAGUUCCGGCUCGCCACAGAGUGCAACAUUAUAGUCUCUGCAGUCAGCCUCUUCUGUUAAAUACCAAGUUGUGUGUAUCAAUUUUCUCCCUAGGAGUGAUCUUACUGCUAAUUACCAGACAAUAGUGUACUAGUUUGACGUAUCAAAGUCUCUUAGAGACACCAGUAUCUCUGAUCGCACAAGAAAAUCCCAUCAAACAAAUUUAAUUAACUGAUUCCACUCAAACUAAAUUAGCUUUUAGCACCGGCCCAGUUCCUAAAGAGCGGAAAUUCAAUCCCCGGUUACAGAAUCAACAAAAUGAUGCAUAGGAGAGGUAUUGCGUUUCAAGAUCUGAGGCCUGACAUUUGCGCAGAUGGAAGCAGAUGAGCGAGGUUUUAGCAUCGGACUAGAGUUAGAGGCAAAAGCUAUCAGUGUUAGACGCAACUGGCAGUGAUCAAUCAUGAAGUCAACUGAGGAAAGAAUUGAUACUGAUCUGAGAGUCCCUCUCUUGUUUCCAUCAAAUUCUGCAUCUAGUUGCAUUACAGAGCAGACCCAAUUCAUUAAAAAAGAAGGCAAUCAACGAUAGGAAAUUACCGGAGAUGGAGGGGGUGAAGAUGAAGAGUCCGGAUCAAAUGCUGAGAAGCAGACAAAGAUCCCAAGAAUAAACGCUCUUGGCUUUUGAGAUCAGCUGAAGAAAGAGUGAGUACGCCUUCUGCCCUUCCAGGAAAGUGAGGCCUUGCUAGCUGCUGGAACACUUCAAGCCGACCGUGAAAAAGUGACUUCGCGUUGCUUUUAGCUUUUGAGGUGAUCGAGUUGAGUUCCUGGGAAAUUUCUGGGAGUACGAAGACUCUUCGGCACGAAAUGCGAGAGGACGAGAUUUUCAUGCGUGUUAUUAGUUUAGAAAUCAUUCAAUAUAUGGUAUUCUUUUUAUGACGACUAAACCCUUCUCUUGUGGGUGGAAAUCCAGGCCCAUUCAAAUUUUACUUAUACUAAACCUAAAAAUGUAAAAUUCAUAUAUAUUAAUUUAUUGAGAUGAAUUAUGUUAGUGUUAUUCAUAGUGAAUUUAUAAGACAAAAAAAGUUGGGAAAAAUAACUACAAAUGAAAUAAUAUUUAUACAACACUCAACUGAGUAUUAUAAUUUUUUUUUGGAUUACUUGAGUAAUUUAAUUUUUAUUCGGUACUCACUUAAGCGCCAAUAACUUUAUUUUUGAUUAUUUGAGUGUAUAUAACAUUUCAAUCGAUCACUUGUGCUAUAAAUUCUUAAAAUCAUUUAUCCAAAUGCCAAAUAUCUCUUAUUCAUUUCAUUACCUACAUCUAUGUUAGCUCUUAUAUGGAUUUUAUCAAUGCAAGUAAUGGGAUUUAAUGGCUCAAUUCAUUUACUCAUUAUGCCUCUUUUGCCGUAUCAAAAACGAGACAAGAGAGUGAAAAGCACAAUAUUUCUAUGCAUUAUAAUUAAUUAAUUCUUGUCCAACUACUUUUCUUUUUGGAUCAUUAUUCGGUAAUUGAUACAAUAAUAGUUAGUACAUUGUUUCUUCUUUAACAGAAAGCCAAUCAUUCGGCUUCUCAGUACAUGAUCAAAUUUGUUGGAUUCUUGAAGCUGGAAAGGUCGGGUAGCUUUCCUGAGCCAGUCAAUAUGAUGCAUCUCCAAUUGUUCUGCUUUGCCUCAAAUCUCAACCGGUUUAGGACAAAUCCAUGGGAGAAGUUUUGGACAACGUCUUCAAUUAAGGCAGACCUGCAAGCAUUAAUAAUAGUGUACAAUUUCUGGCAUCAAAAUUUUGUGAGUGUUCUUUUCAAUUCUGAAAUUUCUAUCAAACUCAAUUCGAUAGAGAUGCUUCUGUUAUUUUGCCUGGUAUAGUAUUGAGGGCCAUGUUGCUGCAUUGUCGAAAAAGGUAAUGAGUGGCAUACAUGGUGAAGUUCUUAGAUACAAUCAACUGAGACAAACUAAAUUUAAGGCAAAGAAAAGAGAGCCAUUGGAAAGUAUGGUUAUCGAAUUUUCUGUCAACUUUAUCCCUCAAAAGUUCAUGUUCUUUGGACUCUCUAGAUUCUUACAGCACUCGGGAAAUUUGCGAAUCAAUUUUUACUCCUUCACCCUCUCACAACCGCUAUAGGAAAUAAUACGAACUGCGGAGAGGAAGAAUUGGUAUCUGAAAUAUUGACAGUCUAUACCUGAGGGAAUGGUAGGAACAGAAGACCCACAGCAGAAGCAAUACGAAAAAACCUUCUACGUUGGAAGCUUAGUUUGGAUCCAAUGGUAACACAAUUGAGAGAAGAAAUAUUUGUACUAAUAUUUUCUGAUUAUUACAUAAGGAGCUUGCCAUAUACAGAGUUUUGAGUUGCUGGCCAACCACUGAAAUCAGGUGCGCAACCAACAUUUACGUUCUACCAUUAACCAAACUCAGAAGUCCAAGACAUAAAGUACCUUAAAAACAACAAAAAGAUACUCAUAAGUUGGAUUCCGCAAAAUCAGACUGCGUCUAUUCCUCAAGUACUUCACUGAUCAUCAGCACUCAAGAGAACAUUCUACCUUCUCACGCUUGAGUGUAUAAAAAGAUUUUAGCUUCUCAAUCCGGUAACUUCUCCAAAGAUUUAAAAGGAACAUCUAAAGUUGCCUCCAACGAUUUUACUCUGCCUUGGAUCUCAACCACUUUAGGACAUCACUGCAGAUAAAAUUUCUGGAGCUUCUUCAGGUUGGUCAGGUCAGGCAACUUGUCCACAGAUGGAACUCCUUCAAGCUUGAAGGCAAUUGGGUUCUCCAAAACUUGGAGGCUUCUGAACUCUCUCACUUUAGGGCGACGACCAACUUCCAAAUCUGACAGCGCCUUCCAAUUUGAAAGCUCUAUUCACGUUUUUAUUUCCUUGCAUGAUUCGGUAUCUAAGUACAACAAAUUUGGGGGAAGGCCAGGUCGGCAGUGCAGCUUCUUGGAGGGGACCAGUUCAGGUUCCUUGAGCUGUGAAAGAAAAAUGAUGUCUGAAGAUGGGGUGAUGAAAUAAUGAGAUUCCAACAGCAAGGAUUCCAGCUUCCCUAACCUUCUGAGCAACGAAGGACUUGGAGCUUCAAUGAAAUUAGAAGCAUCAUCCAAAUUGUCAAAACCUGAAUUUUACAUGCAAUUUGAAUAUUGAAUUAAUAAGUUACUUAUCAUCAAGUGAAUGUACAUAAUUUUUUUUACUACUUUACGUAAUUAAAACCUUGUACAGAAGAUCUGCCUUAAAAAGAUAUGUAGAAGCGCAAAUCUAAACAUCCCUAAACUCCGAACCAACCAAUAUGUAUAAUAUUUUUGAGGGAAUGAGUUGACAUUCAGUAAAUGAUAGCUCUACUUCCAAAAUGGGAGGCCUACCCACUACUCAACCCGAGAACAUAACAAUAGCAAUUUGCAAAUAAGGUCAUAUAUUAUUAUCAAUAGGAAAACCAAUAUUCACCUAAGACAGUGUAAUCCGUGCAUUAUAUAAAAAUGACUAUAAUUAUCUGUGCAAUGAAUAAAAUAGAAGCAAUGUAUGAUAUUCGUUUUAACGCUUAAAUGCACACAAUUGAUCAUACCAAAUCUCAUGAUGUAUAGACAUCAACAGCUCAUCGAUAGACACAAGUAUUUAUCUAUUACCUACUUGCUACUAGCCACGACUCAUCUUGACUACCUCAACUAACAAGACAUUGUGACCACUAAAUAAUGCAAGAAGAAAUCAUAAAUACAUAUUUACCACGCUUCAUCCCAUUCAUCACAGGUAUCCUCCAACGAUGAUAAAUACAGUACAAACGCAUAAUGACAGCUAUCCUAGACUCAAUUCUCAUCAAGAUUCAUACCCAUUCUAUUUUCUUUCUUCUCUCAAUCUUGGACCUCAAGUUCAUAAUAUCAUACAUAGGCUAUUCAAGUCACAUCAGGUUACACAAGUCAUAUAAUUUCAUGUAUAAAUCAUUGUACUUUACAUUUUCUCAAUCUUAUAGAGAACGGUAGAACAUCUGUCUUUUCCCAGAAUCUUAUAUACAUACUCAGAAAAAUUAAUUAUAGUGUUGGUAUAUUGCUAACAACACUCGUAGAAUUUCAAUGGAGUUGGUAAUUUACUUAAUAUGGGGAACAAGCACACUUGGAAGGUGCAGCACAGUGGAAAGUUGUAUGCCAUGUUCAAAAGUAUUGUUAUUAAUUUACUUACGAUACUGGUUAAAUUUCAAAUGAGUUGAUAAUUUACUACUUCAUUGAAAUAUUAGUAAAUUUCUGAUAGUGUUGUUAAUUCACUUACAACACCGGAAAGUUUCCAGAAGACUUGGUAAUUUACCAAUCUAGUGGGAAAUUGCUAAAUUUCCGACAGCUUUGGUAAUUUACUACCUCCUUACCUAACAAGCAAGUAACCAGUCAUUUUCUUUUACCUAACAAUUCCAAAUUUGCUGGUAAUACCACCAAAAAUUUCAAAGGAAGGAACUAGAAAGGCAGUAAUGAAUCCACUGAGAAGCAACUGCAGAAAUCUGUUUUAAGUUAUCAAAACUAAAGAACCUUGGUGACCAUUGCACAUGAUCAUUACCUAGGGAGCGUUUUAUGUUUACGCUGGACACAAUGUUUUGCCCCUGCUUCUUCGUUUCUUCAAUGUGGAAAUUUUGAUGGGAAAUCAGCGACAAUUCUGCGAAUAUGGUUGCUGAUGUCUGAUAGAAUUCGCGACACUGAAUGCAACACAUUCUCAGGGUAAUGCCUCAUGAACAAUAAUCUCUACGAAUGAAAUCUGGAGCAAGUGAUUUAAUCACUAAGUAAAGUAGGACCACAACAGACCAAGAGAAGAAGAAAGAAAUUGCAGAACCAAUCGAUUAUAGUAAGAUUUCAUGCCUUCCAGGACAAUAUUUCGGUUUUAGCUAGACCUUGACAAGCUCAGAAGAACAACUGAUUCGCCAUGUAUGGUUUGAACUAGUUCCUAAGGAGCGAAAAUCAAUCCCCUCACGGGUGCAGAACCGAACUGAGGCACAGGAGUAGCAAUGUGUUUCAAUAGAAUGCGACUUGUGGUUUAGACCAAAGCUAUGCAGAUGGAACAUAAAUUCAAUCCCCUACUUGGAGAAAUCUGAGUUUUAUUGAGAAGCUGGUGGAUAGAUGUGGCAUUGUGUUUCCAGAUCUAAGGCCCAACUGUAGCAUAGAUGGAAGCAGAUGAGCAGGGUUUAGCAUGUGACUAGAACUAGGCAAAAGCUAUUAGUGUUAGAUGCAAAUGACAGGGAUCAAUCAUCGAGUCAACUAUUUAAAGAACUGAUACUGAUUUGAGAAUCGCUCUAUUGUUUCCAUUGCAUUAUAUACCUAGUUGCAUUGCAGAACAGACCCAACUCAUGAAAAUGGCAGUAGAUGAGAGGAAUUACUGGAGGUGGAUGGGGUGAAGGUGAAGUGUCUGAAUCAAAUGCUGAGAAGCCAAUAAAAAUCUUGGCUCUGAGUUCAGCUGAAGAAAGACUCUUUAUUAGAUAGUCCACUCACCCUUGUGUCUUGCUUAUGCAGGAAGGUGAGGACUUAUUAGUUGCAGGUACACUGAAAGCCGAUGACUAUUGAUGACCGAAGGUGCCAAAACAAGGAAGUUGGGAUGUAAAGUAACCCUCCUGCACAGAAUAGUUGCCUGAGUUAUGACCUUGCAAGACAAACAUUUGAAGGUUGAGGGCUCUGGAGUGUGUGAAACUGCUUAAUACAGUUAACCAUGGAUGGUUCGAACAGUACUUCCAAGCCAUACUGGUGUGUUUGAUUAGCACUUAGGAGGUGAGGCGGUCAACCACCCUCUUAUCUAGUUGACUUGGGGUAAAAUGAAUUGUCCAUAUUACCGCUAGAAGGAAUCCUCAAAUAUUUUUCUUUUGAACAAGGAAAAUUUAAUUAUCGUAUUAUUUAGAUUUUAAUGGUCCAACCAUUGGAAAUUACAAUUGGUUAUUAAUAUUAUGCUAUUAUAAGUAAACAAAAUAUAAUCAACUUAUAUUUAUAUAUUAGCUAUGAAUACUGAUAAAUAAAUAAUAGAUUGAUACCAAAAAUAAAAUAAAACAAUAGAUUGAUAUAUUGAUGCACUCCACCAUCUGUACCAAUUCCAUAAGACACCACUUACUGUUGACAUAGCCUUUAGAGAAGAUGGGUAUCAAGAUUUUGGACUGCUCAAUUGCUUGGAGAAGCACUGAACCGAUCUCUUCGCCAGUACGAAGCUCUUCGUUAUCUCUGUAUGCUCAAAUUCCAGCAUCAAUGAGACUGGUAUACAGGAUAUCAGCAAUAUCCAAGUGUGUAUCGGGUCCUCUAAAGCUCAAGAAUACUUUGUAACAUGUUGACAUGGCUUCACAACUUCCAGCGUUUGAGAUGAUUCCUCAGUAGACAAGCAGCAGCAGAAUCGCCAACGGCUUCUGUGAUCCCGUUGUCUGUUUUCACCUCUUCACUGGUUUGUACAGAAAGAUGGAAACAAUGGAAGCGACGAUCAAUGCUGAGUGCGAGGACCGACCUCGGUGCACCCUCUAAACUUAUAAAAACAAUGCUGUGAAGAUGUCUGUCAGGAUGGGAAACAAAUGUAUGUGAGAUCUGCUCAGGUCAAUGAUUGAUGUCAGCCUUUUUCUGGGUAACAUUGUAUCUAAUAUAUAUUCUAUCGUCUUCAAAAACUAAAGAAGGAUGCUUCCUCUUCACUUCAAUCGAGGCAUACACGAUUUAGUUAUUUUUGUUGGCCAUAUACACAUGAUUAAAACGCGGCCUCUCUAUGGCAACCACGAGGGAGGAUAAGAUAACCUCAACGGAGCAUGCCAACAAAAGAGACAGCUUUUACCGUAUUAGUGAUGAUUACCUUGGAUUUUUUACUAUCAUUCUUCGUAUACAAAAGCUACUAGUCCCUGAUAUGUUGAUGAGUCCGUUAAAACUUCAAAAAUUUCUCACCCCUCAGAGGAGGAAUUGCUUAUAGCAAACAUUGGUAUGUCCAUUAAAUAUUUUUAUUAUAAUAGAUAGGGCGUGAAAAGGGGUUUACUUCGACCAAAAUUCAAGCACGACCCAAAGAUUUCAAGCCACAGAUCCUGAAACCUCGAACUUAGGCUUGGCUCAAGACAAUAUGAAAUGGCAUGACUCGUAGUAGUUUGAUGCAACUGGUUUUCACACACCUCAAUAUUAGUCCAUCUCACAGGCAACCGCAAUGGGGCAUUCUCUCAUAUUGGCAAGGUGCUUCCUGAAGUGCUUCUAACAAGGUUUGAACUAACACCACGAGGAAAAAGGCAAACUCCCUUGCUAAUUUCUAAUAGGCUAAGAGUGACUUUUUCAUAUGAAAAUAAAAUUGCUCACGUGAAAAUACUAGUAAGUGAUAGAUAUGCACUUGCUUUUAGGAGCAACUACUAAUCAUGAUGAAAAGAUCCCUUCUUAGAACAAUUGACAUACAGAUGAAAAAACAAAAAAUAUGAAGAGUUAUUGAGGGAAGACUAAUAGACGAAAGACUAUUUAUCCUUACUAAGUACUAAUGAUUACUUAUUUUCUUCUAAUCACGGCAGAAAAUUUACUAAUAAAAGUACCUAGUACAUUGACACUUACUUUUUCAAGUGAUUUGAUAUCAACCGAGUGCAGGUUUUUCUAUCUGAUAAAAACAUAUUAUAUCUUAAAUGAUAACUUCCUAAUCAUGUGAAAAAUAACUUAUCAUAAGUAUCUAUGUAUUCUCUUCUCUAGAGCAAGCAUAUAUAAGUAGUUAUAAGUUUUAGGCCAAUUACCAUACAAAAAAAAAAAAUUCCCAACUUUACACUUGUGCUAAUUUUUUUUGUCAAGUAUAAUGCAUAUGAAAGAGACGUCAGAACUUAUUCUUUUGUGCACAAUCCAUCCUCUGUUAGUCCAUCAGCCAGCAAAGAAAAAAUGGUCGUUGCCUUAUUGAUGUGGCGACUAAGGUGACUAAUUAUCACCAUGAAGCGUCAUUAUAAGUAAUUAAUAUAAAUCGAUAGUUAAAGAAGUUACUUUUGAAGAUUAGAGAAAAAGGCAACAGAGGAAAAAAGCAUCGAUAUGAUUUAGUGGUCUUUUCGAUUCAGGAAUUUCUAUUAGCUCAGUUCAAAGAAGAAUAUGCUAGUAUUUUGCCAGGUAUACUAUUGAGGGCAUGCAGCUGCAACCUCGAAAGGUGGUACACAUUGUAAAGUUCUUAGAUACAAUCGACAUAAACUUAAGGCCGAAAAAGAGAGCUAGUGCAAAGUUCGGUUAUCAAAUUUUCCAUCAAUUUGGUCCUUCAAAAGUUUUGUGUUCUUUGGACUCUAUAGCUUCUUCCUGAAGGUGGGAAAUUCACAAUCAAUCUUUAUACUCUUUCACUGUCUCGACCGCCACAUGAAAGAAUACGAACUGUGGAGAGAGCAGAAGACUUUCAUAUCAUUGACAGUCUGUACAUGAGAAAAUGGUAGGAACAGAAGAUGCACAGCAGAAGCAAUAUGAAAAAUAAUCUUCGAGCCUUAGCUCUUAUUCAACAUUAGAAUAACAGUAGAAGGAGCUUGCAAUACUUAAAGCUUCUGUGAUGCCGCCCAACCCCUGAAAUCAGGCGGAACCAUCGCCUACAUUCUUCCAUCCACCAUACUUAAAAGUCCAGGAGAGAACAAAUAUCCUAAAAAAUUACUCUGACAAGUCGGAUUCCACAAGAUCAGACUGCGUCUCCGCCUUCAAAGUCCUCCACCGAUCAUCAUAACCCAGAGAAUCUUCUACCUUCUCACACUUAUGUAUAAGCAAAGAAUUCAGCUUCUUGUGGCUUGAUGGAUCGGGUAACUUUCCAGAAGAUUUACAGGAACCAAUCCAGACCGUCUCCAACAAUUCUGGUCUGCCUUUGAUCUCGAUCACUUCGGACAGCACUGCAGAUAAAGUUUCUGGAGCUUCUCUAAGUUGGUGAGGUCAGGCAACUUGUUCACACAUGGAACUCCUUCAAGCUUUAAUGCUCUCAGGUUCUCCAAACCUUGGAGGCCUCUGCACUCACUUUAGGGCAAUGAGCAACUUCCAAAUCUGACAGCACUUUCAAAUUUGAAAGGUCUAUUAAUGUUUCCUGCAUGAUUAUAUAUUUAAGUACAACGAAUUUGGGGGAAGGUGAAAUAGGCGUUGCAGCUUCUUGCAGUGGACCAGUUCAAGUUCCUUGAGCUGUGAAAGAAGAAUGAAGAUGGGGAGAUGAAAUAAUGACAUUCCAACCGCCAGGACUCCAGCCUGCCUAACCUUCUGAUCCAUUAAGAACUCGGGAGCUUCAUUGAAUUCAGAAGCAUCCUCAAAAUUGUCAAAACCUGGAUUUUCCAUACAAUUUGAAUGCCAGAUAAGUAAGUAAUUUAACAUCGAAGGACACACAUUAAAGAUCCACCUUUGUAGAAACACUAAUCUAAAUGUCUGUAAACUCCGAACCCAACCAAUAUAAACAAUAUUAUGGACAAUAUUUUGGAGGGAUGAGUCUAAUCUCAGUAAAUGAGAGUUCUAGGUCCAUGUACCCAUCAGUCAAUCCGAGAACACAACAGUAUAGUAACGAUUAUGGUCAAUUGGAAAAACAAUACUCACUUGAGAUAUGUAAUCCAUGCAUUAUAUACAAAUGACUAUAAUUAUCUGUGCAAGGAAUCAAAUAGAUGCACUCCAAUGCAAACAAUUGAACGUACUAAUCUCAUGUGUGCAAUACCUGUUGCUCAUCCAUAUACACAAGUGAGUAUUUAUACCAUACUUGUCACUGGUCAUGACUCAUCUCGACUAACGAGACAUCGUCACCAACUCAUGAGAUGAAAUCAUAAAAACAUUUUUGUCACGCUUUAGUCCAUUCAUCAGGGAUAUCCUCCAGCAAUGACAGAUACAAUACUCUACACCCACAUGAUGAUGGCUAUCCCAGACUCAUUCUCAUCAAGAUUCUUACCCAUUCUAUUUUCUUUCUAGUUCUUGGACCUCAAGUUCAUAAUAUCACAUACGGGCUAUUUAAUUCACAUUUUUUUACACAAAUGUUAUCAUUUCGUGUAUGAAUUAUUGGACUUCAUGUCCUUUCGACCAUAUAGAGACCUUGUUUGAAAGGUAGAAUAUUCGUUUUUUCUAGAGUCUUAUAUAUGUACUUAGGAAAUUCAUUGCAGUGUUGGUAUAUUACUAACAACACUUGCAAAAUUUCCAUGGAGUUGGUAAUUUACUUCAUUAUUAGAAAAUUACUAGCAAGAUUGGAAAAUUACUGAUAAGAUUGGAAUUCUACCAACACAGAAAGUUUUCGAUUUUCCACUGCAUGGGAUCGUAAAAUUUUGCAAAGCUUCGUAAGUCUCUACCUCUGCAACAAGAACUUAAAUCCCAACUGAUAAUUUCAAUUGUUGAAACUAGAAAUGCAGUAAUGAAUCAAUCAGAAGCCCCUUUAGAAAUCAAUUGUAAGUUAUCAAAACUAAAGGACCUUUGUGACCAUUGCACAUGAUCAUUAACUAGGAGGGUUAUGUUUGCACAUGAACAUUACCCAGGGAGGGUAAUGUUCAUGCUAGACAAGAUGUUUUGCCCUACUUCUUCAUUUCUUCAAUGUGGAAAUUUUCAGGGAAAUCAGCAAAAAUUCUGCGAAUACAGUCACUGAUGUCUAAUUGAAUUCACAACACUGAAUGCAACACAUUGCACAUUAAUCUCCGCGAAUGAAUUCUGGAGCAAGUCAUCUUGAAUCCUCGAUGAAUUUCCCCCAUGACGAUAUUAAUUAAUAAUUACACCCACUAAAAAUUUCAGAGGUAAGUAGGACCACGGCAGACCAAGAAAAAGAAGAAAGAAAAUUGCAGAACCAAUCGAUUAUUCUAAGUUUUCAUGCCUUCCAGGACAAUAUUUCGGUUUUAGCCAGACCUCGACAAGCUCAGAAGAACAACUGAUUCCCCAUGUAUGUUUUGAACUAGUUCCUAAGGAGCGAAAAUCAAUCCCCUCGCGGGUGCAGAACCAAACUGACGCACAGGAGUAGCAAUGUGUUUCAAUAGAAUGCGACUUGUGGUUUAGACCAAAGCUAUAUUAAAGAUUAGAUGCAGCUAUGGAAGAAAAUCAAGUGAGUCAGCUCCCGAGCGAGUUCAUCGAAAGGCUGUUUUCAUUUCGUAGGUAUGACAAGUCACGACUGAAAAUAAUAAAAACCAACUCAAUCCGUCCCAAAUCUUUUCCUAAUCUAUCACAGAUUGCAUCCAAGAUUCGCAUGCGGACCCAAUUCAUGAAAAUGCGAAGAGAAAAUUACCAGAAAACCAAAUAAAGAUGCGAAGAAGGAAAAAGCAAGACCUUUUUUUAAGACUCGUGGGAACAGAUGGGCGGGCAGGAAGACGGGGGUGGCAGUCCCCGGAGGGAGAUCUCCGCCUGGUCGAAUCGCGUCUCGUUCUUGCUUGCGCUCGGGGUCGCCGUCGCGUUCCUUCACAAUCGGAGUCCGUCGCUGCUUGUUCUGGGUGAGCUCCUCGCUCGGGUCGUCGCCGAUGACUGAUGAGGGGAGGAAGACGAAGGAAGGAGAACGAAAGAACGUGAGCAGACAGAGGGGGGGCAGCGGGAGAAAAAACGAAACAAAAAAAAAAAAAAGGAGAGAGAAAAAGUUGAUAUUUCUUAAAGAGUGGGUCCCACCUUUACGCGUCAUUUGGAGAUAAUAUUCCUCACUAAUCUGAUACGGAAUCUUCUCUCCGUGAUUUCAGUUCUCUAAACCAAAAUUCUUGAUAGGCUCUCCCCACUUUUUCACUUCGAGAUAAUAUUCCUCACUAAUCUGAUAAGAUUCUAGAGAGGCUCUUCUCACUUUUUUCAAAUGUCCGUACUCAUCGGAUUCCAGAGUCUCCUCCAAUCUCUCACAUUCCUUUAUACGCACGCACUCUAGAUUCUUUAAGCUUAAAGGAUCAGAAAAUUGAUGCAGAGACCCGCAGCCACUUAUAUUAAGGAUUUGCAAUGAUUCUAGCCUACCUGGAAUCUCAACCACACGAGGGCAAUGUUCUAAAGAAAAAGCAUACAAGUUCUUGGUAUUGGUCAGGUCAGGCAACUUCUGUAGCAACAGAAGAUUAUAUAUAAGUAACCACUCCAAGUUCUCCCAAGCUUCCAGGCCUUGAAUCUCUUCUACCUUCCAACAACUAGCUAUACGAUAUAUUUGUAUAUGCUUGAAGCUCAAUGGAUCAGGCAGUUGUUCGAGUGAUUGACAACGCACUAAAUCAAAAUACACCAACGAUUCUAGCUGACCUCGAACCUCAACCAAUUUAGGACAAUCAUUUAUGUAUAAAUCCUGGAGCUUCUUCAAGCCGGUCAGGUUGGGCAACUUCACCAGUGACGGAAGAUACCCAAGACUAAGCAAUCACAGGCUUUUCAAAGGUUCCAGAACUUGAAUCUCUAUUAGUUGUUCACAAUAAGAGACUUCCAAUUCUGAUAACUUCUCCCAAUAUGAAAAAUUUAUUGACUUUUCCAUUAACCCACGCCCAUCCAAAUGGAAGUAUGACAAAUUCUGAGGAAGCUUAGGUAGGCAUUUUAGAUUAUUUGCAAGGAGUUUAAGCUUCCUGAGCUUCGAAAGGAGAUUAAAAUCUAAAGGUAGGGUGACCAAAUAAUCACAAUACAACCCCAAGGACUCUAGCUUUCUUAACCCUCCGAUCCAAUUGAGGCUUGGAGUUGGACGGGAAGGGCUCUGAUACUCUAAUUUCAACAUCAAAACUCUCAAAUUUAUUAGGUUCGAGAGAUCCGGGCGUCUCAUCUGUAGAUUAUUGGUUAGGACUAGUUCGGUCAAACUUUCAGGAAGCUUAGGUAUAUUGGAAAUUCUCGUGCCUGAUAACGUCAAGAUUCUUAGAAAUGAUAGUUUUCCGAUCUCACUUGGAAUUUCCCCACUCAAAUAUCUACAACUGCUGGCAUGGAUCUUUUCAAGCUUCUCCAAUGAUAGUCUUCCAAUCUCACUUGGAUUUUCCCCACUCAAACAUCCAUAACUGCUGGCAUAGAACUCUUCAAGCCUCUCCAACUUCCCAAGGGCGCUAGGUAGCUUUUCUAACAUGGAGUCAAAGAUCCUUAGUAUUCUCAAGUUCUUCAUCGUCUCUAUUGAGUCGGGUAACUCUCGUAUGCUUGAACAAGAAAGAUCUAACUCGACGAGAGAUCCAAAAUUUCCAAGUGGAAGUUCACUCAGUAAGCGACAUGACGCUGCACUGAGAGUUUCCAAUUUCUCCAUUCCGUUCCAUUCAGGAAUUUUGGUAACAGAUGUCCCAUCAAGAAGAAGUUCUCUCAAGUCUUCCAUUUCUUCCAUCUCGUCUGGCAAUGUCUGAAGUUUCCCACAAUAUUUCAAGUUUAAUAACACUAAAUGCUUUAACCUACCGAUAGACCCAUGGACUUCAACCAGUUCCAUGCACCCUUGAAGAAUCAGUUGCUCUAAAUUUUCAUGAGCAGAAAGGUCAGGAGUUCUAUGCAAGUUUCCACAUCCAGUCAAAUUUAGAACCUUCAAAUUCUUUGUCAUCUGUAAUGAAGAGAAGAGGUUGAUUCUGAAUAAAUUUUGAGAUACUGGACAGCAAAGUCAAUAUAGCAAAUUCAUGUCGAAAUAAUACCGUACCUUGAGGUGGUUCCAUCCCUCCCACUCAUCAGUAAUUUCACUCCUUGAUAGAUCAAGAAUCAUUAGCUUCUUAAGACAAAUUGUGAUGAAUUUGAAAUAGACAGGAAAGUUAUGCCAUGAGAGCAUUAACAAAUUAGGAAGCAUGAUCAGAUUCCUCUGGCACAAGUUAGUAGAAGGAAAAUGCUGACCGUUGCUCUCAUCCAAGUCUACACAAUCCACUUGAAGAAAUCUUAAUUUUGAUAGGCUUAUAGAUUCUUCCUUCUCAAUGAAGUCUUGAAAUUGACGAUCAAACCUUAGACAUAUUGCUUCAACGUUUUCUCUUCCCUGCCAAAAAAGAAAAAAAAAAAAAAACAUCAAACAAAAGCUAGUGAUCCCAUAAUUGCCUAUUGAAGGCAUUCGUGUUGAAUAUACUUGAUAAUGUACUUCUUACAUAUAAUUAAAAAUUAAUUUGCAAUAUAAUUUAUAGAUGAGCAUGUGAUCAUACUAAGCACACAAGUAAUGACUCGGUUUAGAUAGAAGCAAAUAAGCAAAUUCAAUGUGUAUAACUCGUCUCUUUGAAUAGGAACAACAUUGAAAAUACUUUACCUCCUUUAUUUCAAGGACAUCUAUCAAUUCCUCAUGAUCCCACACCCGACUUUGCUUCUCUAGCUUAAAAUGAGCUCUUUGACGAACAAUGUCUCGCCCAAGGUCUCUUAGCUGAUCAUGCACCCACAGUCGGUUACCUUGGACAAUCUUCAUUAACGAUUUCCGUUUGAGGACUUCAAGAGAAUAUUUAGGGAAAAGCUUAUGGCUGGCCCACAUGUAAGUCACAAUUCUCACAUCAAACCCAACAUAGAAGCAACAAAUAUCAAGAAAUAUUUCCUUCUCUUAAGGUUCUAAUGCCUCAAAACUGAUGUUUAGCUUCCUUUUAACCUCUGUAGAGGGAAUAGCUUUCAACCUUUCUAAUGUGACCACCCAAAACUCUCUGUCUUUUCCAGCUAAAAAUGAACCUAUUAUCUCUAGAGCCAAAGGAAGAUGACCGCAGAUUUCUAACGCUUUUUUCGAGAGGGAAACGUAUUCUGCUGGGGGACGAUCUCUUCUAAAGGCAUGUUUGCUAAACAGUAGAAGAGAAUGAUUGAAAUCCAUUUCAGUAAGUUCGUACUUAAAAUCAACAUCUUUGAGAACUUCCUUGUUUCUUGUGGUAAUAAUAACCUUACUUCCUCUGCUGUACCAGCAUUCACCUAUCCCUACAAGAGUGUUUAGCUGAGUGUUUUGGUCGACAUCAUCAAGCACAAGUAAAACCUUUUUAGAGGAUAACCUCUCCCUGAUCUCAGUAAUCCCUUCAUUAAUACUAUUGAUGGAUGGCCAUUCCAUUCUUAGGACUUUAGAGAGAAGCUGAUUCUGCAAAAUCACAAUCUUUGUCUCUCGAAUGUUAGACAGGAAGCAACAGUUAUCAAAAUCAGCCGACAGUUUAUUAUAGACGAUAGUGGCAAGAGUUGUCUUUCUGACACCACCCAUACCAUGGAUGCCAACAAUCUUUGUUCCAGUGGCCUGUGUACCCAUCUUUUCCAUGAUUUUGUCCACAUAAUCGAGUUUUGUUCCAGCGGUUUGUGUACCUAUCUUUUCCAUGAUUUUGUCCACAUGAUCGUCCAUUUCAACCAAGUAAUAAGGUUCUGCCAAGUUGUUCUUUUUUAACUUGAUCAACAGCGUCCGAACAACUUCUUCUGUGAACUCCCCUUUGCCUCUAACAAUAGUGAAGGCAAAAGGACCAAACUGUUAAAUUGAGAUGAACAGAAUAAUACCAAGCUACAAACAAUCAUGAACAAUAAUAAAUUCAAAUACCUCUCCUUGAGUUCCCAUCCUCUUAAAUCUCCAACCUUGCUGAGAGCUGUCUUCCACUUCUCAAUAGUCUCAUUAGUGAACCGCUUCUUAUUUUUGUGUGAAGUAAUGGCCUCACCGUAACUUCCAGUUUGGUAACGAACCUCAGCUGGUGUUAUGUCAUAGAAAAUUGGCAUGAUCUUUUGUCCCCACUUUUCCUUGCACUCCACCAUGUGGACCAACUCCAUGAGGCACGAUGGACUGGCAGCAUAUCCUUUAGAUAAGAUAGGAAUCGAGAUUUCCGACUGCUCAAUUGCUCGGCGAAGCUCCGGAUCAAUCUCUUCCCCAAUGGGAAGCUCUUCAUUAUCUCUAUAUGCUCGUAUUCCGGCACGAAUGAGGCUGUUGUAAAGGUAAUCAACGAUGUCACGGCGAGUGUCUGGUCCUCUGAAACUCAAGAAUGCUUCAUAAACAAAUUCCGUUGGCUUCUCCGUUUCCUGAAUUCUCAGAGGACUCGCAAUGACCUGACAAUAUUCCAUGUGAAAAACGUUUACUAUGAAAGCAGGGUGAUAAUUAUCACCAUUUCUCUCAGAAACUCUUCUGUUUUAAGUCUUUCUAGGAAGAAAACCAAGAUGACAAAUGCACGAGCUCCUUCGUGGCCUUGCACUACACACCAAAAUAUGACUGAAUAUUUUAAAAUAAUAUAGUAGAGAAGUGGACCCAUCUCAAUUCUAAAGGAAGAAAUUUUCAAAGUAUUGUGGAAUUAUGGGUUAUAGUUCACACUUGAAAUUGAUUUGAGAGAAUAAUAUUUUUUGAGAAGAUAAAUCACUAUCAACCUAUAUUAGUCCGCACAUCAUGCCUGCUUCCGCUUGUAGAUUGACUAAUUAUUUUAUUGUUUGAUAAGAAAUUAUAAUGAAACAUUCCUCUUUUAUUUUACCAAAAUAGAUUUGACAGACAUACCGCGACCCUCAAUUAGUGCUCCCUUGGCCUUAACGGACGCAAGCGAAGAAUCGCCCCCAAUGAAGAUCUCUAAUUGGAAAAGUGAAAUCAAGACAUUGCACCGGAGCUAAUUCAACCCUCUCCGUUGGACCAGUUUCUAGAAAGCAUUAACCGAUCUCCAAUUGCAGUCAAAUCUUAGUUUAUUAACAUACCGGCACAGGGUCAAAGGCGAGCAUUAGAAGCUAACGUUCGCAUUUGCCAGAAAGUAUCAGCAUAUCAGAAAAAGAGGGGUGAAUUACUAACCAAUAAUGUAGUUGAUGAAAUUUCAGCAGAAAAAAGAAGCAUGAACGCUAUAAUUGUUUUUCCAGAAAAUAAGUUUGAACACACAGGAGCGCAGGAACGAGAACUGUACUUUACAGAAGCGGAGACUUCCAGUGGACCACAGAGUGCUACGUUAUAGUCCUAUUCAUUUCGUCUCUACUGUUGAAUACAGUGUUAAGGGUAUCUAUUUUCUGCGUAGGAGCGUUCUUACUGCUAAUCACUAGACAAUAAUGUACGAAUUUGUCAUAUUGAAGUCUCUUAAAGAUACCACUAUCACCGUUCGCACAAAAUAGCUUUUAGCGCCAGCAAUCCACGCGAAAACUCAGAGAGACAGAGAGAGAGGGAGAGAGUAUACCCGGGUGGCGAGCUCGUAAGACUGAGCGUUGUCGAUGAUGGAACCGGACUUGCCUCCGCCUUCGCCGCCCUCCCUCCUCUUCUUCUUGCCGCUCCUCUUCUUUGGCUCGUCGUCGCGAGGGCCGCCGCCGGCGCCGCCGAGGAGCUCACUCCGAGGCUCGACACCGCUCGUCUCCGCUUCAGCUUCGUGCGGUCUCUUCUUCUUCGCCAUUCCCGCUCUCCGAUAUCAGAAAGUUUUGAUCUUUCGACACGGUAAGAGGUCGACUGGUGAAGGGAUUAGGCGUCGAUGUUGGUGGUGGUGGUGGUAUUGCGUUUCAGGAUCUGAGGCCUGACAGUUGCAUAGAUGGAAGUGGGUGGGCAGGGUUUUAGCAUGUGACUCGUGAGUUAGAGGCUAAAGCUAUUAGUGUUAGACGCAGCUGGCAGUGGUCAAUCAUGGAGUCAACUAUUAGUUGUUAGACGCAGCUGGCAGUGAUCAAUCAUGGAGUCAACUAAGGAAAAAAUUGGAUGCUGAUCUGAGAGUCCCUCUAUUGUUUCCAUCAAAUUCUGCAUCUAGUUGCAUCACAGAACUGACCCAAUUCAUUAAAAAUAAGGCAAUAAGCGAGAGGAAAUUACCGGAGAUGAAGGGGGUGAAGAUGAAUAGUCCGGAUCAAAUGCUGAGAAGCAGAUGAAGAUCCCAGGAAUAAACGUUCUUGGCUUUUGAGUUCAGCUGAAGAAAGACGAGACUUAUAUAAGACGGUGAAUUCACCCUCCUUCGCCGUGCCCUUCCAGGAAAGUGAGGACUUACUAGUUGCAGGGAAACUUCGGCCCGACCGUGAAAAUGUGAAUACGCGUUUUGCUCUUGACUUUCGAGUAAACGAGUUGAGUUACUGGGAAAUUUCUCGAAGUCCGGAAACCUUUUGGUACGAAGGGCGAGAGUACAAGAGGAUUUUCAUUGCAUGUUAUUAGUUUAAAAAUCAUACAAUUUAUAUUAAUUGAUGUUCUUUUAACGACGAUGAAGGUGAAUCCUAGGCCCAUUCAAAUUUUAUAUAUAUUAAACCAAAAAAUGUAGAGUCCAUGUAUUCUACAUAUGUCAGAGUUACACACAAUGGGUUCAAAAAACAAAAAGAAAUUAGAAAAAAUAGCGUCACUAAUGUGAUAACUUCCUCACAAUACUUACUUAAAUUUAUUACUUUUUUGAGAUUGAUUAAGUAAUAUAAUUUUCAUUUGACGUUCAUCUAAAUACCAUAAUUAAUUUUUUAGUCACUUGUGCCAUGACUCGUCAAAUCGUGAGGACCGCUGGUCUACCACUGUCCUUCUAGGUUCUCCACUUUUGACGCUUCCUCUUUUCUCCAAAUUUUUACUUUAUUCUUUUUAAUUUUUUCUUAAAAUCUGCUGACCUAGCAGCUAUAUCAAUGCCUCCAUCUUCAAGGAAAAAUAAUCAUGAUCAUUUUUCCUAUUAACUGAAUCAGAUGGAGUUAAUAGCAGGACUUAACCGCACUAAUUUAAUGAAUUUUAAAAUUUGAUUACACUUUUUAAAAAAUUUAAAAUUUGAAGGCACUUUUGCAACAUAUUUUAAGAUUUAUGGAGCAUUUAUCCCCUCUUAUGAGAUAAUAACACAAAUGAUCUUUAAACUUUGAUUUAAUAUGUAAUGUUAUCCUUAGAAUUUUAAUUUGUUCAAUGGGAUAUUUAAAAUAUUGAUAGGUGUUCAAUUUAGUCUUUAGAUUGAAUGCAUUAUUUCCAUAUAGUUUAGCAACUAUAUUGGAUAUUUGUUAAUAGUUCAUGGAUCACAUUAAAUAAAUUAAAAAAAUUUAAAAUGACAUAACAUAUUUUGCCAAAUUUCAAGGAUCACAUAAAAUAAAUUCCAAAUUCAGAGACAACAUUAGAUAUUGGACAAAAUAUAAGGAUUAUUUAUGUCUUUUUUUUUUCAUUUUUUAAAUCUAAAACUCCAUAAACUUAAGGAUAGACAAAUAAUUUACAUAUAAUUUUUUGAUAAUUUUCCGAGAUUUGAACAAUAAUUUAAAUUUUGACAAAAAAGUAAAAGAACUAUUAUUUAAGUCCAAGCAAAGAGGCAUUAGAUCAAUUAAUUUUCGCCAUUUCUUUACAGUGUCACUUCGCGUGGGCACCAUUUUCAUGGGAGAGACGAUUGCUGCGUUGACGCCCAGGAAAGUGAGGACCCGCUGGUUGCAGGGAAACUUCAAGCCAACCGUGAAAAACGGAAUACGUGUUUUGCUUUCGACUUUUGGGGAAAUGGAGUUGAGUUUCUGGGAAAUUUCUCAAAGUCCAAAGAUUCUUCGGCACGAAAGGCAGGAGUACGAGAGAUUUUCAUGGGUGUUAUUUGAUUAGAAAUCAUUCGAUUUAUGCUAAUUGAUAUUCUUUUAAUGACGAUAAAACCCUAAUUUUGUAGGUGAAACCCAAGCCCAUUCAAAUUUUACAUAUACUAAACCCAAAAAUGUAGAAUUCAUAUAUUUUAGUUAAGGGAAAAUGCCACAAAAAAUCCCAAACUUUAUUAACCGUGACAUAAUUACUCCACCAAGAACAUUUUCGUCUUAUCUUUUCUAUUCUUGCUUUUUCUUUUUCUUUUUUUCCUUUUUCUCUCUCUAUCUUCUCGCCGCCAAGAGAAGAAGAAGAAAAAAAGAAUUUUUUUUUUUAUAAAAAAAAUAACGAAAAUAUUCAAUAAUUUAGAGUAAAUGUGUCACACAAAUACAAGUUCAUGAAUUUUUGUGUCACAAAAAAAUUUGAGGUAAAUAUGUCACGGUUAGCAAAGUUUGGAGUUUUUCAUGUCACAACAAAAAGUUUUUGAUAAAUUUGUCACUUUAGGCAAAAUUUGGGAUUUUUGAUGGUUUUUGAGUUUGUAAGACAAAAAGGUUAGGAAAAAUAACACCAUAAAUGCCAUAACUUUUGUACAACACUCACUUAAGUACUAUAACUUCUUCUUUUUUGGAUUAUUUGAGUGAUAUAACUUUUGUUGGGCACUACUUAAAUGUCAUAACCUUUUUUUUCGAUCACUUGUUCCAUAACUUUUUAAAAUCAUUCACCAAGUGUUGAAAAUUUGACUUGAUAUAAUAUGCUUGAUGAACAUUUUUAAAAGUCAUAGCACUUAAGUAAAGUUAUGACACUCAAGUAGAUUUUCUUUAAAGGUUACAUCACAUAAAUAAUUGGGGAAAAAAAUUAUGGCAGUAAAGUAAAUGUCUUACGAAAAUAAUGACAUAUAGGGUAUUUUAUUUGUCAAAAGUUGCAUUCAGUCAUAUAGGAACAAAGCUCCAAAAAUAUUAUAAUACUAGUGAAAGCUUACCAACUAUAGAUGGUUUGAACAUGACUUUCAAGACCAGGGACAUCAAUAUGUGCAACCAUAGUAGUGUGUUUGGUUAGCAUUUAGCAAGUUGGGUAGCCACCUAACCGUUGUGUACUUGGAAUAUUUGGGGUGAAAUGGUAAUGUCCAUAUCACCACUGGAAGGCAAGGCAUCGAGAAACUUAUUUUUUACCAAGGAAAAUUUUAAGAGAAACUCAAUUAUCUUAUAGUCCAAAAAUUGGAAAUUACGAAAUUAUAAGUAAAUCAUUAACUACAAAAUGCAACUUAACUUAUAUUUAUAAAUUAUUUAUGAUUAAACAUAGAAUUAAUAAUAUGUUGAUAUGCAUCGAUGAUGAUUGAUCAACAAAAGAAUUAUUCCAUUGUUUUUAAACAAUGACUGGUAAAUUAAUUUAAAUUACUAUCAUGAUAAUGUACUAUGGAUAUCUAAAUCUAAAGGAAAUGCAAUCAUACUGUAAAAUCUAUGUUAAAUAUUGUUAUUUUUAUUGCAUUUUAUUCUCAAUUUGGUUUUCAUAAAAGUUGACGUGGCAUUUUUCAUUUGUGUUUAUUUUAAGAGAGGCGCUUAUGAGGAUGCUAAUGCCAAAUGUUCAAUUUUCUAAUCAAGAUAUGAAAAAUUGUUUGAAAAUUUUGGAGAAAUAAAGAUCUUAAAAAAAGGAUAGAAAAAUCAGACAAGAAAUCAUUCUUAAGAGGUGCAAAAGUCUCCAUCAAGUAGCUUGGAACAUCAUUUAUUUAAAAAUUAAAAAAAAAAGCUCCAAACAGUGUUCAUGACGGUGGAGAUUGCAUUUGUUGUUGCAUGAAUUCAUCCUACCAUAAUCAAAUUUAAUUCGUGAAAUUUAAUCUGCUUUUGGUUUCGUGUGAAAUUUAUUUGCCCACGUCAUUGACGAAGCUCUUGAAGAAGCAUGGGAAGGUGGUAGAGAGGGCCAAGUUGGCUUUGCCGAAGUCCGGCGAGGAACGUUGGCCAACCACCGUCCUUCUUGGUUCUCCACUGUUUGACUCUUUCUCUUUCUUCCAAAUAUUUUUUUUUCCAGGAUUUUAUUUCUAGAAAUCCUGGAAUCAAUUUUUUUCCCUUUUUCUUACAUUUUUUCUUAAAUUUUGCUGACAUGGCAGACAUUUCAAUGCCUCUAUCUUCAGAAAAAAAAAAUCAUGUUAUUUUCUCCCAUUAGGUGAAUUGGACAGAGUUAAUAGCAAGAUUUGAUUACGCAAAUUUAAUAAGUUUUAAAAUUUAAUUGCCCUUUUUGAAAAUUAUAGAAUAUGAUUGCACCUUUACAAUGUACUUUAAGACUUAUGUUUAUCUCCCCUUAAGAGAUAAUAACACAAAUGAUCAUUGAACUUGACUCAAUAUGUAAUAUUAUUCCUAAAUUUUUAAUUUGUUUGAUGUGAUCUCAAAAUUAUUUAUAUUUGUUCAAUUUAAUUUUUAGACUAAAUUUGCCAUUUCCAUAUAAUUUAAAAAUUAGAUUGAACCAUAUUAAUAGUUCAUGACUGCAUUAUAUAAAUUAGAGCUUAAAAACAAUAUAACAUAUUUGGACAAAGUUCAUCAAAUUAAACGACUUAAAAAUUUGGGGGUUAUUUAUGUCAUUUUUUCCAUUUUUUUAAAUCAAAAACUCUAGAAACUUAAGCACGACACAUAGAUUCACAUAUAAUCUUUUGAUAAUUUUUUGAAAUUUGAACAAUAAUAUAAAAUAUAACAAAAAAGUAAAAAAAAAAAAAAACUAUUUUUCACUUUUUUUUUAUAACUCCAGACCAGCAUUAAAUCAAUUACUUUUCGCCAUUUCUUUACAAUGUCCCUUCGCGUGCCGGAUGUUAUAAGAGUAAUAAGAUGCAGAGGACACCUUUUUCACGGGAGAGACGACUGAUGCAUUGCCAUGUUCUUCAGCGAUAUCCUCCCAACCAUCCAUCACUAUGUCUCUCUCCUCGCAAGAUGCGUCUCCAAGAAACACCUGAAGCUCGGCAUGACCGUCCACUCCCACCUCAUCAAGACCGCACUCGCCAGCGACUCUUUCCUCGUCAACCAUCUCAUUGGCAUGUACUCCAGAUGCUCUUCCAUCCCAAGCGCCCACAAGGUUUUUGAUGAUCUUGAUAUAAAGAACAGUUACUCUUGGAACACCAUCAUAUCUGCAUAUGCCCGGAUAGGCGAUUUCAAUAAAGCACUCGUCUUGUUCGAUGAAAUGCCGCAGAGGGCUCUUGUCUCUUAUAAUUCCUUGAUUUCUGGGUUGUCCCGUCAUGGGUUUUAUGUGGAGUCUCUGAGCGUCUUCAUGCAUAUGCAACAAGAAUAUGAUUGGCUAUUCAUGGAUGAGUUUACUUUUGUGGGUGUUGUGGGUGCCUGUGCUCACUUGGGUGCAUUUAAGUUCUUGCGCCAAGUUCAUGGAGUGGCCAUCGUAAUGGGCUUGGAAUUUGCUAAGAUAACUUACAAUUCCCUGAUUGAUGCUUAUGGUAAAUGUGGUGGAGUCGAUAUAUGCCGUGUCUUGUUCGACGUUAUGCCUGAAAAGGAUGUCGUGUCGUGGACUUCCAUGGUUGUUGCUUAUACGCGAGCUCAUAACAUAGGUGAUGCUUGUGCAAUAUUCAACAGUAUGCCAGCGAAGAACACAGUCUCUUGGACUGCACUGAUCUCAGGCCUUGUGCAGAAUGGCCGUGGUGAUGAAGCUUUGGACCUUUUUGUUCAAAUGCAUGAGGAAGGAAUACAGCCAAGUCCUCAUACUUUUGUCAGUGUUCUAUGUGCCUGUGCUGAUCGAGCACUUGCUGAAAGAGGCAAACAGAUCCAUGGUUGCAUCGUUAGGACCUGCUUUAAUGGAGAUUUGGAGAACAUAUUCAUAUGGAAUGCUCUAAUUGACAUGUAUUGCAAGUGUGGUGACAUGAGAUCAGCUAAGAUCUUAUUCUUGAGGAUGCCAAAAAGGGAUAUUGUUUCAUGGAAUUCGAUGAUAACUGGGUUCGCACAAAAUGGGCUGGGGCAUGAGUCACUUGUUUUUCUCAGGACCAUGCUAGAGACAAAUGCAAGACCCAACCAUGUCACGUUUCUUGGCGCUCUAUCUGCUUGCAGCCACACAGGUCUAGAUAUUGAAGCGCUUCAGAUUUUCAAUGCAAUGGAAAAGGAUUACAGCCUUCAACCCAGAUUAGAUCACUAUGCUAUUUUGGUCGAUCUGCUCGGGAGGAAAAACAGACUUGAGGAAGCCAUGGAGUUAAUAGAGAUUGUCUCAAACAAAUCAAACCAUGUUGGAAUGUGGGGUGCACUUUUAGGUGCAUGCAAAGUCCAUGGUAAUCUAGUUAUUGCCCGAAAAGCUGUGGAUGCUCUACUGAAUUUGGAACCCCAAAAUGCUGCGAGAUAUGUCAUGAUAUCAAGCAUAUAUGCUGCAACUAACAGAUGGGAUGAUUCCUGCAGAGUAAGGAAGCAGAUGGAGGAGAGAGCUUUAACAAAAGAUGUGGCAAACAGUUGGAUUGAGGUAAAGAAUGAAAUGCACAAAUUUCCAGCAAAGGACCAAUUCCACUAUCAGAUGGGAGACUUAUACGAAGUGCUCGGGAAACUAGCAUAUCAUAUGAAGGAAUCUGGAUAUGUUCCUGAGCCCAACUUAAGACUCAUCUUAGCUAAUUAUGAUGAUGAUGGUGGGUAAUGAAUACAAAAAGGGUUCAGACGGAAGAUGCUGGAGAAAAAAUAGAAGGCUACAACUGCAAGGUGAUAGUUCUCGUACUAAUGAACAAUUCAUACCUUCCUGGAGAACAUCAAGUCAAAGAUACCAUGAAGUUUCAGGAAGGACUUAUGGUCCACAGAAAAUCGGGCAUCAUGAAAGCCUCUCGUUGUACCUGGAGGUUUUGCGUGAGGUAGGUGGAGAUUGCUCAGAUGCUAUCUGGUAAUGGCAUUCUGUGUACAUAUUUUCGGAUUCUGACCUCAUUGUGUCUGGAACAAUGGAAAGCGUCUACCUUGCCAUUAUUGGUUCUUUUGGAUGCUGCCUGACCGGAUCAAAUUUUUCUCUUGGGUUAUGUCCAUAUCCCUUUGAGGGAAUAGAUAGUACUGCAAAAUUUUUCUCUCAGGUUAAACAUGAUGUCCCUGACCAUGGCGUGACCUGGAACAUCUCUCAGAACUAUAUACAGCUUGAAGCUCCAUACUAGUCAUUGUCCCGUGAUUUCUUGUCAGGCUUAUGCUUCCGCAACAACCAGUUUACAGCUGACAAUUUUCCAUGAAGUGUUGAUGAAAGGUCUAACUACUACAAAUCUGGGAUGGAGUUCCAUUCUUUGUUUUCUUCUCAAUGAGUGUUUAUUGUUCUUCAGGAAUUCAGGAAAGUAUGUGCAUGGUCAAAUAGAGGUUAUUGGCUAUGAUUUUUUUAGUUGUGGCUGAUGGUUUCAUUAUUGUCCUAUGGGAUCGCUUAGGAGCGACCUGUAUUUGUUUGUGGUGCUGGUCUGCUCCCAACAGUAGAAAUUACCUCAGGAUUUGACUGUACACGUACAACUCAUGGUAUUUUCUUCUACAUCUUGACAUAACUACAUCAAGAAACCAGAGUGGAUUUUUUAAAUCAUGCUAAGGACAGAUGUAUUUGUUGACAGAAGGUGUAAAAUAUUUUGCAUGCAAGGCACUGUGCGAGCGUCAUUGCAUCAGUUGAUUGAGGCAAUUGGAAUUGCCGUCUGUAAUGCAGUUGUUCCAACAUCCCUGAUUAUUUUUGGCCCCUACUUAUGCCAUGCUUCAGUUUCUUCCUUUGCAUCCGAACUACUUUUUCUGUUUUGACAAUUGAGUACUCUCUUUCCGAUGGAAGAAACAAACAGCUGUAGAGGUGACGAUUCUCUUAGGGUAAUCUCCUAGCAAUGUGAAAUAAUAGAAUUUACUAGCACAUCUGGGAAAUUACCAUCAUCCACUGAAAACUACAAAUGUAAGAUAAAAUAUCAUUGGCUUUAGCUCAUGGAUUUGUGGAAUUUUUCGCUAUAAGAUAUAUACAUGUAUAUAAUAUUUUUUGGUUGGAAGAAUCCCAGGACAACACUUAUUCUCUGCAAGGUCAAUCCUUAAUUUUCUAAGCAAGGGAUGGAUGGAGCACUCGAGUACUGUGAAUUUUGUAUACGAAUCUAAGAAGAUUAUCAAGUUAAAUUAGUCUUCGCAAGAAUGAGCUAGAUUUUUAUAGGUGAUAUGUCUCUUUCAAAUGUUUGUGGUCUAGACAAUUUCCUUAUUAAAAGAUCCUGUGGAUGUCUUAGUAAUCUUGGGUUUCAGUUUCAAAAUUCAAACAACUACAUCUUUCAUGACCGUCCGCAACCACUUGAUCUUGCUAUUUAUAUGUACUUUAUUCUAAUGUGCACAAUAUACAACCAUAAUGGUGCCUCUGGUUAUAGAUUCGAAAUGAGUCUGCAAUACGGUAACUAAUAGUAAUGCUAUAAGUUACUAUUUUACUUGGUUUGUUACUAGAAUAAUAAAGGUAUGAUAACGUCCAAAUUGCUUCAUCAUCGUACCUAACUAUUUUACUUGGUGUGUUACUAGAAUAAUAAAGGAAUGGUAACGUCCAAAUUGCUCCAUCAUCGUACCUAUUCUUUCUCCCUCUGCCAAGACCGCCACCAUGGCUAGUGAUUGCUCCUCAUGAGGGGUUGCCGCCUUGUAGGCAGUGGGUUGCUAGCGGGGUUGGUGGUGGUGGGCCAAUACCGGUAAGCCAGCAUGGGGCGAUGGUGGCCGUUAAUGUUGAGCAGCAAUGGUCUUUAGUCGUGUGCGGGCAAUCCAAAUAUCCCCCGAGAUUAGGAAUAAUAUUUUCGAAGCGCUCUAUUCCAUUUAGCUCCGUAGAUACAAUUACCACUUGUGAGUAGGUAUUACCAUAAGCUGAAUACGUAAUGACAUGUGAUCGAUGUCUUUCUUUAAUCUUUUAAAAAAUCAAAUUCAUAUCGAAUACCGGCGAGAAUAAAGGAAAAAAAAAUCCAAUUGGCAAGGAAGUGCCAAAUUCGAUGUCAUGUGACCUUUUGGACGCGAUAUGAGAGAAAAUAUGGGAUGGGUUCCUGGAAGACGUCCGUCAUGGGGAUCCAUGAAAGUCCAUGAAAAACCGUUCGUCCUGAAGAUGUUUUCUUCAUUUCAACAUAGCAAUCCUCAAAAUUCUUCUGUUACUUCUGAUUUACUACUUGUAGGUCAAUAUUUCUCCUCCAUUGGAUUUGACAGGAAAGAAAAUGGCACUCGGUCAGCCUAGUUAUAGCAUAGAUGAAAGUUCCAGAGAGAGACUAUUUUAGCAUUGUUUCCGCCUCUCCGUGUUUUUAUUUAAUGAUGUUUGGGGGGUAAUUUGAUUUUAAAAAAAAAAUUGAAGCGACAAAGAAAGAGGUUUCUUUUGUCAAGGCCGCGUUCAUGUUAUUGUCCUUUUUCUCUGCAAUGUGAAAUGUACGGGCAGGUAUUAUUAGCCAUACCUAGCAAUUUCACCAGCUUAGUCUAUGUGGGGACACAAUCCCAUGGUUCCAUAACUUUGAAUAAACACACUAAAUUAGCACCAAAUAUUUAUUUAUUUAUUUAUUUUGCAACAUGAAUUGGCCCGCCCACAAGUAAUCCGGUGCGGGCUGGGCUGAUUUUGCACCAGAGUUGCUCUUCAACUUUACCGGUAGCGUUAGUAAUUCACUUAUGACACCGAAAUUUUUUCCAAAAGAGUCGGUAAUUUACCAAUUUUUAUAAUUUACUAUCUGUUUACCUAAUGAGCAAGUAACCACUCAUUUUCUUUUACCUAACAAUUCCAUUUUUGCUGUUAAUCCCAUCCAAAAAUUCAAAUUAUGAAACUAGAAAUGAAGUCAUGAAUCCACUCUGAAGCUGCUGUAGAAAUCUGUAUCAAGUUAUCAAAACUAAAGAACACUUGGUGACCAUUGCACAUGAUCAUUAGCUAGGGAGCGUUUCAAGUUUAUGCUAGACCCAAUGUCUAGCCCCUCCUUCAUUUCUUCAAUGUGAAAAUUCUCAUGGAAAAUCAGCAACAAUUAAGUGAAUAUAGUUGCCAAUGUCUGACUGAAUUCGCAACACUGAAUGCAACACAUUCUCAGGGUAAUGUCUCGAGAACAUUAACAUCUACGAAUCAAUUCAGCAGCAAGUCAUCUUGAAUCCUUGAUGAAUUUCUUCCAUGACGAGAUUAAUCACUAAGCACACCCGCUAAAAUAUUAGGAGUACGUAGGACCAAAACAGACCAAGAGAAGAAGAGAGAAAUUGCAGAACCAAUCGAUUGUAUUAAGGUUCCAUCCCUUCCAGGACAAUAUUUUGGCUUUAGCUAGACCUUGGAAACCUCAGAAGGAUAAACGAUUUCCCCUUCUCAAACUAUUCCACCCGUAAGGUUUGGACUAGUUAGCUCCUGAAGGGAAAAAAUCGAUCCCCUAAUUGGUGCAGAAGUGAACUGAUGCAGAGGAGUUGCAAUGUUUUUCGAGAGCACGCGACUUGGUUUGGCUUAAAGCUAUUACAAUUGGAGGAGUUCAAUUGAGUCACAGCUCACGAAGGAGUUCAAUGGGAGGCUGUUUUCAUUGCAUAGAACUCAAUUCAAUCCCACUCUUUUCUUAAUCUACCACUAGUCGAAUCAAAAUUCACAGACAAAACCCAAUUAAGGCAGAGCAGAAACAAAAUAAGAGAAUCACCAGAAAAGGAGUGGGUGACGAUGAAGAAUCAAAUUAGACAGCUGCCGAGUCUGAAUGAAAAUGCAGGAAACCAAAUAAAGAUGCAGAGAAGGGAGAAACCCUUCUUGGCCUUAGUCAGCUGCAACCAAAAUGACAAAAAAUAAAAUAAAAUGAAGGCUUUCCAGACAAUCUAUUAAACCCUGGGGGAACAGAUCGGUUGGCAGGAAGACGCGGUCGCUUUCCCGGAGGGAAAUCUUCGCCAGGUCGAGUCGCGUCUCGUGCUUCCGCUCAGUGUCGCCGUUGAGGGCCUUGAUGGUUGGGGUCCGUUGCUGCUGCUCCUGGGCGAGCUCCUUACUCGGGUCGUCGCUGAUGAGGGAGGAAGAGAAGGAAGAAGAAGGAAAGAAUGUGAGGAGAGACAGAGAGAGAGCAACGGGAGAAAAAACAAAACAAAAAAAUAAAAAAAGGAGAAAAAAGUCGAAAUUUCUUAAGAGUGGGUCCCACCUAUACACACGUCAUUUGAGAAAAUAUUCCUCACCACCACUCUAGUAUGGAACAUUUUCUCCGUGACUUCCUGCCCACCACCCUCGGCUUAUCCGGCUUUCCGUCAGGAUCCUCGCUUUUUUCAAAUCCCUGUACUCAUCGGAUUCCAGAAUCUCCUCCAAUCUCUCACAUCCUCUUAUUAUUAAAUCCUCUAGCUCCUUGAAGCUUGAAGGAUCAGAAAAUUGUCGCAGAGACUCGCAGCCCCAAAUUUCAAGUCUUUUCAAUGAUUCUAGCCUACCUCGAAUCUCAACCUGACGAGGACAACGCCUUAUCUUGAGACCCUCGAGCUCCUUGGCAUUGGUUAGGUCAGGCAACUUCUCUAGCAACGGAAGAUCCCCCACACAUAACACCCUCAAGUUCUCCGAAACUUCCGGGCCUUGAAUCUCUUCUAGCUUCUGACAUUCAUCUAUAUAUAAUGAUUUUAUAUACUUGAAACUUAAUGGAUUAGGCAUCUUUUCGAGUGAUUUACAGUUAAAUAAAGUGAGGUCCUCCAACGAUUCUAGCUGACCUCUAACCUCAACCAAUUUAGGACAACUUUCUAUAUGAAUUCUUCGGAGCUUCUUCGAGUUGGUCAGGUCAAGCAACUUUGCUUGCGACACAAGACAACUAAGACGAAGCUCUUUUAGGUUCUUCAAAUGUUCGAGACCUUGAACCUGCACACAAUUAUAGACUUCAAAAAAUGAUAACUUCUCCAAAUAUGAAAGAUUUAUCACUGCAUUGUCCAUUAACCUGCCCCCAUAUAUCACAAAGUAUGACAAAUUCUGGGGAAGCCUAGGUGGGCAUUCUAGUUGAUGUACACAGAGUUUAAGCUUCCCGAGCUUUGAAAGGAGAUUAAAAUCUGAAGGUAGGGUGAUCGGAUUAUCGUAACGCAACCACAAGGUUUCUAGCUUUGUUAGCCCUCCGAUCCAAUCGAGACUUGUAGCUAGACAGGAAGGGGUUUGAUACCUUGAUUCCAAUGUCAAAACUCUCAAAUUUAAUAGAUUCGAGAGAUUUGGGCAUCUCAUAUUUACAUUAUAUUCCAGGUAUAAAUCGGUCAUACUUUCAGGAAGCUUAGGUAUAUCGGAAACUCUCGAGCUCGAUAACCUCAAGAUUCUUAGAAAUGAUAGUCUUUCAAUCUCAUUUGGAAUUUCCCCACACAAAUUUCUACAACUGUCAACAUGGAUCUCUUCAAGCUUCUCCAACAACCCAAGGGCACCAGGUAGCUUUUCUAAGGGGGUGUGAGACAUCCUUAGUACUCUCAAAUUCUUCAUCGUCUUUAUUAAAUCAGGUAACUCUCGUAAGCUCGACUGAGAAAGAUUCAACUCAACGAGAGACCCAAAAUUUCCAAAUGGAAGUUCACUAAUACUUGUUUCUGACAAGUCAAGAUACAAUAGUGAUGUUGAGCAACUAGCUAAAUUGCAUUCACUUAGUAAUUUACAGUAAGUUGUACUAAGGGUUUCCAUUUUCUCCAUUCCUUUCCAUUCAGGAAAAUUGGUAAUAGAUGUCCUACCAACACGAAGUUCUGUCAAGGCUUUCAGUUCCUCCAUCUCGUCUGGCAAUGUCUGAAGUUCCCUACAACCUUCCAAGUUUAAUAAUACUAAAUGCUUUAACUUACCAAUAGACUUAUCAACUUGAACCAGUUUGUAGCACCCUUUAAGAAUCAGUUGCUCUAAAUUUUUAUGAUCAGAAAAGUUAGGAGUCCUAUGCAAGUUGUAGCAUCCAGUCAAAUUUAGAACCUUCAACUUUUUUGCCAUCUGUAAUGAAGAGAAGAGGUUAAUUUGGAUCGUUUUGAGAUACGGGACAGCAAAGUCAAUAUAGCAAAUUCAUGUUGAAAUAAUACCGUACCUUGAGGUGGUUCCAUCCCUCCCACUCAUAUGUAAUUUUACUCCUUGAUAGAUCAAGAAUCGCUAGCUUCACGAGGGAAAAUGCGGUGAAUUGGAAAAAGAUGGGAAACUCAUGCCAUGAGAUAUACUUCAAAUUUUGAAGGAUGGGUAGAUUCCUCUGGAACGAGUUGGUUGAAGGAAAAUACUGAAUGAAUUUAGACCAUGAGAGCCAUCUCAAAUUCAGAAGGGUGGGUAGAUUCCUUCUGAACCAGUUGGUAAAAGAAAAAUGCCGAACAUUGUUCAUAUCCAAGUCCCCACACUCCACUUGAAGAAACCUUAAAUUUGGUAGACUUGCAAAUUCUUCUUUCUUAAAAAAGCAUCGAGAUUGAUGAUCAAACGUGAGACAUAUUGCUUCAACGUUUUUUGUUCCCUGCCAAAGCAAAAAAGGGAAACAUAAGCUGGUUAUCAUAUAAUCACCAGUUGAAGGCAUUCAAGUUGAACAUGCUCAAGGACUCAAGGAAUGUACAUCUUAUUCAUAAUUGAAACUAAUUUAAAAUAUAAUUUACAGAUGAGCAUGUGAUCAUAGUAACCACACAAGUAACGACUUGGUUUAGAUAGAAGCAAAUAAGCCAAAUCAACGUGUAUAACUUGUCUCUUUGGAUAGGAAUAACAUUGCAAACACUUUACCUCCUUCAUUUGAAGAACAGCAAUUGCUUCCUCAUGAUUCCACACCCGACUCUGCUUCUCCGGUUUUAAAUUAGCUCUUUCACGAACGAUGUCUCGCCCAAGGUCUCUUAGUUGAUCAUGCACCCAUAGUCGGUUACCUUCUACAAUCUUUAUUAACGACCUCUGUUCAAGGACUUCAAGAGAAUAUUCAGGGGAAAACUUAUAGCUGUCCCAUAUGUGAAUCACAAUUCUCACAUCAUACCCAACAAAGAAGCAACAAAUAUCAAGAAAUAUUUCCUUCUCUUGAGAUUCUAAUGCCUCGAAACUGAUGUUCAACUUACUUUUAACAUUUCCAUUUGGAAUAGUUUCCAGCUUCUUCAAUGUGAUCUCCCAAAUUCUCCUCUCUUUUCCAUUUAAAAGUGAACCUAUAGUUUUAAGAGCCAAAGGAAGACCAUCGCAGAUUUUUAGUGCUUUUUUGGAGAGGGGAACGUAUUCUGCUGGAGGAUUGUCUCUUCUAAAGGCAUGUUUGCUAAACAGUUUAAGAGAAUGUUUAAAAUCCAUUUUGAUAAGUUCAUGCUGAAAAUCAACACCUUUGAGAAGUUCCUUGUCUCUUGUAGUAAUAAUAACCUUACUUCCUCUACCGAACCGGCAUUCAUCCGCCCCCACAAGAGCAUCCAGCUGAGUCUUUUGGUCGACAUCAUCAAGUACAAGUAAGACUGUUUUAGAGAACAACCUCUCCUUGAUCUCAGUAAUUCCUUCAUUACCGUUAGUGAUGGACAUGCAACUUGUUCGUAGGACUUUAGAGAUGAGUUGAUCUUGCAAAGUCUCAAUCUUUGUAUCUCGAACAUUUGACAGGAAGCAACAGUUAUAAAAAUCAGCUGAUAGUUUAUUAUAGAUGAUUGUGGCAAGAGUUGUCUUUCCGACACCACCCAUACCAUGUAUACCAAUAAUCUGUGUUUCAGUGGUCCGUUCACCUAUCACUUCCAUGAACUUGUCCACUUGAUUGUCCAUUUCAACCAAGCAAUUAGACACUGCCAAGGAGUUCUUUUUCAACUUGAUCAAAAGCAUCUGGACAACUUCUUUUGUGAACUCGCCUUUGCCUCUGGCAGUAUUGAAGGCAAUAGAACCAAACUAUUAAAUCAAGAUGAAUAGAAUAAUAUCUAAGGUACAAACAAACCAUGCACAAUAAUAAAUUCAAGUACCUUUGCUUGAGUUUCCAUCCCUUUAAUGAUCCAACCUUGUUGAGAGCUGCCUUCCAGUUUUGAAUAGUCUCAUCAGUAUACAGCUGCUUAGUUAUGUGUGACCGAAUGGCCUUGCCGUAACUUGCAAUCUGGUCACGAACCUCAGAUGGUUUAACGUCAUAGAAAAUCUGCAUGAUCUCUUGUCCCCACUUUUCCUUGCACUCCACCAUCUGGACCAACUCCAUUAGGCACCAUUCACUCUCAGCAUAUCUUUCAGAAAAGAUAGGAAUUGAGAUUUUCGAUUGCUUAAUCGCUUGGAGAAGCUCUGGGCCAAUCUCUUUCCCAACAUGAAGCUGUUCAUCAUCUCUAAAUGCUCGUAUUCCGACAUUUGUGAGGCUGUGGUAAAGGUAAUCAGCGAUGUCGUUGCGAGUAUCAGAUCCUCUAAAACUCAAGAAUACUUCAUAAUAAGGCUCCACUGGCUUCUCCAUUUCUGGAAUUUUCAGAGGACUUGCAACGUCUUGAUAUCCCACCUGAAAUAUUCUGUUUUAAGUCAUUCUAGAAAAGAACCUUGAUGACAAAUGCAUGAGCUCCUUCUAGGGCCUUGCACUAGACACCAAAAUAUGUCCAAAUAUUUUAUUAACAGUACGGUAGAGAAGUGGACCCAUCUCGAUUCUAAAGGAAGAACUUUCCAAAGUAUUGCAGAAAUUAUGAAUUUUAGUCACACUCGAAAUUGAUUUGAAAAAAAAAAGAAUAUUUCACGCAGAGAUAAAUCACUGUUAACCUAUUUUUGUCUUGAACUCUUUCUUUAGGUGAUAAAAUUUCUCUUGAAAGAUGACGUUGAAUGUCCUUUGCACAUAAGCACCUAAAGUUGCUUGUAGCUUGACUAACUUUGUCAUUAUCUAAUAAGAAAUUAUAAUAAAACCUUCCUCUAUUAGUUUAACCAAAUUAGAUUGGACAAAGACAUUCCACAACACUCAAUUACUAGCUCCCUCGACCUUUACAGAUGCGGGCAAAGAGUUCAUUCCCCUACGACAAUCUCAUUAGAAAAAUGAAAUCAAGAAAUUACAAUAAAGCAAAUGCAACUCUCACCACCGGACUAGUUUGUAAAGAGCAUAAACCGAUCCCUAAUUACAGCCAUCUCAUAGGAUAUAAAAAAAGAAGAAAAAGAUACACGGUCAUGGGCGAGCAUCAGUUAGGCUUGAAGCUAUUAUCCACAUUUGCCAGAAAGUACCAGCAUAUCAGAAAAAAAGGAUUUAAUUACUAAUAAAUUAUGGAGCUAAUAAGGGUGUGCAUGCAAACGUUUCUGUUUCUCAUGGUUUCUGUUCUUUUGUUCCCCGGAACAAAAAAAGAACAGAAACCUAUUUGCUAACGCCACAUUGUUUUUUUGUUCCCGGGAAUAAAAACUUAGCCCGGGAAUGCUUUGGGAACAGAAACAAGAAGCAAAAAAAAGUUGCUUCUUGUUCCCGGGAACAAUUGCUAGAAAUAAGCUGAUUUUCUUUUUUAAUUUUCUUUUAUUUCCUUUUCUUGCCGCGACCACCGUCAACCGCCCGGAGCCACCGCCCACCGCCGCUGCCGCCGGUCGCCGCCGCCGGUCGCCUGCCGUCCGGCGGCCGCCGGUAGCCGGACGUCGCCGCCGCCGACCGCCGGACGUCGCCACCAUCCGCCGUUCGCCACAGUCACCGGCCGCCGCCGUCCGCCGCCGUCGCCGGUUGCCGCCGGUCGCCGUUCGCCGCCCGCCGGCAGCCGUCUCCGGCCUCCGGUCGCCGCUGCCGUCCGCCGUCGCCGCCGCCUCCGUCCGCCGGUCGCUGUCCCCGGCCCGCCAGCCGCCGCUGCCGCACGACCACCGGCCGCCGACCGUCACCGUCGGGCGCCGCCGGAAGCCCAUCGGCCGCCGACGACGGCCGGUAGCCGACGGUCCCAUGGAAAUAGAAUCUUGAUCCUUCUAAUUUUUAAAUGACCAUGGUUCAUGUCAUACACCAACAUAAUGCCAAUCAAUGAAAUGAUGCAAAUCAUGUAUACAUGAAGAUCAUCUCAAUGGGAAUAUAAAUUAAUAUCCCAGUUUCAAAAUGCAAUGAAAAGAAUCACUAACUUGAUAUACUCAACUUUAGACAANNNNNNNNNNNNNNNNNNNNNNNNNNNNNNNNNNNNNNNNNNNNNNNNNNNNNNNNNNNNNNNNNNNNNNNNNNNNNNNNNNNNNNNNNNNNNNNNNNNNCGGCAAUCCGUCGGCAAGAUUAACAAAUGAAUAAAUACACAAAGACAUUGUUGCGUUAUCAAACGCACUUCUAUUCUUUUUCUAUUUCCAAGAGUAGAAAUUUUGUGUCGUUAUCAAACGGGGUUCUUUUACUCAGAAAAUUGUUCCCCGGAGCAGAAAUAGAAACGAACCAUUUCUGAAAAAAAACUCCUCCCCGGAACAGAAACGUUUGCAUGCGCUACCUAAGAUUUCAACAGAAAAUAGAAGCAUGAAUGGUAUAUAACCGUUUUUCCAGAAAAUAAGUUGGAACACACAGGAGUGUAGGGAUGAGCUAGGUAGCACAGACACGUUCAAAGGGCCUCCGUGUCAUGUUGAACACCCCGACAUGUGUCCGACACGCUCGGACACGCUCGAACACGUGGUCAACACGUGUCUGAGUUUCCGACACGUGGUCAACUCUUUCCGACACGCGCAUCGGAGCGUGUCCGGAGGUUUGUGGGCGGAUCCGCAGGUGCGAAGGGAAGAAAGUGAUGGAGGGUGAAGGCAAGGGUGAGGGAGCUGAGGCGAUGCCGCGAGCGACGACGAGGGAGGGCUCCGACCGUCGACUGCAAGGGCUUCGACCGCCGACUGCAACACUGAGAAGCUUUCUCGAUCGUCUUGGAUGGUUGUGACUGCCAACUGCAACGUCGAGAUGGAAAACGGAAAGGUUGCGAUGGAGGGCUGGAUGCGAGGCUACGACGGCAAAGGGGGGAACGGAGGCGAGGCAGCGGUGAGAGAGGUGGAGACCGAGCGAGGGAGAGGAGAAAGAAGGCGAUCGCCGAUUGCUAGGGUUUUCAAUUUUUGGAAGAAGAACAAGGAGAGAGAGGAUGUGUCGACGGCUAUGUAGCACCAACAUGGGACACGACACGAGUGUCCGACACGACACGACACGUCGACACGUUAUUUCUAAAAAAUAGAGAAUUCCGACACGUUGCGACACGUUGUAUAUUAAAUGAAUAUUUUUAUUUUUAAUUAAUUUGAUUCAAAUUCAUAAAUAAAUAAUUAAUUAAAAAAAGAGCCUAUAAUAAAUUUAUACUAAUAAUAUUAACAAAUCAAUUCAUUUGAAAUUCAAAAGAUAUAUUCAUAAUUAAUGCAAAAUGUUUUUUUAAUUUUAACAAAAGUUAUAUGAAACUAAAAAUUAAUAAGAAAUUAAAAUCAAUUUAUCUAAAUAAAUCCAUGAUUUUCUACCAUAACCAAAAUUUAUCAUUAUUCAAAAUUUAACAUUUUUAUUUUUCGAAAUCAUUUUUUAAUUUUAUUUAUUUAUUUUUCCGGUUAAAAAAAUAAUCCCCAAAAUCCAACCCUUCUUUCGUUCCUCCUUUUCCCUCCACCCCACGUUUAUUUUAAUUUUUUCCCUCCCCCCACUUGACAGUGACAGGUGAGCUGUCACUCCGUUCGUCGCUUCGUCUCGCCAGCGCUCGCGACCUCUGCUCCCUCGCCCUCCCUCGCCUCCACCCUCCAUCAGUCUUCCGGACAUGCGUCGACACGCGUGUCGAUAAAAGUUGACCGCGUGUCGGAAAAUCCGACACGCGUUGACCGCGUGUCGGAAAAUCCGACACGCGUUGACCGCGUGUCCGACCGUGUCCGAGCGUGUCCGACACGUGUCGGACACGACACGGAAGCAUGGACAACGUGUCCGUGCUUCAUAGGUCGACGGCUUCUUGGGGGAAAAAAAGAAAGCCUCGUGCAGUGCAGCGUGACUUUGGGAAGAGACGUGUGCAGGCGGUGGGUGGGGUGGGGGAAAUAAAUGGAUGGGACCAUUUAACCCUAAAAAGAAAUAUUAAAUAUUAAAUAAUUUUAUUUUUUUUGGCAAAAUCUGUAAAAAUUCUCUCUUUCUUUUCAAGACGAUGAGAGAAAUGGAUCGAGAGCCUUUGCGUACGUUGAAUAACUUUAUUAAUACAUGUCACUAGUAUAGAUUUAUUAUAGGCUUAUUUAUUUAUUUAUUUAUGAAUUUGAAUAAAUUAAUUUAAACAUAAUAAUUAAUCAUGUAUAUAUAAAAAUAUUUAUUUAAUAUUUAACGUGUCAAAAUUUUCUAUUUUUUGAGAAAUGACGUGUUGCGUGUCGUGUCGUGUCGCGUGUCCAUGUCGCCGUGUCUGUGCUACCUAAGGGAUGAGAGCUGCAUUUUACGAAAGCAAGAGAGUACCGGUUCACCACAAAGUGCAACAUUGUAGUGUAUUCAAUUGUCUUUACUGUUAAAUACAGAGUUGAGGGUACCAAUGUUCUGCCUAGGAGCAUUCUUACUGCUAAUCACGUGACAAUAAUGUACGAAUUUGUCAUAUCAAAGUCUCUUAAAGAUACCACUAUUUCUGUUUGAGCAAAAAAAGAAUAAAAUCCAAUUCGUAAUUACCAGAAUUUGUCGUAUCAACAGACCCAAUCAAAUUAAUUUAGCUUUUAGCCCCGGCCCAGUUCCUAAAGAGCGUAAAUCCGAUUCCUAAUUACAGAAAUCUCUGAGAUCUGUCGACAAACUAAUGCAUAGGAGUGGCAUUGCGUUUCAGGAUCUGAGGCCUGACAGUUGCAUAGAUGGAAGUGGAUGAGCACUGAGCAGGGUUUUAGCCUGCGACUCAAGUUAGAGGCUAAAGCUAUUAGUGUCAGACGCAACUGGCAGUGAUCAAUCAUGGAGUCAACUGAGGAAAGAACUGAUGCUGAUCCGAGAGUCCCUCUCUUGUUUCCAUCAAAUUCUGCACCUAGUUGCAUUACAGAACAGACCCGAUUUUAUUUAAAAGAAGGCAAUAAACGAGAGGAAAUUGCCGGAGAUGGAGGAGGUGAAGAUGAACAGGAUCAAAUGCUGAGAAGCAGACAAAGAUCCCAAGAAAAAGCAUUCUUUGACAGACCUCAUUCGAUUCAGCUUUCUCGAGGGCCCAAAACACUUAGGGAAAAUAUUAGGCGUUUGGUAAGUAUUUUUAAAAGUCCCUUAGCUAAACGUCAGCAGAAAUGGGAAUGCUGAAAGUAAUGGGAAUGCUGAAAGCUCAACGCAGGUCGAACCUGCUUUUGAGCUUUUAGCAUUUCAAACCUACUUUAUACUAAUCAUCCGCGUCACUGUUCACUUUCUUCCCGUUCAUCUUAAUCUCCACCGAUUUACCACCUAAGAGUUAGGUCUUCUCCGGCAACCACCGCUUGGGGUCGCGCGAUCCGCGACUCAGGCGACGCCACCUGAGUGCGUGACCUCAGGCCGCCAGAUCUGGCGGUUCGGAGGCUAGAUCAGGCCUCCGCGACCUCAAGCCGCCGAAUCUGGCCGUCCGGAGGCUAGAUCUCGUCAUCCGGUGGCCACAUCUGGCGGUCUGAAGGCCAGAUCUGGCCGUCCGGCGAUUAGUCGGCGGCGGCCAACAGCCAACCUACACCGAAUUAAGUUUUUAGAUUAAAAAAUUAAAAAAUAAUAAAAAACCUUUAUAAAUUGGGUUAAUACCUUGAAAAACCCCAAACUGGUACACCUGUGACAAAUUUACCCAAAACUAUUUUUUUAAUCACCAAAAACCCAAAAUUGGUAUACCAUUGACAAAUUUACCCUAAACUGAUAUACUUGUGAUAAAUUUACCUUAUGUUAGUUUUUGUUAAAUUUUACUAUUAAAUUAUUAAGUUAAAUGACACGUAAUAGUUCAUCGGUACACUGAUUUGGGAUUUUACGCUCCGUUUGUCACAGUUUACAAUAUUUGUGAUUUUUUUUGCGGCAUUAAUCCAAUUUAGGGAAUGGUAUAUUUGUCAUAAAUUUAUCAGUUUGGGGUUUUUUGCAAUCGAAUAAAUUAGUUUGGGAUAAAUUUGUCAUAAAUGUAUAAGUUUAGGAUUUUUUAUGGUUAGUCUGGAUAAAUUUGUCACAUGUGUACCAGUUUAGGAUUUUUUAUGGUAAAAAAAAUAGUUUUGGAUAAAUUUGUCACAUGUGUACCAGUUUGUGGUUUUUCAGGGUAUUAACCCUUAUAAAUAUGGAUUUUACAAAAUGAUAUUUAUGCUAAAACUAUUUUCUAAUAUUUGGCUCGCUGUGCCUCAAAAUGGGAGUCGGCUUUGGGCUUACCGUCCCUCUCGCGGUCUCGGAAGGUCGCGGGCUGAGCGGCGCCGAGGACGAUCGGGACUUUCUUCUGCUCGCAGAGGCAGGAGGGAGAGUAACAGCUCGGGUUUUGUUGCGCUUUAACUAGCUUGGGGCUUGGGAAAUGGACGGCCCUGAUUUCUCCGGCUACCAAAUGGAGAAUCCUCGCUGUCAAAUGAGAGGGCUGGUUAAGUUUCUUGGGCCUUGACGUUGGUGAUUGGAGAUGGGCAAGGCCCACAAUCCAUGUGGGUAAUGCAGCGCAUAAAACAAGCAGUCUGGCCCAAGGCCUUAAGAUCCACAGCAGAAGCAAUACGAAAAAACCCUUCUACGUUGGAAGCUUAGCCUGGAUUUAAUGGUAACACAAUCGAGAGAAGAAACAUUUGUACUGAUAUUUUCUGAUUAUUACAUAAGGAGCUUGCAAUAUACAGAGUUUUGAGUUGCUGGCCAACCACUGAAAUCAGGUGCGCAUCCAACAUUUACAUUCUCUACCAUUAACCAAACUCAGAAGUCCAAGAGAUAAAAGUAUCCUGAAAACAACAAAAAGAUACUCGGACAAGCUGGAUUCUGCAAGAUCAGACUGCCUCCUUUUCUUCGUAUCCUCCAUCGAUCAUCAGAACUCAGAGAAUCUUCUACCUUCUCACGCUUGUGUAUAUAAAAAGACUUUAGCUUCUUGAAGCUUGAUGGAUCCUGUUUAGUCUGCCUUGGAUCUCGACCACUUUAGGACAUCACUGCAGAUAAAAUUUCUGGAGCUUCUUCAAGUUGGUCAGGUCAGGCAACUUGUCCAUAGAUGGAACUCCUCCAAGCUUGAAGGCACUUGGGUUCUCCAAAACUCGGAGGCCUCUGAACUCUCUCACUUUAGGGCAAUGGGCAACUUCCAAAUCUGACAGCGCCUUUGAAUUUGAAAGGUCUAUUGAUGUUUUUAUUUCUCUGCAUGAUUCGGUAUUUAAGUACAGCAAAUUUGGGGGAAGGCCAGGUCGGCAUUGCAGCUUCUUGGAGGGGACCAGUUCCUGUUCCUUGAGCUAUGAAAGAACAAUGAUGUGUGAAGAUGGGACGACGAAAUAAUGAGAUUUCAACAGCAAGGAUUCCAGCUUCCCUAACCUUCCAAGCUACGAAGGACUUGGAGCUUCAAUGAAUUUGAAAGCAUCAUCAAAAUUGUCAAAACCUGAAUUUUACAUACAAUUUGAAUAUCGAAGUAAUAAAUAACUUAACAUCAAAUGAAUGUCUACAGUGAGAUCCUAACAGCAAGGAUUCCAGCUUCCCUAAACUUGUACAGAAGAUUCACCUUAAAAAUAUAUGUAGAAGCGCAAAUCUAAACGUCCCUAAACUCCAAACCGACCAAUAUGUAUAAUAUUUUUUAGGGAGUGAGUUUAAGUUCAGUAAAUGAAAGCUCUACUUCCAAAAUGGAAGACUUGGGGCACGUUUGGUAACGUUUCUGUUCAAAAAUUGUUCCAGGGAACAGAAAUAGAAAAAAAGUGUUUCUGUUCCGGGGAACAAUUUUUUACCAGAAAGAUGCGUUUGGUAAAUUUGUUCCGGGAAAAAAAAUGAAUAGAAACACGUUUGAUAAAUUUAUAUUCUUUUUUUGUUUCUUUUAAUUUUUUAAUAUUUUUAUUUUAUUUUUCCUUUUUUCCUUUCUUUUUUAUUUUUUCUUCUUUCGGCCGGUUGCCGGUCUUCGGCGACCGGCCGACGGGGCCGGCAGCCUCGCCCAGCCACGGCGAGGCUCGGCCUCGCCAGGGGCCGGAGACGCUUCGGCGAGGUCGCCGACCCUCGACAGCGUCGCCGGCCCUCGACAGCCAGUCGCUGGCCAUGGCCGAGGCCGGCGACCGGCCAAAGAAAAAAGAAGAGAGAAGAAAAGUGUUUCUUCAAAAGUGUUUCUGGAGCAAGAAACAAUUUUUUUUUGUUUCUCAUUUUUGUUCUUUUUGUGUUCCAGGAACAAAAAAUCUGAUUUUGAACAAAAACGCAAACAAACGCGUUUCUGUUCCUUUUUUUGUUCCCGGAAACAAAAAAAACAAAAUUUCUAUUCAUAAACAAAAAAAAAAGAAUGAAAACAUGCAGCCCAUUGACAACCAUUAUGUUCAAAAAAUAGUUUCUAGAAUAGAAAUAGAUUUUUCAAUUUCUAUUUCUAGAAGAGUUUCUAAGUAAAAAUAAUCGUUUGAUAACAACACAAAAUUUCUACUCUAAAAAUAGAAAUUCGUUUGAUAACGACACAAAUUUUUUUCCUUUCGGACAAUAAUGGACCGACAAUCAGCAAGGAUGGACGGCCGGUGGCGACCGGCGACUGGCGGCCGGCGGCGGCGGCAACCGGUGACUGGCGGUGGCGGGGCCGAUGGCGGCAGCGAGGUCGGUGGCCGGCAGCAGCGGGGGCGAAGAAUUUUUAUUUUUGAUUUAUAUUCAAGAAAUAGAGAAAUAUAAAAUUUUAGCUUUUGAUUUCUCUUCCAAACCUAUUUUUGAAAUAGUAAUCUAUUCCAGAAAUAGAAAAACUGAAUAGGUUUAGCAAACGGAUUUCUCUUCCAAAAACAGGUCUGGAACAGAAAAACUAUUGCUGGAACAGAAAUGUUGGUUAUCAUGCACCCCCUUACUCGCUACUGGACCCGAGCACACAACAAUAACAAUUAGCAAAUAAGGUCAUAUAUUAUUAUCAAUAGGAAAACCAAUAUUCACCUAAGACAGUGUAAUUCGUGCAUUAUAUAAAAAUGACUAAUUAUCUGUGCAAUGAAUAAAAUAGAUGCAAUGUAUGACAUUCAUUUUAACACUCAAAUACACACAAUUAAUUAUACCAAAUCUCAUAAUGCAUAGAUAUCAGUAGCUCAUCGAUAUAAACAAGUAAAUAUUUAUUCCCUACUUAUUACUAGCCACGACUCAUCUCGACUAACUCAACUAAUGAGAUAUCGUAACCACUGAAUAAUGCAAGACAAAAUCAUAAACACAUAUUUACCAUGCUUCAACCCAUUCAUCACAGGUAUCCUCCAACGAUGAUAAAUAUAGUACAAACGCAUAAUGAUGGCUAUCCUAGACUCAUUCUCAUCAAGAUUCAUACCCAUUUUAUUUCCUUUCAUUUCUCAAUCUUGGACCUCAAUUUCAUAAAUUCAUAUAUAGGCUAUUCAAGUCACAUCUGGUUAUACAAGUCAUAUAAUUCCAUGUAUAAAUCAUUCUACUUUAUGUCUUCUCAAUCUUAUAAAGAACGGUAGAACAUCUGUCUUUUCCCAGAAUCUUAUAUACAUACUCAGAAAAAUCAAUUAUAGUGUUGGUAUAUUGCCAACAACACUUGUAGAAUUUCAAUGGAGUUGGUAAUUUACAUGAUAUGGGAAACAAGCACACUUGGAGAGCGCACCGCAACAGAAAGUCGUAUGCUGUAUUCGAAAGUGGUGUUACUAAUUUACUUAUGAUACUGGUUAAAUUUCGAAUGAGUUGAUAAUUUACUACUUCAUUGAAAUAUUAGUAAAUUUCUGAUAAGUGUUAGUAAUUCACCUACGACACCGGAAAGUUUUUAACAGACUUGGUAAUUUACCAAUCUAGUGUUUCAAGAGCAUUAGACUUGGUUAGGCUAAAAGCUAUUACAAUUAGAUGCAGAUUGAAGAGUUCAAUUGAGUCACAGCUCAUGAAGGAGUUCAAUGGGGGUCAUUAAUCAUUCAGAAGCCCCCCGUAGAAAUCUGUUUUAAGUUAUCAAAACUAAAGGACCUUUGUGACUAUUGCACAUGAUCAUUAACUAGGGAAGGUUAUGUUCAUGCUAGACACAAUGUUUUGCCCCUACUUCUUCAUUUCCUCAGCGUGGAAAUUUUCAUGGGAAAUGCACAACAAUUCAGUGAAUAUGGUCGCUGAUGUCUAAUUGAAUACGCGACAUUGAAUGCAACACAUUGAACAUUAAUCUCUGAGAAUGAAUUCUGGAGCAAGUCAUCUUGAAUCCUCAAUGAAUUUCUCCCAUGACAAGAUCAAUUACUAAUUGCACCCUCCAAAAAUUUUAGAAGUAAGUAGGACCACAGCAGACCAAAAAAGGGAAGAAAGAAAUUGCAGAACCAAUCGAUUAUAGUAAGGUUUCAUGCUUUCCAGGACAAUAAUAUUUCGGUUUUAGCUAGACCUUGAUAAUCAGAAGAAGAAUCGAGUCCCAGUCGACUAUAUUACAUAAGAUAAAUGAAAUCAGAUAAAUCCCUCCCCCCACCCAAAAAAAAAAAAACUGAUUCCCGAUGCAUGUUCUGAACUAGUUCCUAAGGAGCGAAAAUCGAUCCGCUAAUUGGUGCAGAAGUGAACUGACGCACAGGAGUUGCGAUGUGUUUCAAUAGAAUGUGACUUGGUUAAGGCUAAAGCUAUUAAAGAUUCGAUGCAGUUACGGAAGAAAAUCAAUCGAGUCAGCUCCCGAGUGAGUUCAUCAAAAGGCUGUUUUCAUUGCGUCUGUAUGAUAAGUCAUGACUGAAAAUAAUAAAAACUAACUCAAUCCGUUCCAAAUCUUUUCCUAAUCCGUCACUGAUUGCAUCAAAGAUUCGCACGCGGACCCAAUCCAUGCAAAUGAGAAGAGAAAAUUACCAGAAAAUGAAGACGGGUGAAGAUGAAGAAAACCAAAUGAAGAUGCAGAGCAGGAAGAACCCUCGUUGGCCUGAGUCAGCUGCAACCAAAAUGGAAAAGGAAGACCACAAUCUAUUAACCCCUCGUGGAACAGAUCGGCGGGCACGAAGACGUGGUCGCAGUCCCCGUAGGGAGAUCUCCGCCAGGCCAUAUCGCGUCUUGUGCUUCCGCUCAGGGUCGCCGUCGCUGCUGGCUCUGGGCGAGCUUCUCGCUCGGGUCGUCGCUGACGAGGGAGGAGAAAGAAUAUGAGAAGAGGGGGGGGGGGGGGGGGGGGGGGGGAGAGAGAGAGAGAGAGAGAGAGAGAGAAAGAGAGAGCAACGGGAGAAAAAACGAAACAAAAAAACAGAGAGAGAGAGAGUUGAAAUUUCUCAAGAGUGGGUCUCCCGACUCUCCCCUACACCUAUACGCACCGUUUCGAGAAAAUAUUCCUCACUACUCUGGUAGGUAAUCUCUUCCCCGUGAUUUCCUGUCCGGUGGUAUUCUUACCUCAAAUACUGCGAAGGGUCCUCUCACUUUUUUCAAAUCUCCAUACUCAUCAGAUUCCAGAAUCUCCAAUCUCUCACAUUCUUUUAUUGCCAAUUUCUCUAGCUUCUUGAAGCUUGAAGGCUCCGAAAACUUUUGCAAAGACCUGCAGCCUUCAAUAGAAAGCCUCUCCAGUGAUUCUAGCCUACCUGGAAUCUCAAUCAAACGAGGAAAAUGACCUAAAUUAAAAUCAACAAGCUCCUUGGCAUUGGUCAAGUCAGGCAACUUCUCUAGCAACGGAAGAUUCCUCACACAUAAGUAACUCAAGUUCUUUGAAUAUUCCAGGCCUUGAAUCUCGUUGAGCUUCGAACAGUGACUUAUCAUUAAUACUUCUAUAUGCUUGAAGGUUAAUGGAUCAGGCAGCUUUUCAAGUGAUUGAUAGUGCCAUAAAUUGAGAAGCUUCAACGAAUCUGGCUCACAUUGAACCUCAACCAAUUUAGGACACUUACUUAUAUGAAGUCCCCGAAACUUCUUCAAGCUGGUCAGGUCGAGCAACUUCACCAACAACGGAAGACGAACAAGAUGAAGGGCUGCCAAGUUUUUCAAAUGUCGGAGGCCUUGAAUCUCCAUUAGUUGUCUACAGCAAUGGAAUUCCAAUCUCGAUAACUUCUCCAAAUAUGAAAGAUUUAUCGACUUUUCCAUUAACCCACGCCCACGAAUAAUGAAGUAUGACAAAUUUUGGGGAAGCUUAGGUAAGUAUUCUAGGUUAUGUGCGAUGAGUUCAAGCAUCCUGAGCUUCAAAAGGAGAUUAAAAUCUAAAGGUAAGAAGAUUAGACCAUCAUAACGCAACCACAAGGUUUCUAGCUCUCUUAAUCCUACGAUCCAAUUGAGGCUUGGAGCUAGAGGGGAAGGGGUUUGAUACUCUAUAUCCAACGUCAAAUCUCUCAAAUUUAAUAGGUUUGAGAGGUCUGGACAUCUCAUCUGUAAAUUAUGGCGCAAGUAUAUAUUGGUCAUACUUUCAGGAAGCUUAGGUACAUCGGAAAUUCCCGUGCUCGUUAAUCUCAAGAUUCUCAAAGAUGAUAGUCUUCCAAUCUCACUUGGAAUUUCCCCACACAAAUAUUCACAGUCAUAAGCUUCAAUCUCUUCAAGCUUCUCCAACAUCCCAAGGGCGCUAGGUAGCUUUUCUAAGAUGGUGCCAGAGAUCCUUAGUACUCUCAAAUUCUUCAUUGUCUCUAUUGAAGUGGGUAACUCUCCUAUCCUCGAC
rnacentral:lncRNA from 1 species